rnacentral:lncRNA from 1 species
AGUGGUAUCAAAGGAGGUUGAGUGUGAUAAAGUACAUGCUCGCUUCAAUUUUUGUCAAAACAAUGUUUAGCUCAACCAGUCACCAAUCGAGUAUGCAGAUAUUUCACAUAGACAGUUAACAGGUAAUGGAAUACUCACCUGUCAAGCAAUGUAGUUAUCAAACAUCAAAUCCUUUGGUUACGUUUACCACCGUUUCCCAAUCCUAGGUCAACGAGUGAAAUCGUUAACAAACUAGGUUCAAUUCCAACCCAAAUGCGAGCUCAUUAGGUGACCAAAUGAGUGAUUAAAUCUACUCAAUUCACCAUGCAAGUUAGCCCCAAAAUACAGUAAAAGUUCAUGAGAAAACAAGUUUGACAAGUACAAGAAAGUUGGGCAAAAAAAAAGUUUCAUUCAAGUUCAAAGUGUUCUUCGCGGGUAAAACAGUCGCGCUUACGCAGUCUCUGGAAAACAGCCAUAUCUCACUGUAGGAAGGUCGGAAUCAGGUGCCAUUAGUGGCCUUGGAAACUAGACUCAAAGGGCUUUCCAACGGUACCAAAUUCACACUCUAGUUCGUAUCCUAUCAAUACCAGUGAUCUAGAGAAAUCGGCUGAUUUUUCGGUUCUGAUCAGCCCUAAAACCCUAGCAAAGUUACACUAGUUCUUGGCGCUAACUUCACUUGUUUUGGCUCAAAUUCAUCCAAUUUAAUCUCCUAUGGUUCAUGUUCAGGAGAGCAAGUUACCUAGUGCCAUUGGAACUCAAAAUGCAAUACACAUAUGUCGCGCCCCAUUUUUCGCUAUGAAAAAAAAAGUGUUUAUAAAAAGAUGUGACUUAUUAAUAAUAAAUGAAAAAGGAUCUAAAAUGGGACUUUAAAAGAAUGCGACAAUUUGGGCCCAAAAUUUAGUCUAAAAGGGGUUUUAAGAAAAAAUAGGAGUCGCCACUUAGUAUGGAGUUUUGGUGUACCAAGUCACCCAAAAAAUAAAGUAAAAUAAAAUAAAAUCCUUUUUGACAACUCCAGGUCUUUGAAAAUAAGAGAAAAUGGAUUUGGGAGUCACGGUUGAAGAAAGGGAAGGCAAAGGUUCGAUUAACUCAAAUCUAAGGCACCCUUUCAACCUAAUCUAAACUAGUUGCGAGGUUUAGUCAAAAUUUUCCUAAUCUAACCCUUAAUUUUAUCAUAUUUGAAUGUUUCCUACAUGGAUGCAAAUCUAAAUUUAUAAAAUAUCGAAAGAGUCAAAACAUCCAUUCAAGGGUUUAAUCGAACCAAUCGCAUUAAUUGCGAAGGCCAAAAUGAUUCCUUGAAAGUGUCACGAGUAUGCGAAUGAUGAAAUUAAAAUAAAAGAAAAGAAAUUAAAUUAUAUACAUAUAUAUAAGUGAUCAAAGAAAAAGGGAAUGCAACAUAAAGAGUACGGGAGGCCAAAACUCGUGACAUAAUUUUCUUAUACAUGGAUUAAUAGGGUAUUUAAACUAAAAAGUUAUAAUCACUUAUUUCCCAUGUUUGAAAAAUAAUUAUCCUAACAUGAACAAGCAAAUGAACUAGCUUAAAUGAGAUGCAAUUCUAAAUGACAUGAUUAGCACCUAUAGAGGGUAAGGGAUAAUAUAAUAGGGAAUAUCAUGCAAAUGAGAAAAGAUCCUAAAAAUGAGAAUAUGCAUGAAAAUGUAGUGAAUAGCACACAAAAAUGAAUCUAACGCAAGACGACCUAAAGGGUCUAGCGUUGAACUAGCCCAUUUCUAAAACUCCUUACUAGCGUUGGACUAGCAAGUAAGCGGAGGGAAAAAUCACAACUAGCGUUGGACUAGUGUGGUGACGUCAUGCAUUAACAAUUCAUAGUGAAACAAAUGAAGCAUAAAUUAAAACAAAUAAACACAUAAGAGCACGUAACACAUAACACGUAAACAUAAUAUUUAGAUGCUAAAAUCCUAAGAAAAGCGAAUAAAACACAUAACACAUAAGUCACAUAAACACGCAACCUAUCUAUUACAUCGGGGAAUCUAACUACAAUCUAAAAUGGGAAAGAUAUGAUAAAAUAAAAUUAGUUAUCCUAUCUAUUACAUUUUUGAGGUAUUUAAAUGCCUCUCGAAUAAUUAUAAAAAUUAACUAAACAAAUAUAAUAUAAGAAAAUUUAAAUGAACAUUUAAAUCCAAUAAAUAAAGCAUAUAAAAAUAUAUAAACACAUGGGAACACAUAGGAGCAUAUAAGAGCACGUAAUUGACAUUGAAAGAAUAAAAAUAAGACUACCUCCCGUUUGAAGUGGUGACUAAAUGGAGUCAAAUUGUCCUUUUUAUACUCACAAUGAACAAAAGAAUCAUGGCACCAAUUUAAUUGAAAAAAAAAUAAUAAAAGUACUAAAUUCACACUAAUAUGUCAAACAUAAAGAAAUUUAAAACAUCUAAAAAUUACAAGUUGAAUAUGUUCAAAAGUAACAUAAUUAGCUAUUAAAGAAAAGAAGCAAUCAUAAUAAAGAGUGUCAAAAUUCAUUAGGGACUGAAUUGCAAAAAUUGUAAAACUUGUGGGGCAAAAGUAUAAUUUUUCAAAAGUUAAGGGCUCAAAAUUAAAUGAAAGAUAAAGUUUAGGGACCAAAGUAUAAUUAAUUUAAGAACCUACAUGAAAGAAAUUUAAAAUAUUCUGGGCCGCAAUGAAACCACUCCAAAGAUCAGUGGCUAAAGUACAAUUUUCACUAGCAAAUCUUCUUAAGAAAAUAGGCCACUGGGCAAUUAUUUAUUUUUUUGGGCCGAAAACUACCUAAACCCAGCCGAAAGUCCAACCCAAAACACACAGGCCAACCCGUCUUUUUAUCACUCAAGCCCAACAAAAACAAUGCAUGGGCUCUGACCUUUUAACCCAACCGAAACCCAAAAAAAUAAAACAAAACCCAUUCCCAAAACCCAACCAAAACUAACUCUUGGCCCAUCAGAAAAAAAACAUUAGCCCAAUUUCUUUUCUUUUUCUUUUCUUUUCUUUCUUUUCUUUUUUCUUCUUCUCUUUUCUUUCUUUCUUUCUUCUUCCUCCACUUCCAGCCGUUUCUUUCCCUUCUUCUUCGGCCAAAAGCUUCAGCUGGCAGCCGCCAUGGCGACCGGCGGUCUGCCCAGCUGAAGCUUCUUUAGCUGGCGGCGGCCGCCGGUCGCCGGCAAGCUCUCCGAUCGCCAAAAUUUCUCAAAAUACACCUCUUUACUCCAUUUUUCGCGUAGAUUCUAUUUUCGGAUUUAAUUUUAACAAAAAUUGACCCUAAAGUGGCCAAAAAACCAAGAAAUCAGUCCAGUUUUUAUUUUCUUAAAACCUUUAAACCUCCACCAAAAAUCAUAAAAAUUAUGCCAAAACCCUCCUUAUAACUUCUACAUUACAACUAUAAUAUUAGUUUGACAAGUAAACAAUAACAAAAUGAUGCAUUAAGUCAAAACAGCCCCAAAAAUGAAGAAAAUAUUUCAAUGUCUUUAAAGCUCAAAACUCCAAAAAAUUUAGAUAAGCAAACAUUUCCAGGCCUGGUGCUAGCUAACGGUCAUCAGUUUUGACAACAACAUGCACAAUAUUCAGCUUUUAAAUCCAUUUUUCCAUUUCAGCAUUUUAUCAAGCAUUUGGCAUGCAUUCACAGCACCGUUUCUUUUUUCUUAAUUUUAUACAGGCUUGUCUCAAAAAUCUUCAACAACACCACAAUAGCAACAAAAAUCAGUGAAAGGAAGAGACAAAUAUGUAGCCAAACAUGCAUUUAAUCUAAUUAAUUAAAAAAGGAAAAGUUGGAAAAAAAAAAUACCUCAAUGAGGUUGUGGUCCCUUGACUAAAAUUUUGAGGAAGUUCCAAGCUCUUUGUCCAACUGGCGGCUGCCUCCUUGUGUCUGAAUAGUUUGUGGGUGUGUUGUGUGAAGUGAGCAAAGAGAGGGAUAUGGCCGAGAGAGUGAGGGUGCUUUCUUUCUUUCUUUUUUUUUGUUCUUUUGAGGGAGAGAGCCGAGAGGGAUGGAGAUUUUCUUUUUUCUUUUGUGGCUUCUCUUCUGUGUCCUGUUGAGAGACCAGAGAGAGCCGAGAGGGAGAUUGAGGAAGAUUCAGUGCUUCUUUUUUUUGUCCCCUGGUGUCGUGCCAAUUGAGAGAAAAGAAAGAGCCAGUUGAGAGUGGAGCGUGGGAUUGGUCAAAAUGAUGGCCUUCUCACCUAAUGAAAAGAAAAGUACCUGAACAUUGAGUGCAAAAAAUGGAUGGAUAGUGCAUUUGGUGAAAGAGCAAUAAUUAGGAAAGGAUUUUUGAUUUCUUAAUUUUCUUUUUUUUUUGUUUUUUUUUGUCCUAAAAUAAACCUGCAAAAAAUGAGAAAAAUACACAUUAAAAUAUAAGAAAAUAAAUAACUCAUUAAAUAGAAAAAUCUUAAGAAAAUAUUAAAAAUUGACAAAAAUUUGGUGUCUACAACUUGCCCCUCUUUGUCUAUUGUUUCAAAGAAAUUCAAGACAAAGAUGUAGACACCAAAUUGCUUACCUGUCUCUUCUAGCUGUACCUGAACUAAAAUAAACAAGCCAACACUUAACUGAAAUUAUUGGACAAAAUGAUGCAAUAACAUUGCAGAAAAUGUGACUGAACCAUGUAGAGUUGCCUACGUAUCCCGCCCUGGGAAUCAGGUCAAACGUAAUUCGAAUGCAAGUGAACCACAAUGAAACAAGUGCAUUGACCAACUGUGAUCUUUGCAAAGUCGAAAAAGUCUGAGCUUUUAGAACUUCUAAACAUGAAACACAAAAUGAAUGAGAAAGCACAAUUAUUAAUCAAAACAGUCAAGAAAAGUAACUUGUCAUAAUUAGAAAAAUAUGCGCGGAGGGACGCGGUUACGCUCCAAGAAGGGGGAUAGAAGGGUGCGCGGCGGACGCUGAGACUCACCAACAGAAAUUUAAAUUGUCAAGAAGUGAGAUAGAAGAGUGUGUGGUGGACGCUGAGACUCACCAACUGAAAAUUAAAUUUUCAAGAAAGGGGAUAGAAGGGUUCGCGGUGGACGCUGAGACUCACCAACAGGAAAUUAAAUUGUCAAAAAGGAGGAUAGAAGGGGAUAAGAACGAGAGAUAGAAGGGUACGCGGUGGACGCUGAAACUCACCAACAGAAAAUUAAAUUGUCAAGAAAGGGGAUAGAAGGGUGCGCGGUGGAUGUUUAGACUCACCAACAGGAAUUUAAAUUAUCAAAGAAGGGGGAUAGAAGGGUGCGCGGUGGACACUGAGAGUCACCAACAGGAAAUUAAAUUUGAUAAGAACGGGAGAUAGAAGGGUGCGCGGUGAACGCUGAGACUCACCAACAGAAAAUUAAAUUGUCAAGAAGAGGGAUAGAAGGGUGUGCGAUGGACGCUGAGACUCACCAACAGAAAAUUAAAUAUGUCAAGAAAGGGAGGUAGAAGGGUGCGCGGUGGACGCUGAGACUCACCAACAGAAAAUUAAAUAUGUCUUUUAGAAAAAGAUGGGCGAAGAGACGUGAUUACACUCCAACAAGAAAUUAAAUUGUUAAGAAAGGGAGAUAGAAGGGUGCGCGGUGGACGCUGAGACUCACCAACAGAAAAUUAAAUAUGUCUUUUAGAAAAAGAUGCGCGAAGAGACGUGAUUACACUUCAACAGGAAAUUAAAUUGUCAAGAAGGGGAGAUAGAAGGGUGCGCGGUGGACGCUGAGACUCACCAACAGGAAUUUAAAUUUGUCUUUUAGAAAAAGAUGCAUGGAGGGACGCAAUUACGCUCCAACAGGAAAUUAAACUGUCAAGAAGGGGAGAUAGAAGGGUGCGCGGUGGACGCUGAGACUCACCAACAGAAAAUUAAAUUUGUCUUUUAGAAAAAGAUGCGUGGAGGGACGCGAUUACGCUCCAACUGGAAAUUAAAUUGUCAAGAAGGGGAGAUAGAAGGGUGCGCGGUGGACACUGAGACUCACCAACAGGAAUUUAAAUUUGAUAAAAACGGCAGAUAGAAGGGUGCGCGGUGGACGCUGAGACUCUCCAACAGGAAAUUAAAUUUGAUAAGAACGGGAGAUAGAAGGGUGCGUGGUGGAUGCUGAGACUCACCAACGAAAAAUUAAAUUGUCAAGAAAUAAUAGAUUGGUGGGAUAAGACCCAACCCCAACAAAAUUAAAAAAAAACGGUUAGCAAGAUAAAACUCAAACCUGCCAAGAUUGAUGGGAUACAACCCAAACCCAACAAAGAUAAAAAUGGUCAAUGUGAUAAAACCCAAACCUGCCGUAAUAAUAAAAGAUACAUUAGUGGAUUGAACCCCGUGCUAACGGAUAUGAAGAAAUAAAACGCGCGUUAAUGAGUUGUACUCGAUGCUAACGGUGAUAAAGAUCACGUUAGUGGGUUGGACCCGAUGCUAACAGUGAAAGAAGACACGUUAGUGGGUUGAACCCAAUGCUAACGGAUAUGAAAAAUACAACACUCGUUAGUGAGUUGUACUCGAUGCUAACGGUGAUAAAAGAUAUGACACACGUUAUUGCAUGAAAAAGUUCUUGAAUACUUACCUGAAAAAUCAUUUCAAAAAUUAACUCAGUUUGAAUCAAUUUUGUACAACCAAUCAUCUGCUUUGCAUUUUGACAUUGUUGCUCAAGUUGGUGGAUUUGUAACCUUCUUUUUUUUUUUUCAAACUUUAGAAGAAAUGAAAGAAACACACACACUUUUUUUUUUUGUUUUUUGAAAAAAAAACAUAAGUGACGAAUUCUAAAACUUGAAGAAUACCAAUGACAACUCUCCCUUCAAGAGAUUUGAGAGGUACAUACAUUUGAAGAAUACCAAUGACAACUCUCCCUUCAAGAGAUUUGAGAGGUACAUACAUAUGUCACUGUCCUCUCGAUUUUAAAAGACUUUUUUUUUUCACAAAAUCGAUUUAAAAUGCAUUACCAAAAUUGGAGCUCAUUCCUUUUGAUAUUUGCCCCAGUGUAAAUCAUGUUUAACGAAGGCCAUAUUUUUCAUGUUUUCAAAAAAGCAAAAAGAGUGAUCAUAUGAUACCAAUACCAUGUGAUUCCUUGUGCUCCUUUUGGCCCUGAGAACCAUGCCAGCAUGAUCUUUCGAUGUCAAAAUUGCUCCUCAAGAGUUGUGCUGCAACUUGUUUUGAAUCUUCUUAAUUUUCUAGCAUCAGUCAGCCAUACCUCACUUUGUACCACAAAUCAACUUUUCUAAUGACCAGAUUUGAAUGAAUGGCCAGUAUCUCAAGUGUUGGCAACCCGCUUUUCGUUCAUGAUUCUCUUGUGCUCCAAAAUCUCACCUGAUGACCUUAACCUUUCGGAUUUUCACAAAGGUCACACCUUUUUAUUUUGUUUUGUUUUCAUUUUCUUUUUUUUUCUUUUUCAUCCUUCUCUUUUUUUCUUUUUCUUCUUUUUCUUUUUUUUUUGUUCUUUCUUUUUUCUUUUUUUUUCUUUUUUCUUUUUUUCAUUCUUUUGAAGACACCUUUUCAGGUUUUCACCUAAUGAACAAAUCUUGUUAACAAACUUUAUCAACUCAGAAAUGUAUUUAAAGAAAGGAUGGCAUCAGCGCGACAACCCUUCCCAUGUAAAAAUGGUAAAGGUGUAUUGACAUCAAUUGCCAUUUGAUUAAGUGAUUUUUAUUAGAAAUACCACUAAAGCGGAGGUCGAGACUUUAUGAUUUUUAUGAUGGGGUCAUGUGGGAUGUAGAAAAAGUGUUGAGGCUUCAAAGCAAAAUCUUCAAAGAGGUUUCAAAAACCCUAAAACCGCAUUCUAUCAAUAUUUGCCCCAGUAUGAGGGUAUUAAAACAGAAAAAAUUGCCCCAGUUUGGUUUUUGACUUUUUUUUUCUUUUUUUUCAUGACAAAUAGGAGAUAAAAAUUUACCCCAGCAUGGGGUUUGCAAUCUUUAGGAGGGCUAUCAAAUGAAGGGUUAAAUUAUUCUGGAGGUUCAAUGGGGAAAACUAGGGGUAAUAUAUUCAAAGAGAAAAGAAAAAGGCUUGCCUUUGAUCCGCCAUAGAUGGUAUUUCAAAAAGAAAAAUCACAUAAUCAGAUAAAAAAUUUAUUACACAUGUCUAAAUUGAUUGGCAGAGAAAAGACCUGUCCAUCCAGUUCUGUAAGAAUGGACGUUCCUCCGAAUAGCACUCUUUGAACAAUAAAUGGCCCUUGCCAAGUUGGAGCAAACUUUUCUUUAACCUCCUCUUGAAUCGGAAGAAUUUACUUCAAAACCUUAUCCCUCACUUCAAAUAAGCGAGAUUUGUCUUUCUUGUCAUAACCAACGAACCAUCCUUUAAUGAUAACAUUGUCCAUGACAAACAUUCAACCUCUUUUUCAUCAAUAAGAGACAGCAACUCAGUGUGCUUCUUAAUCCAUUUAAUUCCUUCUACCCGAGCCUUCGUCCAAAUGUGCAAGGACGGGAUCUCAAAUUUGGCGGGUAUUAUCACUUCCAUUCGAAGCAUAAUGUGUUGCCCCAACUUAGAAAUGUAAUCUCCAGGUGAAAUGCUUCCAAAGUUCAAUAGUAAAAAUUUGCAAAAUUAAAGAAAAAAUUCUUUUUUUUUCUUUUCUUUUUUCACUCCCCCUUUUUCUUUUCUCUUUUUUCUUUUUUUCUUUUUUUUAAGUUAGCUGCCGAAGUAUGUACUCCUUUUGAACAAAUAGCCGAUCCUCCACUUUGCAAAGUAGUAUUAUUGCUCCAUUUUUAUUCAUGAUUAAUCUCCAAAUUUGCAAGAUUUUGACUUGCGUCUUUUCCUCGAUUUUAACCAUAAACAACUGCACAAGGGGGAUUUUUCAAAACACUUGAAUUUUUUCAAAAAAUUUUUUUUUGAGCAAUGAUAUAAUAAUUAAGACUCAUGCAAAGUAUUGACUUAUCAAGAUUUAAAAUAUAUACUUGAUCUUGGACAUACCCUACAAAUGUAUUAUAAAAUUUUUGCCUCAGUUUGAAUUUAUUUGAUGAGAUCUCACAAAUAUAUUACAAAAAAUUUUGCCCCAAUUUGGGCUUAUUUUUAGUUGCAAAAUAAUCGCAUGCAAUGUGAAUAGAAACUACAUUUUUCAAAUGAAGACUUUAAAUGUCAUAUCCAAACUCAUAUAGAUGAUUCCAUGACAAAUCUCUCAAAAUAAGACAAAAUUGCAAAAGAUUUCUUCCUCAUUUUGGAAUCGGUGUUGAGGGAAAAGGAUCCCCUUCUUGUUAGCUCAUCUUUUAGAACCAAUCAAAUGAGUAUUAUUCAUGAUUUUGAAGUAGCUCAAGGAGAAAUGAUAGGUCGGGAUCUGUCUUAUUUUUUGUACCCAAAUUAUAUCUAACACAUUCAAUAUCACAUCUUGAUGAAAGCAAACAGUUUAUCACUCUUAUUUCUUGAGAAAAACUCGGUCAAUAUAUAAGUUUUAUAAGCUUGUAAUGUAUGGGUAGAAACGAUAGUUAAAUAUAUGAAAACAGGUUGUAACUUUAUGCUCAUGAGUGAUUGGUAGGCUCCUUAGAGGCAAGAUUUUCACUUCAAAUUGUCAUGAAAGAUAAGUCAACAAUGAACUUUAUAAGCUUGUAAUGUGGCUUGACAACGAUAGCUAAAAGAAAUAAAAUUUUCAAGGACAACACACUUAAGAUCGCAUUCCUUCCCAACAGUUGCCCCGGUUUUGGACUUAAAACUCAGGACCCCAUUUUGACUCUCUCUUUUUAUUCAUCACUAGAGGGAAUUCAGUAUUGGAUGUCUCUGCAUUUUUCUUGUCUUUUCAUUUUUCAUUUUUUUCAUUUCAUUUUUUUUUCAUUUUUUUCAUUUCAUUUUUUUUUCAUUUCUCUCUUUUUCUUUUUUUUUUUUUUUUUUUUUUUUACCAAUACUAAGAUCCCAAAUGUCAAUGAUAGAAUUGAAAACUCCCUAAUUUUGGAGUAUAUAUGACCCCUCUUUCUUUCCAAAAUUGAAGAUCAAAAUAUCAAUGGUAGAGUCAAAUUUCCUCAACUUGUAAUUUUUUCUCUCUUUUUUUUUUCUUUCACUCUUUUUCUUUAUUUGAUGUCCGUUUCAAAAAUUUUGAGCAUCUUUGCCAUUUUUUUCCAAUUCUCAAAUCUCCUUCCCCAAUGUGGGGGUGCGAUCAUAAGUGCUUUUGGAAUGAACUACCAAUUUAGGCUCAAACGAGGAUGCAAAGGAUGGAUAGUGUUUGGAUAGUAGAAACAAUGGCCAAAGUAUCAUUCUUGUUUCUCAUGACAACCAAAGUAAAGAAUAGCCCGUUGAAAAAAUCCAUUUCGUUUUGACAUUUGAGAAUUUUUUCAUGGAUGGUCAUGAUCAUUUAGAUUUUUAUUUGAAACGGAAUUCUAUUUUUAAAGGCUCAAAUGGGAAAACAAAUGAUAGAAUCUAUAUAGAUAGAGAAACGAAAGCCUAAAGUAUCAUUCCAAAUUUUCAAAACAAAUAAGAAGUAAUGUACAUUUUUGCUUUCACUCAGAUGUGGAUUGAAUUUGGUUACACACACUGGACAUUUUCAUGGUAAAAAAAAUUGUCUCACUUUGAAACUAGUCAACCAAGGCGACUGACUUUGGAGGUUCAAUAGAAGUGGGCAAAAAAAAUGAAAAAGAAAAAUGUCGGGGUUGAUCUUUUAUGACAAGCUAUCAAAUUUGUGUGACCCCUUUUAUUUUCGACUACUCUAAUUGAUUAGUUUAGACCAAAAAUUUAGUAUAUACAAAGAUUUUUGGGAAUUGGACAUACACUCAUCAAUUUUCAAACAAGAGGUCGAAAAAUCUCAAUUUAAUCUUAUUUCUUAGGAUUUAUCAAGAAAUCUCCCAAUAAGCGAAUAAAGAAUGAAUAUAUACAAAAUAAUAAUUGUCUAAAUAAAAACGUUAUUGUUCAAAAUUUUUUUUGCUCAAAUAUAAUAUAUAUGAGAAAAUAAAAAUCUCCAAAGAAUAUACUUUCAAAUAUAUACACACUUUCUCUUUUUAUCUUUUGAGACAAAAUGUAUUAGAAACAAUGAAUCAAGAGAUUUUUGAGAUACUUUAGAUUGGCAUUUUCAGAUGAAAUUUUUCAUUCAUCAUUUAAAAAUUUUUUUUUCAUUGUAGGAUCUGUCCAAAAUCAAGUAACACUUGUAAUUUUUAAAAUUUAUCAGAUAUAGGAAAAAUAUUUUUACCUUGUUAAAACAACUUUUAUAAAUGCAGGGGAGAGGGAAAAAUUAAAAAAAAAUACCCAGAAUUAGUAAUCAAAACUGUAAAAUUGGUAUGCAUGUCCUAUGGGGAAGCCCUUUUAUGCCAAGAGUUUGCCUAGCAUGAAAAAUGCAAUCCUCUGGGGUAGGCACCAUACAAUACCUGAUGAAUCCAAUCGACUUAUUGAGAUUCAAUUGAAGAGCAUUUGAAAAAAAUUGGACUAAUUGGAUCUUUUAUCGGAAAUGAUUGAUAACUAACAAAAUGAGGACAAAGUUCGAAUGGAUUGAUUGUUUUGAUAGACACAUAAAGUGAUAUUAAAAAUCAAUUUAGUGUGAAAACUUAUUUUUGAAAUAUUGAAAUGUCUCGACUAGUUUCUUCGGUGAACCAUAGAUCGAAACUUUAAAAGAGAAUAAAUGGGUUAAAUAAAUCGAAUGAAAUUGAUGGUUAGUUCAAAAAUUGACUGAAUUAUCCUGAAAGUGAAUAAAACUGAUCCAAUGGAUUGGAUGAAAUUGAGAAUUUAUUCAAAAAAAUAAAAUUGACUAAAUGAAUAAUGAAUUGAAUGGAAUUGAUGAUUUAUUCAAAAUUGAUUGUAUUGUCCUAAAAAUGAAUAAAUUGGUCAAAUGGAUUGGAUAGAAUUGACAGUUUAUUCAAAAAUCGACUGGAUCGCUGGCCAAAUGAACAGAAUGAAAUUGAUGAUUUAUCCAAAAUGAAAUUGAAUGAAAAUGAAAUUAAAAAAUGAGCAAAAUUGUAUGGAUCGAAUGAUCUAUAAAAAAAUCGACUCAAUCAUCUUAGAUGUAAAAAUGGAAUGAAUGAAAUUGAUGAUUUAUCAAAAUCGAUGGAAUUGUCUGCCUAUUGGUAGUUUCAAAAAAUUCAUUGUGAUUCAUUAGUGUAUGAGCCUUUGGAAAUCAAGAUUUGGCCUUAACAUACUUAUCAUCUCAACAAUGAGGAAUUUGUGAAUUUCUUCAACUUAAUGUUCUUUACGCAAGGGAUUUUUACCAAUUCUGAUAAGAUGGCCAAAAAGUUAUUAUUAAAGGCUCAUAUUCUAAUGCGUAAAAACUGUUCCAUCAUUCUCAAUGCCGUCACACAGAAGGGAUCGAAUCCUAUCUUACCUUGUGCACUACCCCUUUGGAUGGUACAAAAGAUAUAAACGUGCAAGUCUCAUUGGAUUAUAUAUCCGAGACAAAAGGUGGCUUAUUCCUAACGCGGGAUCCCCUAUGCGGCAUUCCCUCUAAAGUUGAUGUAUGAUGCUAGUUUAUUAAAGCGGUUAAAUAUGCAAUGAAAUAAUUGACAUAUGAUCUAAAAGUGCCCCAUUUAAAUGCCGGGGUAAGCCUAAAAUAAAAUGUAUUCAUGCUGCAAAUGCGAAAUAUUGAAUUUAAACGUGUCACAUCAAAUAGGAUAGGCUCCUAGAGAGUACCAUGCCAGGACUCUUAUUUUCUAGGGCUUAUGAAUGCAAUGGAAACAAAAACCAAGAAAAGUUAGUUCAAUCAGAUAAAUACAUAUAACACAUUGUAACAAAACAAUACACAGAGAUAAAACAAUAAAAGGAAAAGAAGGGUUGGAUCCCUCCCCUCGUGAAUAGUGUCCCUAAUAGGGUAAGACAGAUUCUACCCUAGGUAAACUAUCAUGGAUGCAUGAGGUAUCGACUCACUAAUGCAUCUAGAGUCGAUAGGUUUUAGGUCCCCGAGCCUUCAGACUUGGAAACCAAAGGUCAUCAAUUCCAAGAUUUUUUGUCGGUGGCUCGAGCAAUUCCCCAAACACUGCUACGCACACGUCAUGUCACGGCUACAUGUCUGAGUAAAUCUAUCAAAAAUCCUCAAUCUUUGACUAAAAGCUAAAAGCUAUCAACCCAAAGUUUAAAAUGGAAGAUUGACUGACCCCUCGGAUCAUGCUACGCACACGUCGUGUCGCGAUCACACGUCCAAGUGGGUCGCCUAAUUCUAAUAGGGAAGAGUGGCGUGACAAGCCACUAAAAGAAAAAAUAAAUGAGGGAUAAAAAAUAAAACGUAUGCACGUAUGCUAGUGCUCAGUUUGGAGGGGAGGGAUCGAGAACCAAUGCGAGACUUUAGGGUAAUAUUCUCCACCCUAAAUGCAAAGCGCGAUACGAAUAAGUAAACGAAUAAACCAUUCAUCACAUACACGAAAGACGAGGAACGAAAACGAGGGUGAAACGCAAAACAUCCUAAAAAGGAAAAAAAAUGCAACCUAAAACAUCCAAAUAUGAUAAAUAAAAAGAAUUAAAAAAAAGAAAAGACAACUAAACCAAAUGCUUGGACUCUCUAGCUUCCCAGUGGAGUCGCCAAGUUGUCGCGCCCCAUUUUUCGCGAUGAAAAAGAAAGUGUUUAUAAAAAGAUGUGACUUAUUAAUAAUAAAUGAAAAAGGACCUAGAAUGGGACUUAAAAAGAAUGCGACAAUUUGGUCCAAAAUUUAGUCUAAAAGGGUUUUUAAGAAAAAAUAAGAGUCGCCACUUAGUAUGGAGUUUUGGUGUAUCAAGUCACCCAAAAAAUAAAGUAAAAUAAAAUAAAACCGUUUUUGACAACUCCAGGUCUUUGAAAACAAGAGAAAAUAGAUUCGAGAGUCACGGUUGAAGAAAGGGAAGGCAAAGGUUCGAUUAACUCAAAACUAAGGCACCCUUUCAAUCUAGUCUAAGUUGGGAGGUUUAAUCAAAAUUUUCCUAAUCUAACCCUUAAUUUUAUCAUAUUUGGAUGUUUCCUACAUGGAUGCAAAUCUAAAUUUAUAAAAUAUCGAAAGGGUCAAAAUAUCCAUUCAAGGGUUUAAUCGAACCAAUCGCAUUAAUUGCGAAGGCCAAAAUGAUUCCUUGAAAGUGUCACGAGUAUGCGAAUGAUGAAAUUAAAAUAAAAGAAAAGAAAUUAAAUUAUAUACAUAUAUAUAAGUAAUCAAAGAAAAAGGGAAUGCAACAUAAAGGGUACGGGAGGCCAAAACUCGUGACAUAAUUUUCUUAUUCAUGGAUUAAUAGGGUAUUUAAACUAAAAAGUUAUAACCACCCAUUUUUCAUGUUUGAAAAAUAAUUAUCCUAACAUGAACAAGCAAAUGAACUAGCCUAAAUGAGAUGCAAUUCUAAAUGAUAUGAUUAGCACCUAUAGAGGGUAAGAGAUAAUAUAAUAGGAAAUAUCAUGCAAAUGAGAAAAGAUCCUAAAAAUGAGAAUAUGCAUGAAAAUGUAGUGAAUAGCACACAAAGAUGAAUCUAGCGCAAGACGACCUAAAGGGUCUAGCGUUGAACUAGCCCAUUUCUAAAACUCCUUACUAGCGUUGGACUAGCAAGUAAGCGGAGGGAGAAGUCACAACUAGCGUUGGACUAGUGUGGUGACGUUAUGCAUUAACAAUUCAUAGUGAAACAAAUAAAGCAUAAAUUAAAACAAAUAAACACGUAAGAGCACGUAGCACAUAACACGUAAACAUAAUAUUUAGAUGCCAAAAUCCUAAGAAAAGCGAAUAAAACACAUAACACAUAAGCCACAUAAACACGCAACAUAUCUAUUACAUCGGGGAAUCUAGCUACAAUCUAAAAUGGGAAAGAUAUGAUAAAAUAAAAUUAGUUAUCCUAUCUAUUACAUUUUUGAGGUAUUUAAAUGCCUCUCGAAUAAUUAUAAAGAUUAACUAAACAAAUAUAAUAUAAGAAAAUUUAAAUGAACAUUUAAAUCUAAUAAAUAAAGCAUAUAAAAAUAUAUAAACACAUAAGAACACAUAGGAGCACAUAAGAGCACGUAAUUGACAUUGAAAUAAUAAAAAUAGGAGUACCUCCCGUUUGAAGUGGUGACUAAAUGGAAUCAAAUUGUCCUAUUUACACUCACAAUGAACAAAAGAAUCAUGGCACCAAUUUAAUUGAAAAAAAAAUAAUAAAAGUACUAAAUUCACACUAAUAUGUCAAACAUAAAGAAAUUUAAAACAUCUAAAAAUUACAAGUUGAAUAUGUUCAAAAGUAACAUAAUUAACUAUUAAAGAAAAGAAGCAAUCAUAAUAAAGAGUGUCAAAAUUCAUUAGGGGACUGAAUUGCAAAAAAUUGUAAAACUUGUGGGGCAAAAGUAUAAUUUUUCAAAAGUUAAAGGGUCAAAAUUAAAUGAAAGAUAAAGUUCAGGGACCAAAGUAUAAUUAAUUUAAGGACCUACAUGAAAGAAAUUUAAAAUGUUCUAGGCCGCAAUAAAACCACUCCAAAGAUCAGGGCUAAAGUGCAAUUUUUAAUAGCAAAUCUUCUUAGGAAAAUAGGCCACUGGGCCAUUAUUUAUUUCUUUGGGCCGAAAACUACCUAAGCCCAGCCGAAAGUCCAAGCCAAAACACACAGGCCAGCCCGUCUUUUUAUCACUCAAGCCCAACAAAAACAAUGCAUGGGCUCUGACCUUCUAACCUAAACGAAACCCAAAAAAAAUAAAACAAAACCCAUUCCCAAAACCCAACCAAAACUAACUCUUGGCCCAUCAGAAAAAAAACAUUAGCCCAAUUUCUUUUCUUUUCUUUUUCUUUUCUUUCCUUUCUUUUCUUUUUUCUUCUUCUCUUUUCUUUCUUUCUUCUUCCUCCACUUCCAGCCGUUUCCUUCCCUUCUUCUUCGGCCAGCUAAAGAAGCUUCAACUGGCGGUCGCCGGCAACCUCUCCGAUCGCCAAAAUUUCUCAAAAUACACCUCCCAUUCCAUUUUUCGCGUAGAUUCUAUUUCCGGAUUUAGUUUUAACAAAAAUUGACCCUAAAAUGGCCAAAAAGCCAAGAAAUCAGUCCAGUUUUUAUAUUCUUAAAACCUUUAAACCUCCACCAAAAAUCAUAAAAAUUAUGUCAAAACCCUCCUUAUAACUUCUACAUUACAAUUAUAAUCUUAGUUUGACAAGUAAACAACAACAAAAUGAUGCAUUAAGUCAAAACAGCCCCAAAAAUGAAGAAAAUAUUUCAAUGCCUUUAAAGCUCAAAACUCCAAAAAAUUUAGAUAAGCAAACAUUUUCAGGCCUGGUGCUAGCUAACGGUCAUCAGUUUUGACAACAACAUGCACAAUAUUCAGCUUUUAAAUUUAUUUUUCCAUUUCGACAUUUUAUCAAGCAUUUGGCAUGCAUUCACAGCACCGUUUCUUUUUUCUUAAUUUUAUACAGGCUUGUCUCAAAAAUCUUCAACAACACCACAAUAGCAACAAAAAUCAGUGAAAGGAAGAGACAAAUAUGUAGCCAAACAUGCAUUUAAUCUAAUUAAUUAAAAAAGGAAAAGCUGGAAAAAAAAUACCUCAAUGAGGUUGUGGUCCCUUGACUAAAAUUUUGAGGAAGUUCCAAGCUCUUUGUCCAACCGGCGGCUGCCUCCUUGUGUCUGAAUAGUUUGUGGGUGUGUUGUGUGAAGUGAGCAAAGAGAGGGAUAUGGCCGAGAGAGUGAGGGUGCUUUCUUUCUUUUUUUUUUUGUUCUUUUGAGGGAGAGAGCCGAGAGGGAUGGAGAUUUUCUUUUUUCUUUUGUGGCUUCUCUUCUGUGUCCUAUUGAGAGACCAGAGAGAGCCGAGAGGGAGAUUGAGGAAGAUUCAGUGCUUCUUUUUUUUUGUCCCCUGGUGUCGUGCCAAUUGAAAGAAAAGAAAGAGCCAGUUGAGAGUGGAGCGUGGGAUUGGUCAAAAUGAUGGCCUUCUCACCUAAUGAAAAGAAAAGUGCCUGAACAUUGAGUGCAAAAAAUGGAUGAAUAGUGCAUUUGGUGAAAGAGCAAUAAUUAGGAGAAGAUUUUUGAUUUCUUAAUUUUCUUUUUUUUUGUUUGUUUUGUUUUUUUUUUGUCCUAAAAUAAACCUGCAAAAAAUGAGAAAAAUACACAUUAAAAUAUAAGAAAAUAAAUAACUCAUUAAAUAGAAAAAUCUUGAGAAAAUAUUAAAAAUUGACAAAAUUUUGGUGUCUACAACAUAAAUGAUUAAAAGAGUCAAAACAGUCUAGUCACCAAAGGAAACGAAACAGUCCACUAGUGGCCCAAACAACCACUUUACUUGCCCCAUUUCCACUUCAACUCAUACCAAACCUUAAACCAAUGUUUAGCCAAGUUUCUUAGGCUUGAUUAAGGUGCAAAUGAAUCACAAAAAUCAAAAGGAAACCUCUCCUUCAAGACCGGUCAGCCAAGAGCAAACAAAUCAGUCCACUAGUUCACUAAUGUCACCAACCUUCAUCUUUUCAUUGUUUUUCAUUUAAACAACAUGUCAAGUGUUAUCUCUAACUCAAAAAGGGUCCAAAACAUGUUAAUACAUGAAGGAAAGCUAUGAACGAAACUCAAACAUUUUAUCAAACACAUGGUAGGCAAACCAACUAACCUUACUACCUCUUGUUUAGUUCAAGAAUUUUAACCACAAACAACAUCCAAAACACUUCUAGUUUGCCAUCAAAACUUCAAACAUUUCAUAUAACACAAGAAAACUAGGAUUUAAGGUUCAUGUACCUCUCUUGUAUGAAGCUUGAACCACCAAAACAAUCCACUAAAACCAAAGCUCCAAGCUUGAGACACACACUAGGGCUGGAGGAAAUUCACUCUACUAACUCAAGCUCUUUCUCUUUUGGUUUUUACUCAAGAUCAAACUAGGGUUUUAAAAGCAAGAAGAUGGAGUUUUCUUCCUUCCUUUGGAAGCUUCAAGGUGGCCGAAAUAUGGUGGAGGAAAUGAAACAAAGUUGGUUUAAAUUUUCUCUAAUCCUUUGGUCAAACAAGGUGGCUGGCUAGGAUUUGGCCACUUGGCCCAAUCUUAGCCCUUUCUUCCCUUAAUCUUUUGACUAAUGAAGUUUCUACCCUCCGAAUGUACCAAUGUCUAUUUAACACCUCUAAACUAUCAUAUAAAGUUCCAACUACUAAAUAAAAGACAUUUGGCUAAAGUAUAUGUGGUGAAAUAAAUAAUACCAAGUCAAGGAAAUGUUACAAUCCAAAUAAGAGUAAUAAAGUGCAAUGUAAGGAAAUGUUAUAAUACAUGUAGAAUGCAAUGCAAUGACAUGUUAUAAGUGAUUUAAAUCUUAGGACAAUACAUGUAGUUUAGAAAAAUUGUGUUUUAAAGUCACUACAACAAAAAAGGGUAUUAGCGACAACAACUUUAGCAAGAAGUAGAAAGCUUGACGCUAUUAAGACGCUUAUAGCAAGAAAAAGGACAAUACCUCACCAAAGAUUGGAGCCAUCAUAUACUCUGCGAGGGCAAGGACUUUUCUCGCUUAAAAUUCUCGCCAAAAGAAGUGUGGGAAAGUUUCCCUCCAAAUGCUGAUUCUAGUGGGCCAAAGUUUCUAUGAUUUUUGUAAGAAAUCAUGGGAUUGCGGCUUAUGUAUGCUUUUUUGUGAAAAUUUCAAAAAUUUGCUCCUUUCCAAUUUUUAGCAGAGCCACGCAUUGCAAAUUUUUUAACCAUUCUUGGCACAGCACUUAUAAAGCAUAGCACCGCAUGAAUUCCAAGCCUUCCAUACUUGCAAGGCUACUUUCCCAAAUAUUCUUCUCAGACCAGGCCCUCGAAAGUUCAAUCACAACCUCCCCCGCACCUUUCUCCUUUUAUCUUUCUUUCCCUCUCUAUCUAUUUUCAGUUUCCCGUAGACAUAUGGUUCCCCUCUUCCUCUCUAUCAUCCAGAUCUGAAUUUAUACAAUCAUGGACACACUAUAAAGACCCUUCUGAUACAAUGGCAGACUUCAAGGAAAAGCAAUGGUGUAGGGUUUUUAAGCAAAUAUGUUAUUUUCAUCUCUAUUUUGUCAAUUGCUUUUUUCUUGCAUUUUCAUCAAUUUAACAAUCAUAAGAUAAACUUUUUGAAAUUGUAGGCUUCUACUUUAGUGGAUUAGAGUGAAUAGGCAUCUCAGUUGGAGUAGAGAAAGGGGUCUUACUGGAAGGCAAAAUGAAAACGGCCCGUCAAAAUUUCAGAUCUAAGAUUUCAGGUAGUCUCCAACAUAUUUUUAUACUAGAAUUCUUCCUUCCACGAUUUGAUUUUUUCCCUAUUUUGUCCUAUUGUUCAAUCUCCUCUCUUUACCACUCUCGCUCCCAUUCCUCCAUACCUCUCGUUGCCCAGCCCUAAUUGUCCCCUUUCGUUGUCCCAAACCCCUAGUAACUUACACAAUUUUUGAAUACUAAACACUGAUUAUGACAUGUUCUAAAUUUCAAGCUUUAUUUGUUAGGUGACUUAACUGAAAUUUUGGAUGAUUUUCCACUCCGGUUGGUGAUUAGGAUUGAUGGUGUAGGUGAUUUUGCUUGUCUUUGGACUGGUUUGUGGUGUUUCAUCAUUAUCUAUUGUUUUGUGUUUCGGUGUUGUAGGACCAUUCGUGAAGCGUAUUUUUUCCCUUCCUUUGGGCUAAUUCUAAUGCUUUCAUUGUGCUGCAUGUGAUUCUCUUAGGUGAUAACUUCUUCUCCUCCUGAAUAUUUGUGCCAGUUUUGAUGCCUUUGGUCUUUUUGCUUUUUGAUGAUUUAAUUUUUUGUUUAAUUCUUAACUAAAGAUCUAGUAAAUAGAAUAUAGUUUUAUUUUAAGUGAACAUACUGGACAAAAAUAAUAAGGAUUAGAAGAAAAGGAUCUCAUUGGCUAUUUGCACCUUGGAAGCCUUGUUGGCAGUAAAAUCUAAUUCCUUUUUCAAAGUCCAUUUCAUGCUUUCCUUGUGCUUUUAUGUUAAACUGUGCAACAUAUAGAAUUACACUGAAAUUUGAAUAGAGCAAUUAAGGUUGAAAAUGAACAAGAUACAAACUUUGUAUUUCAAAAUGCUCAUGCCAAGCUUCUAUUGAGUGAAUUUUCUAGACAACUCUUUUAGUGUAUUUGUUGCACUUUAUACCUUAUAAUUAUUGAGACUUUUUACCUCAACCUGCAUUAUGUAUACUUGAAAACAUAUUUGAUUACUUUUGAAUCUGUUUGUACCUUAAGAGUUAAGGCUUCUUAAAGUGUAUAUGAAAAGUGGUCCAAAUGUUAUGCUUGCUUAGCUACUUCUCAAUUUUAAACGAGUUGCAAUGGGUGAAUGCAUUUACUAUUUUUGUGUUAAAGGAAACAGCCUUGGCGUUACUUUACAAUUGGUUUCAUGUCAAUUGGGGUCAUAAUGAUUUCUUCAUCUUAAGUACAUGCUACCAACUUGUCGUUUGAAAUUCAGUUCAUAUUUUGUACUUGUGUGGUUAAUAAAAGUGAUCCUUAGCAUUUCUUUUUAAGUCCCUCAUUUUCAUUUCUUUUCAUGCAACAAUAUGAGGAUCAAUGUCUUAGUUGAUAUAUGUAGGCUAAUGUAGGUUUAAUUUAUCUAACUACCAAUGUAAAUUUUUGUUUAAUAAUUUUUUUCCAUUGGACUCUGUAGGUUGAUGGUGGAUUGUAGUAAACCUGGCUAUGAAGCUCUUACAAGCUACUUUGAUUAUAGACUUCGCCAAUUAAUGCAAACAUGGUACUCAUUGUAUAUCGGCACAGGGUCUAUCUUAGCAUUUGUUAUCCCUGGCAAUUUUGGUUGUACAUAUUAAAGCCUAAUUAGGAUUUGAUUUGAGUAUCUUUGUGCUUCGUACUGUUGAUAGUAUUGGUUGUAAUAUAUUGUUGCUCAUUUUGUAUUUGUAAUGACAAAUUGGUUUGUUAUUUCGUAUAAAAUUUUUGUUAUAUCUCAGUAUUGACAUUAAUGAUACCUCUUGCUAAAAAAAUGGUUGAAAAAAAAGUAGCAACUACAAUCACAAUGCUGCUUUUGGCAACUUUCUUGCAAGAAAAUCAUCUAGCUGCAUUUGAUCGUCUUUGGUAAGGGGUCGAUGGUUUCUAAUUAGAGAAGAAACUUUCCUGGCCAAAAAUGUCUUAUUGGUUUGGGGGAUUGCAAUUUUGUCAGAAGAUUCCUUACCAAUUCUAUAUUAUUGGUGAGGAUGUGCUAUUUUUCGUCGCCAAACACAUUGACUAGUCAUAAGGAGUUGCCGGUUUUUGCGAGGAGUUUCUAACUUCAGCAGAGAGGAAAGUUUUCCUCGCUAUAGUAUUCAAGCCAUUAGUGAGGAGGUUCCACCCUUGCUAUUGAUCUGUUCCAUUAGCGAGGAAGGUAGCAGCAUCCUCGCUAAUGACUUUUAGAGACGAGCAUCUAGCGAGAAACUUGGCUAGGAAGCGUUUUUCUUGCUAAAACUAAUUGGUGAGGAAGUCAAAGCUUUUGGCAUGGACUUUUGUUCAUCGCCAAAUCCCUUUUUUGUUGUAGUGAGUGAGGGUUCUCACAUAGUUGACUUUAGAUAUCAUAGUAUCCAGAUUUUUACUUGCGUUAUUGAAAGAGUCUUGCUUCUCCUUCUCCAUUUUAUUUUUGUAGUGUUCUUUUUUUUAUUUUGCAAUAGAAGCAUUUGCCCUUCUUCCUUUUCUUGUUAUUUUUGGAUUGGAUCUUAGUUUGAUAGGCAUCUUUUGCUACCUUGGAACUUGCUUGACUAUCCCUCCUCGAUCGCAUGCACUUUUAUAGUAGAAUCUUUGUUCUCUUCAAUAAUUUGAUUAUCCUUCUUUUCCUGCAUGUGAAUUCCCUCCUCUAUUCAAAGGAAUUUAGCAAGAGCUUCAAGAGAGUUUCCUCUUUCUUAAAUUUGAGGUCUCUCUUAAAAUCUUUCCAAAAAGAUGGUAAUUUAUCUAUAAAAGAACACACUACAAUGGCUUUAUCUAUGUGUAGGCAUAUUGAUUAUAAUGGUUAAGUCUUUCAAAUUCAGCAAAUUGUUCCAUAACAAGUUUAUUGUCUACCAUCUUGUAGUUAUUAAAUGAAGAAACAAGAAAAUUUUACUAGUUGCAUCUUCCCACAUGUAUUUUGCCUCCAAUAGGUCCCAAAGUUUCUUUGCGAUUGUAAUAGUAUGGUAGACAUCAAACAAGCUAUCAUUCAUGGCAUUGAGAAUAUGUCUGCUGCAAAUCUCAUCAUCAUCCUCCAACUUUUGACACUUUCAAAUGUUGUCAAGAGCCUCUUUCUCAAGGUUGACAAUGAGCGGCUUCAGAGUGGUCAAUACAUAGGCUGCUUGUAGGAAUGUGAGAAGGAAACGAACUCAUUUUUGUCACCUUAUGAAGUUUCCUCCAUCAAAUCGAUCAAGUUUCACAAUGUUGGUUGCUAAGUCCUCAAUGAACUUGCCAUUAUUACAUAGGAAACAUAAAGCCUAAAAAGUAUUAGGAUAAUAUAAGAUAAAAUGGUUAACAGUUACAAAACAAAUGAUGCAAAAAUACUUUAAAUCGUGACUCAAGAUCACUUUUCUUUAACCUUUAUUUGUCUCAAAUUUAGUGUGCAAAGAACUUAGACAAAUAUCCUUUAGGAUAAUUUGAAGGUGUUUAUCUUUAACUCUUGCACAAAGUUAGACAAACCUAGUAGAACUAUGGUGUGCUUUUGUAUAAAAUUCUAAUAGUAGGAAAAUAAUAUUUUGCACCAUAUAAUCCCUACUAGACUUUUAUAGAGUUAAGAUUGAGAAUGAUCAAGAGUUGCAACUUUUCUUCACUAAUUUGUGACUUUUCUUUGAAUUGUUUUGGUCCAAAGAUUCAUCCAUACUAAUGCGAGUGUUCAGGCAGUUUUUGAAAGUUUAUACACCAUUUGGUUGGUAAUUAAUCAUCAAAAACCUAAAAAGGUGCCAAACAAUAAACGUGAACAACUUUUGACCAUUGCACGAACCAAAAAAUGGCAGGCCUCAUAUCGGAUUCGAAGUCAAGUGCCGAACAUAUAAAUGGCCAAUUUUGAAAAUUCUCAAACAGAAACUAUGUUGUACUAUUCAUAAACUCUUCUUCUUACCAAUUAUAUUAGGAUCAAUGAAUUCUUCUUAUUUCCAAUAAUGUUAUACGUGGCAACCAUGGUGUCACAUGUACUUCUUGGGGUAUUUAAAUGGCCCAUUCAAUGUAGACUUUGUUGAAAUUUCCCUCAAAUGUAAAUUGCCAAUACAACCAAUGACUCUUUGGACUGUUGGCCACCACCAAAGACUUUAAGUUUUGGUGGAAUGGGAGGUCAAGGGUUCAAAUCUUACCUUCCACACUAUAUAUGGAUUUUUCUAAAUCACAUACGGAUGUGUAGUUCUCCCGUUUAGUCCGAUGGUGGUUCAUUGCCGUUUGAUAAAAGAAAAAAAAAAGUAAAGUGCCGAUUCAAGGUAUAUAAGCAUAGUAUAAUAUUUUACAAUACGUACUGAGUGUUAGACUAUAAGUUGUGCAAAUCAUAAUGCAAUGAAAGAAGAAGUCACUGUUAUUAGUAAAAUGCCAAUUCUUGUGGAUGAUCGUAGUAUGUACCUUUAAAGUUGCAAUUGGAUAUCAAGAACUACUUGUUGAUUAAGAGCUGUGAAUUGCAGAGUAUCUAAUUAAGUAGGAGGACAGAUUAUGCAUAACAAACAUGACUUAAUUAAGAAAGAAAUAUGCAAUGGAUCACUUCAAUUGGCUUACCUAUCCAUAGUAUUCAUGAAAGGAGUUGUGAAGUUUGUCCAUAUGCGAAUUAAUGCAAGAAAAGUAACAGUGUAGUAUUCAUGAAUUACAAAUUUAUCGCAUGGAUUAGAAGAAGUUAUUGAUCAUUCAAAAGUAUAAAAAAAAAUUAAAGAGGAAAUGUAUGAACUAUGGAUUCUACGUCUACAUGUGGUGGAUGCGAAAGAAUCUUUAGUCUAGUGGCUAAGGUUGAUUUUUCAAAAUUUAAAGGUUUUGAGAUCUUUUUUUUUUAGGGGUGUCCCGUAGGGAGUGGACCCCGCAGACUAUUCCCCACCCUCCACAACUUGCUGGCAGUAAGGUUCAAAUCAGGCACCUAAGGCUCCAUUUUCAGCAACCUCAACGGCCAGACCAAACCUCGGAGGGCUAAAGGUUUUGAGUUCAAUUCUCCUUUCUCCUUUUCAACUUCUUAAAUCUCACCCCUUUGAAAAAAACUAUAUGUGGUAGAAAUUUAUCUCCCCUAUGAAAUAUGUAUUAAGGACAAUCUUAAUCCUAAGUACCCCUUUGAAAAAAACUAUAUGUGGUAGAAAUUCAUCAAAUAUGCGUUAAGGACAAUCUUAAUCCUAAGUCUGACAGGUAGUUACCGUCAUAAAAUACACUAAAUUUGUAAAAUGAUUUGUCUCGAAGAUUCCACAUUUGCGAAGUGCCCACAUGUAGAUGAUAAGUGAUUUACGACAGUGAAAUUUUAUAGAAUUACAAAAAUGGUCUUGAAAACUUAAAUAAAAAUGUCAAAGAAAAUUGAACAGAGGAAUAUUCAUCCUUUAACAAUCUCUUCAAUUGCUUUGUAUAGUUCGUGGAAACGUGCAAAUUAAAUUUAUUUGCUGAGUAUUUUAACCUUUGUUUUUCUUAAAGCAUUAUAUAUGCGACCAACUAUACUAUCAAUGACGAGCUACAAGCUAUAAAACUGUUGUUUGUUAUUUUGACUCUUUAAAGUUAAGUAUGCACAACUUAAAAAAAAAAGAGAGAGAGAGAAAAAGUAUGUACAACUAUAUUGAAAACAAAGUUUCCUAGAUACAAUCUUUCAAUCUAGUUAAUGUUUUUUGGGUUAAGUGUAUCACUAGUCACUGAACCUUUUUUAAAAUCUCAUUUGGCCUACUAUAUUCUUUUUAUAUCAAUUAACCUACUAAACUCUUGAAAGUGUUUGAUUGGGUUAGUUUUAUGUCUUUUUAUAUCAAUUAACCUACUAAACUCUUAAAAGUAUUCGAUUAGGUUAUUUUGUCUAUUUUCUUAGUUAAAAGUGAUGGAAUUUAAGCAUGUUAGCAGCACACCAUAUUUGAAAGGAUAUUUUUGUCAUUUUAUUUAUAAAAAUAGUAUAGUUGAUUAGAUAAAACUUAGAAUAUUUUGGUAACCAUUGGUGUGAAUUUUUUAUGAAAUUAAAGGAAAGCAAAUGAAAAUAUAAUUUUCACGGCAAAAAGUGUUAUAGUGCAAGCGAUCAUUGCAAUCUUAAAUCUUUUGGAAAUAUCCUCCCUUAGGUUACCUAAUAAGAGUUCUCUAAUCUCUUUGGUUUUCCUAAUGAAAGUUUCGCUUUUUUCCUACAGAUUUCUAAUGGGAGUUUUAUGUGGUUUUUUCAAUUUCUUUUAUUAGAUCUAAUUUUUUUCAGAUUUUAUUGUUAAACCUAGAAUUCAUUAGAUCUGUCUGAUAGAUCUCAUCAUAAUAUUUGGAUUUGAAACAAUUAAUCAAUAGAUCUAACUAAUGGAAGCAUGCACAAAUAUUCUUGGUGCUAUAGUAUUUUAUCUGUUUUCUAGAUACUUUUGGAGUUUUACUGUAUACUUUUUUUAAAUUCUUUUCAUAUGGAAUAUGUAUUCUUUAGAUUGUUGGUAUCUGUGUUUGUUUAAUGACAUAAUUUCUAUCAUUAUUGCAGAUUUAAAUAAAAUUAUAAUGAUUUGUCAAAGAAAAUUUUAUUUCACAUAAAACUAAAAAUAAAAUUUUAUUUAAUGUUAAUUGGCAGUGCAUUUUAGUACGCUUUUCACAACUCAAUAGCAAAGAACUUUACAAAAGAGUGCAACUUCAAUUUUUAUGCUACAAAAUAUGUACUAAUUUAACUUUUGGAAUCCUGAAGAUUUAUAAAGCUUUGUUUAUUUUUUUUUCCCCCAAAAGCAGCAGAUGUAUUUCAUUCAACUAACUGCUAAUUACAAAAGUUUGAACAACUGCUCUGAAUAUCUUCCCUGGCUGCAUUCAUCAGCCAGACAGGGAAGGAGGUCGUCCAAGAGGUUUCCUUACAAUAGUUGGUGGCAACCUGUGCCAAAGCGUGACUUACAAAGUUGCAAUUCCUUUCAACAAAAGAAAAACAACAUUUCUCAAAGAAACUGCUCAUCCCAAAGAAAUCUUCCAGUAUCGUGCCAAUCCACUUAUAAAGCUUUGUUUAAUUGAAUAAAAGGAACACAAAAAUGCAAAAGAUAAUAAAGAAUAGAAACGAUUAUUCCAUGACUAUAAAAUUUGGGGCAAAAUGUUCCCGUGGCCCUCAAACUAUUAUGAAAUUUAAUUUUGGCCCACCAACUAUUAACUGAAAAGUUUUAGCCAUCCAACUAAUUAAAAUAGAUAAUUCUAACCCUUCCGUCAACUUCAGUCAUUAUGUCUAAUAGAGCUACAGGAUUCAAGAGAUGGUCAAAAUGCCCAAGUGGCCCUAAAACUAUCACAACAUUCAAUUUUUGGCCCUUCAACUAUUAACAGAUAAGCUAUAGUUUUCCAACUAAUUAAAAUGUAUAAUCUUAACCCUUCCAUCAACUUGAGUCAUUAUGUCAAAUAGAAACGUCUAUUGAUAAAAAAAAAUCUGAGAUGUGCCCAACCAACCUAUUGUUCGACAAAUCAAGAAGGCCAAAAUGUAGAUUUGGAAGAAUUUCACUAGAGAAUUGAUUAUUUGAGAGAGUUAAAAAGUUCAAACUUGGAGCGGAACCAAGGCAUGUUGGAAUAUUUCUAAAAAAUCAAUUAUAUGUCAGGUUUAUGUUAUUAAGAGAAGCACAUGAAUCCAAUGAAUCUAAAACAACACAAAAAAAUGAGUUAAAUUCCAAAUGAAGACAACUCAAUUUCUUCAAAUUGCCUAUCCUUGGUGAAAUUUCUCUGUUCAGAGUUUUUGGUUAUGGGAUUUCAAUUGAUUUGGAUCAAUUUCAACAAUUGGAGAUUUGGUAAAUUAUUAGUUUAUAAGUCAAAUAGGGGUAAAACAACUUUACCUUAACACAUAUCCAGUGAAGAUGAAGAUGAAAAUGCCUCUUGUUUAUGUCCCUACUGUGCACGUGGUGAUAUUUCUGUUCGAUAUAACGACUCAAUUUGAUGAAAGGGUUAGAAUUAUAUGUUUUAAUUAGUUUGGGGGAUAAAAUUUAUCAGUAAUUGUAGGGCCAAAAGUUAAACUUUAUAGUAGUUUGAGGGCCACUGCUAUGCACGUCAUGCUAUUUCUAUUAGACACAAUGAUUCAAUUUGACGGAAGGGCUAGAAUUAUAUGUUUUAAUUAGUUAGAAAAAUAAAACUUAUCAAUUAAUAGUUAGAGGGUCAAAAAUUAAACUUCGCAAUAGUUUGCCCUAAAAUUUAUAGUCAGUUGCGUGCCUAGGCAUACUAAUAGCUAAUAAAAUUCCAUGGUCAUUAUCUUGUCCAAAUAUUCCUAUGUUCGAUUUAUAUAUUCUUAUUGUAGUUGUACCUUAUAAAAAAUGCUACAAUACUCUCGAUCUGUCCCUCCAAAUCCAACCCCUACCUUCUUGUGGCACCGAUCACAAUUGUCACCCAUAUUGGCUAAAGUCUAUGACAUUAUAAACUACUGGGGUUGGUCUGGUGAUUGGGGGAUGGCUCUUAUAAUUCUUUCUAUUGUUAGGUUUAGAGUUUGAAUUCUGAGUUGACAAUUAAGGAUAGGAAGGGUGUGGGGGAGGAAUGAAAGUUUAAGGGGAGAAGGAAUAAGUCUAUGACAUUAUAGCUCUAAACUCCAAAUUUCAUGCUGAGCAUGAUAUUGCAUGAUUUUGGUCACGGAUUAGCCAAAAGUGGGCGGAGAGCCAUCAAUUGGCUGAUAGUCGUGGUGGCUACUCCACUCAUUCCUCCUAGUGUAAACAAAUUACAAAAUAUUGCUGUUAUGUUGGAUAAAUUGAGGCAAUACUUCAGGCUAGAAUCACAAUUUAAACCAUAUCCACGACACUUAAAAAGACUAGAUGGCUAAAUUCACUGUUCCCAAUUGCCUAACUUUUUACAGUAGAAAUUUAAAGUAAAUAAUGCAUCUUCCUUGACAAUUUUUCCCUGAAUUCUUGUUGCAACUUGGAUGAUUGGAGUAAAGGACCGGCAGAUCGGAGAAAGCAGGGAAAAAGCGAACGAGAUAAGAACAAAAGAAACAUAGGGUUUGUGUAGGGAAAUGUUAAUGGCACUUCACUUUUUAUUAAUUGCACUCUCAUUAUUAUUUUAUCAUAUAAUUUUUAUUUAUUAGACUAUAUAAUAAACAAAUGAUGGGAGAGCGAUUACCAAAAAGUGAGAUGCAAUUACCAAAAAGUGAGAUGCGAUUAAUAUUUCAAUUUAUAGAUUUAUAGAUAUAUUUGUCUUGUGGUAGAGGACGUGUUUAGGGAGGCAAAUGCAACAGCGGAUUGGUUGGCUACUUCGAGGACGGCUUCUCAACAUUUAUUUAUGUCAUUAGCAGAUUCGCCUAGACAAUGUAAAGUGCUAGUUAAGUUAGAUGCUCAAGGACUUUUAAAUUUUAGAACAAUUUCUGUAAGAGAGUAAGUACUCCCUAUUUCUAGUUUUUUCCAUGUAUUGGAGGUUUUGAUUUGGUCCCCUCCAUUUGUUUAUUUAUCUUGACGUUAAUAAAAUCUGGUUGGCAUCCCUCCCCAUGUACGAGUUUGCCAAACAAAAAAAAAAAAACAUUAGAAAUGUGUAUGUCUGUACGUAAUUUAACCAAUUGACUUGUUGGAAUAGUAACUAAUUUACCCAAUGUCUUCACCAGCUCUCUGCUUGGACCAGGUCUGAUUAAACCUUCUAACUUGCCCAUCCUACUAAUCAAUUUUUCAUUUUAUUUCCCUUUCACAAUUAAGUAUGACAAUUUAAUUUAACUAGACAGAGACUUUUUUGUGGGAAUAGUUAGAGGUCUAGUGUGAUUCUCUCUCCCUCUCUCUCUAUCUUUCACAUUUUGUUGGCAAGACAAAGAACUAUUAUUAGUUAUUUUAUUUUCUUAGACUACUUUUACUAGUCAAUACGUGUGGCAACAACAGUGGCACACAAGGACGAGAAUAAUAGUGCAAACUUUUUGGAUCAAACAAAAGAAUUUUCAGUUUUUAACUUAGGAUGACAGAGACUCGGAUACUCUUAAAAAAUCUCUCUUAUCAAAUCUUAACAUGUAUAGCCAAGUAUUUUAUGAAAUUCUAUCGAGUAACCAUACCGAUUUUAAUUCUCAUUACCAAAUCUUCUUACUCAUGGGCUUAGGUUACUGAUCCGAUACCCUCUACCCACUAAAUUAAAUAGUACAAAAAAGAAAAAUUAACUUUUAUUAAGCUAAAAUCAAUAUAUACAUCAUAUUGAAUUAACACUAGAGCUUGCAUGAGAAAUAUCCAACAUUUAAUGAAGGAUUAAAUCAAUAUUCUUCUAUUUUUAAUCAUGACUAUCUUUAUUUGUGUUGGAUUAGAUUUAUAUAUUAUUGGGUCAUAAAAUUAACGUGUUAUUGGACUAUUAGAUUGGAAAUUAGGAAUACAUACUAUAUAUAUAUAUAUAUAUAUAUAUGGGGUAUCAGGAUUUUAGGAUUUUUUUUAUCAAAUUCUAUCGGAUUACCCAUUGAUAACUCCUCAUCAAUACCAAUCCUGACGGAUAACCCAUCGGUUGUAUAAUUGAAUUAACAAUCGGAUUGAAUACCCGUGUGUAUCGGAUUUUAUCCUACACAUCGUCAUCUCUAUUUACAGUAAAAAGCCAAUUAUCAUACACUUUUGCAUAACUAUAUGAAUUCAAUUUGGCGCAUCCCACCACACAGGCCGGCGAUUGAUUUAAUCAUCAUUUCCUAUUAUGUGAUCCUCUUUUAGUAAUUAGAUUAUUAAUUAUUAUCUUAACUCCCAAAUUUCAAGAACAUAAUAUUAGUAGUGUUGUCAAUUGUGAAAUUAGAAAUAAAUAUGGGUGAUGGUAGAUAAAAAGGGUUGAAAUCCGAAAGACUCAAUCAUCCCCAACAAAUGAAACUGAUUAUUUGGAUAGGGUAUUAUUUGAAAUAUUAUUUGGAAUAAUUACUGUAGUACUUUUUGUGAUGUGAUGUAUGUGAGAUAAAAAGGUGGUUGAGAAUAUAAAAAUGUGAGUUGGAAAAUGUGUUUAUGAUGCAAGCGAAAUAUUAUUUGAAAUACUUGUUUGGAUAGAGUAUUAUUUGAAAUAUUAUUUGAAAUAAUUACUAUAGCACUUUUUGUGAUACGAUAUAUGUGAGAUAAAAAGGUGGUUGAAAAUAUAAAAAGACGGGUUGAAAAAUAUGUUUAUAAUGUAAAUAAAAUAUUAUUUGGGAUAAAUUUACUAUCCAAACACUCAUGUCUUUUUUUUUCCCCCGAAACAGUAGAAUAACAGAAAUCAUGUCAAGUGCUGCGCCUAAAAACAUCAUGCAAAUAGGAGAAAAUUCCUUUUUGACUACUGAAUUUUAAACUAUAUAUAUGUAUUUUUUUUUUUUGUCAAAGCCUUUCGUAAGGCUUUUGUGACUUUACAAACCUAAACCCCGAGAAAAAAUCAGAAGCAGGCAACUCUUGAGGUUCCUCAGGAGACUUAUAAACCCACCCAAAUCCCCUCCUAGCCCCGAUGUGGGAUAACCACCUAAAGGGGGCAGCUGUUACUAAGACCUAAAGAGACCCCACUAACCCCGGUCCAGGCGAUUUUAAACUAUAUAUAUGUAUGCGUGAUAAAGUUUGAGUAGAAUUCGGUAGUGAACUAAACGUGGCAUCUUUAAUCGGCAUGUAAAAGUUGGGUAUUCUCCAACUACAAGACCGUUUAAAAGAGAUUAUUUAUUAAUUUGUUAGAAUAUGAUCACAUAAUAGGACUGUUCCACAAAGAAUUGAUGAUGUAAAAGUUUCAAAGUGGAAAUUGCAGCAAAAAACACAUCUGACAAAAAUCAAAAGAAAGAAAAUCCCUAUGGAGAAAUCUAAUUCAAAGGCAAAAAGAAAAAUAAGAUCUGAAUUAAUGGUAGAAAUUACAUUGAUCUGUUUCUGUCAUUAAUUUGUGAUCUGUCAAUGCAAAUUAGUAAGUAGAUAAUUACAUGAGUAAACCUAUUUCUGAAAUUAAUGUUUGAUCUGUUGUAUCUCUACGGAGCAAUUCUUCCACCUAUUCCGGAAGCAAAUUAUCUACUUCUCACGUUUGGCGAAUAGCCGGAACAUUGAGGAAUACCCGGAAAGGCAUUUUUGAGAAUCGGUCUGAUUCUAUCACUUUCCAAAAUGUUCAAAGACCAUAAGAAAAAGCAAGAACUAGAACGGACGAAACCAAAACAGGGAAUCGGUCUGGUUCUGGAGGUAGUUUUGAUGAAAUGCAGAUGAAAACACUAAUGGUCCUUGCUUUGUCUAUAGUAAAGUAGAUCAUAAGGACAAGAGCAGAAGGGGAUUCACACCCCAAACUCUAAGAACUUCAACUGCCAAUGAUUAAUCUGGAUAACAACAGGAAAGCUGGACUAUGUGGAAGUGCUGCAUAAGUUGUAACCAGCCCUUCAACACAUUCAUAUUCUGCUUAAACCCUACUGACGGUCCCAUAGCUUAUGAAGUGAAUCAGAGAUUAACCUGGAAUCUGCCUCAAUGAGAAGACUUGUCUUGAGUUCUAGUAACAUACAUGAAGACCCUCGCUUAUAGCAAGAAGUUAAGCACAAUUAAGAACAAUUUCCAUCAUUCUUAGCAAAAGCAAACUUGUUGAGUUUUACAAUCCCCCACAUGGUUGGAAUCUAUGUGCACACAUGUUGAAAUUGAACUCACUUUGCCCUUCUGAAGUUAUCAAUAUGGAACUGCAGAAACUUGGAUCACAUUCACACCUGUAACACUAUAUUCAAGAAAAGGAGAUAAAGUUUAAGUGAGUUUCAGCUUGCAAAGCUUUGGUCCAAAAUCCUUGAAGGCAAAAGCUAGUGAUAGAGGAAAGGGCAGGCCGGUGCUUUAUAUGGUUUCCGGCACCCCAGGGGCAAGUGGCAAAUGUAAGAAAAGCUCAAAGACAGAGAAACAGCUACUUGCAAGCACGAACGGGUAGAAGAUGCAAGAGAAAACAUUUUCUCUCUGUGGAAGGCUUAAUUGCGAUGUCCUCCUUCAAUUGAAUGUAGGCAGGGUGGAAGGACUAUGCUCAGUAACAGUAGCAAUCAUCAGCACCAUGUCUCUAGAAGAAGACAUGCUCCAUGUCAUGUACUGGACAAGGACAACUCCUGAUUAUCAUAAUGAUACUCUGCUUCAACCUCAGAUAGUUUCGAGUUAUGAAUGGUGCAAGUUACUCAGACCUUUGUAUUGAAGAACUCUAAAGGUGCAGGCUGAGUAGCCAACUGAACAAAAGGCUAAAGGAACAGGCUUGAGCAUCCAACUGAACAAGAGUACCUGAGCGGCACCAACAGGUUCCAAAAUGCAACACUCCAUUGAACCCCAUACUGCAGGUCAAAAAUUGCCUUCCAAAUGACUUUAAAAGCCAGGAAGUCUUAGUAUUACAGCCUGCCAAGAAUAUGUUUUCCUAGAAGUACUUGUGCUUCCACCGUCAUAUUUACGUAAAUCACCAACUCCUCAUAAAUCCAAACUGCAGGCCAGCAGCCAAACUAGUACUAUUCAGUAUCCUUUCCACUGUUAUAUGUACCCCUAUUAAUGUUUAGAGGAAGUAAUAUAAAGCAGGAGAAUAAGUUACUCUUCAUGGAAAUUUUACUUAUAAAGGUAGAGUAACUGUUCAUAGCAAAAAAAUGGAAAAAGGUAACCUCUGAGGUCACUAUGAGUUGAAACUGCAUCUACAAUUUAUUGGUUCAAUAGGAAAAAAAUUGGAUAACUGCAACGACAAAAAGGGUUACGUUCUACAAUCAUUUCCAGAAGCCGGAACUUUCCAUUCUAAACAAGCACUCUUUCCUGAGAGGUGAAUCAGUGAAAAUGGCCCUGAUGAAGUCUUCCACCUAUAAAAGUCAUGUUAGUUAAGAAACAGUGAGUGAUUUAAUUUCAUUCAUAGAAAUCCAUCAACAUUUAAGCAAAGUAAAGAAAAUUGAAUAAGGCUGAUGCACCCUAGAAUGGAAUUAUUCCAAAUGUCAAAGUUAAGGUUGGCAAUAUUACCACAGCAAUUUUCUGACUUGGAAAAGUUUGCCCAUCAUUAGCCAAUGUUUGUUAAUUCAUAUAACACUCAAGGGCAAUAAACAAACUUUAUCCCCCACAACCUCCAAAGUCUCUCGUUUGAUUAAUUUGCCACCUAAAACCAUGAAAUUUCGCAAUGGCAACCACCCCUUCCUCUUCCUUUUCCUCUUUAUUCUUUCCCCAGUGCCACUACUAGUCAACAAACCAAGCUGCUCAGAAGCAUCUUGGUCAAAUGCUCACUCACACUCAGUCAAACACGAGUCUAAGCAUGCUCGUUGAGGUAACGAGCCAAACUCAAGCUUGUUAGAAUGCACAUCAAGCAACUCAAUAUUGUCUGUGAAAUAUAUUUACAUAUACAACCAUAUACAUUAUACAUACAUGCAUAACCAUAUACAUCUAUAUACACACACAUCCAUACAUAUAUGUAUAUACACUAUAUAUGUGUAUAUAUAUGUGGGUGCUUAUAUGAUAUUCAUACAUAUAUGUAACAUUACUAAUAUGUCUGUUCCUUCGGGACAAAUUACAUCUUUUUUCUCGAGUUCAAGCUCGAACUCAUCUUCAGUAACAGCUCGAGCUCGAUCAAUUGUCUGCCUCUCAAGAGAGCAUGAGCCAAGCUUGAACGCACCGUCCAUAAGACAAGUCGAUCACAAAAUCUGAUUUUGAUGCUCGAUUGAGCUCGAGCUCAAGUAGAACUAUUUCUCACGAGUCGUAAUUGGCUCAUUUACAACUCAACUUCACCCUCACAACUCUGUUAGCUUUCUCUUCCAUCUUCUCUCUCCAAAAGCCCGCAUCUCUUCGAUCUUCUCUCUCCAAAAGCCCGCACCCCAAAUGUGGACGCCGAGCACUCUCAACCACAAAUUUAUUCCCCAACACCCUCAUCCAAUCAAACCCUGAUAUUUAAAACCAAUGGUGUUUCUCUCUCUCCUUAUAUGAAGGCAAGGAAUGGGAGGAUAAGCUAGUUGCUGGGCAUAUGUUCUAUUAAAGUGUACUUCUGCCCCAAAAAAAGGAAAAUAUAAUUUGGUGAUGAUUUAGGACUUAAAAAUAUGUGAAGUUAGUCACACAGUAUGAAUUAGAUUUUUUUCUUUUUAAACCUCUUAUCCUCUUUAUUUUAUUCAUCAUGUUUGUGAAAUGAGGAUAUCAACCAUUUUUGUAUACUCUUUUCACAUGUUUUACUUAUGUGAAGCACCACAGAGAGGGCAAAAAAAGAAGAAUAUUUGAUCGAUGUAAUGGUAGUGAUGGCAUGCUAGAGAUGAAGUGCAAAUUUUGGACAUUUGGAAGUGGAACUAAGACUUGGUGCACAACUGGAAAGAAAUAAAGGGGUUUCUCCUUUUUGUUCGUAUAAAAGAAACAAACGCAAGAGUUGGAUGGCAGUAGACAGGGCCACUGAUGUGAGCUCAGAGUAUUUUUACGCAACCAGACUACAAAUUUGCAAUAAGUAUUUAGUUAAAUAAAUAAACAUGGAAAACUUGUCCUUAAAUAAUACAUUUGCUCUGGCAGCUAAUUUUGGCUGUAGCAGCAUCGCCACCCGAGUGGUAAAGAUUGUUUAGAGUUUAGUAAGAAGUAAAAAGUGUCUUCUUUCACAAAGACAUUUAUGUACGAAGUGUUCAAUUCUUUGAGAAUCAUUUCAACUAAACACAGAAAAGAAAGAAAAUGUAUCAAAUGUCAUUGCGUGUUAUUUUACCUCUGUCAUUGUAAAUCCACAACUGACUAGUUCACCACUCUCCCAGGCUGCAGUAAUGGACUUCAAAGGCAUGUCCAGAAGAUCUGACAAAUUACAAGAUGUUAAGCAAAAAAUCGAAAAGCCAACUUCCUUUAAACUGUGGAUCAGUGUCUUCAAACAUUCACAUGCAAAGCACAGAAAAGAAUAUGAUACCUUCCAAUUUGUGUAACUUUUGAAGGGAUGGAAUAAGAUCAUUAACUGAGACUACUUGGCUUUGUUCUGAACUCCUUGUCUGCUUGAUGUCCAAUAGUGAUGCUAAUAUAGAUGACAGGUUCUCAAAAAGCAAAUGAACCAGUCUUUGAAGCUUCAAACAAUCAGAAAUGAGGUUAAUUACAUAAAAUCUAAUUUCUUUCAACUAAAAUUUCAAAAGCAGAUCAACAUUGUACCUGUAAAGUUUCUUCUGCCGCCAUGUCAUCUAAAAGAAGAAUGUCUUUUGUAAUUCUUGAGAAAACUACCUCCAGAACCAUGCACAUACUCCUUUUGUAGAUUGAAGGCAUUAACAGAGGCUCCCAUAUGAUGUGUACUUUCUCAAGUAUAAAUGCAACCUAAACAAGAAACGGUCAAAGCUACUUCAUAGCAAAGACAGAAUACUGGAUUUCUAAGUCAGAAUUUCCCUCAUCCAUCAAGAUUACCUGGUCAAUGCUAAAUUUAGCAGACUCGUAUUGCUUUGUUAGGUGGGUGUUUUGAAACCCACCAGCACCAUCAAUAGCCUACAAACUCAAAACAUUUUAGUAUAGCUCUAAAAGGAACAUGUACAGACCUCAUUCAGAAGCAAUGUUGUGUUUCAGCCAUACCUGCUCUAAGUUGAAAAUAACAACUUGAAUUUGUCUCUGCAAUAUUUCUUCUGCUAUCAGCUGGAAUCGUGGAGCCAAAUCAGCAAAGACAGCCAUUUCCUUGAUAGGAUUUGGAAAGUCUGGACGAUACUGAAAAAUUAAAAUUACAUGAACAAAAAUUAUAACUAAAUUGCAAUUAAAGUAUAAGCUCAAGUAGUUUAUUGAAAAGAACAGCAAUCAAUCUUCAGUCAGAAGCACAAAACCUAUAAAUCAUGAUCAUGUCAGAACAGACGUCACAAGCAAAGCAAGUAUUCACCUAACAAAUGAUACUCUGGACAAAGAAUUGUUCUACAGUAAGGUGCAAUAAUACAAUUAACAGAAAUAGUUUUAGUCACGAAGUUCCUUGAGCAACGUUUUUUUUUUUUCCAGUAAUUAGGUGUCAAGCCCAGUGCCCGAGGGUCACCACUGAAAACUCUUGGAAACCCUGGGAUAGGAAAACCUCUGCACUCCAUUCUUAGGGUCAAACUUAUAGUAAUGCUGUUGAACAUUGAGCAAUCUAAUUGUUCACCAAGUCUCAAGUUAUUCAUUUUCCCGCUCUAAAACUUUCUGUGAGUCAAAACAAAGAUCAGCACAAAACCUUUUUCUUGCAAGUGUCAUGCCUUGUAAUUUAACUAGCCUUUCCAACAACAUGUGAAUUCCAGGAAGGGGGAAGAACUGUCAUCUUUCUUGUAGAAAACCCAUUAAAAACUUCACACAGCAAGGAAUUACUAAAGAAUCAAUUGGAAUUUCUGCCAGAUCAUCAAACCCAGGGCAACAUAUCUGAAUUGCCUAAUCUCCACUAUUUUCAAAGAAAUUUCAGUAUAAAAACCUAAGGAGUCUUGUAAUAUGAGUUCUUCACACUUCUGGAUAAGUUCUAAUACUUAAAAAAAAAAUUGUGAGGAACAAGCAUGAGGUUUUUUUCUUGUUUUUUAAGAAAGAACUGCAAAUACAGAAGUACAAAACUAGGUGAAAUGGACCAACUGCCAGCAAAUACCAAACUAGCACCUCUGAUCCAUAAGAUAGCAUGAAAACAUCUUCAGCAUCAGAAGUUCUAUACAAGUUUGGCCCCAUAGCCAGAUAUAUACGAAACUGCCAGAGGUAAUGUAAACCAGUUUUAAGUUUCAAACAGAAGCAUAUAAAAGUUUUAAGAAUAUGUCAGCAACAAAAACAGAAUCUAUCUAGUAUUUUUUAGAUGAAGAAGUCUGAUUCUGGCAUAUUGGGAAUAUAUUAGCAGCAAAAAAUUAUAUAAAUACCAACCUCAAAGGCAAGACCAAGGAUCUCCUGAGCCAAAUAUAGACAGUCAUUGUGCAUGAGAACAGCUGCCUGGUUAAUGGUAGCAAGCUGCUUUUCUAGCUUCAAGAAAUCAAAAGAUGAUAUUAUGACCAUAGGGUGCUGUUUAAUAUGAGUAAAAAAUUCAAUCCCAAGAGUGCAGCAGCAUAUCUUGAGCCAAAUAGAACAGCAAGGUAGUGAGGCUAGAAAACAUGUUUAACAGCUAGGAAAACCCAUCCUUCAGAUCGAUGGACAUCGCUAAUUGAAACCAUGUGUUUACUGACCUUGACAGGUACGACAGCUUCAUAAAGGAGACAAGCAUCUCUAGCAGCAUAAUAGAAUUCUAAUCCAACUCUUGGAGAUGACAAGCAGACAUCCUGUUUGUAACACCACUAUUAGUAACAACGACGCAGCAUAAUGCUAUCUUGAAUGACAAGCCAAGAUUCCUAAACGGUGGUUUUACAGGAAGAGUUCAGGUUGAUACGCACAUAAAAGUAGCAAAAUAGUUGAGGUACAAAAUGGAAGGACAAAUAACUCUCGUCUCCCUCCAGCCACUAGAAGAAGAAAAUUUCUUCCCUCCCUCCCUCCCUCCCUCUCUCUCUCUCUCUCUCUCUCUGUAUCAGUGUUUUUUUUCUCUCUCUCUCCCCAUGUGUGCAUGCGUUGUUUGGGGUUGUGGGGAGGGGUGGAUGGCGGAGGACAGUUUGAGUAAGAUGCAAAAUAAUGCAUACAGCCCCAAGGAGUACCUCAUGAGGUCAUACUCCAGUCAACUAUGUUUCAUGAAAUCACUCUACAAACAAAAGAUAAGAAAUUUCAAUCUCUGAUCUUCCAAGUUACCAAGUAACCUACAGGAGUUGGUUCUCAGUAACUUAUAAACUGCUCUGAAUCAGAUCAUAUUCUUCUCAAGAGCUCUACUCAAUCAUGUAAUUAGCUGUACUCUCCAGAAAGUAGCACAGCACUAUGCCUGAAUAAAUUCAGUACCAACUUCCCAGAAACCACAUCUUGACAAAUAUUAUUUAUCCCUGAUUGCAAGGUAUUACCUACUCUUACAGAAUGGAAUAUUAAACUCAAGGUAAAACUUAGGUCAUUUAAAUCCUUUUAAGCAAAUAUUUACUACCCAAAAAAAAAGCAUCUCCAUAGCCACCUUUUCAUUUCCCAGAUAAUUUAUUCUUCAAAAGAAAAUUUUUCCAGAGUACUUCAUUAUCAUUACCAAGAUGAGAGAAUCAAACAGGAUAAUUGGAUUAAGAAUCCAUGAAAAGAUAUUCUCAAAAUGAUCAGUACUCUCCCUUGCCCGACUUCAUGUUGAAGAUAAUAUCUUCUGAGUACUACUCUGGUUCAAAAAUUGCUCAAAUAUACUUCACCAUCUUACUAAAAUGACCAGCACAAGAGAAUAAAAUGGAGCAAUUUGAUGAACAAGCCAUCACAAAUGCAAAGCAAGGAAGGUAGCAGAGAAGAUGCAAAUAUAAAUACGGAGCAGCUUUGACUCAGUGGAUAAACUGAUUUAACAUGACUUUUCAUAGAUUUAGCAGAGAUCAAAUUAUCCUUUCAGUCAACUCACCUUAAGGGUUUUAUGCACCAGCUCCAUCAAAUUUAAAGCUGCUUCAGAAACAACACACCUUUCAGAUGUAAAAAGCAAAGUGACAACACGAUUGGAGAAAUUUUCAGCAAUUUCUUCAUUUUCCGGUUCACUACUUAUCCUUGUAUGGUCCUACAGAGAUUCCCAUAGAUAAUCUCAGCUCCAUGCUUCUAAAAGAUCAAAUGUCACUUAAUAUGAUUUAUACAACUCACUUGAGGAAUAGUGAAGGCAGCUUGUAGAAGCAUAUAUCGAGCUUUGGCUAAAAUCUCAACCUUCUUCCUUGAAGCAAAGUGAACCUCAACAUUGUUGGCAAAUUCAGUUAGUCUUUCAUCCUUGUUAUCAGAGGUCGAAAUGAACAUCAACUCCUUUAAAUCUGUCUCAAACUCUGAGGAAAGCUUCACAAUUUUCUGAAAGUUGUCAAGUUUGGAAGCAUCAUCCGGGACAAACUGAAACCAAAAAUAGCAAAUCUCAGUAUAACCCAUACUGGAAAAAGUUUUACCCUGAGCUUGUGAAAUUCUCACCCUACAUAGGUAGUUACCUAUAUUUAACAAAAGGUGCACACAUACACCAAGAGACACAUACAAUACUAACAAUUGCAUACUUAUGUUUUCAUACAGACGUUGAUACACACACUAUGCAUGCAUUCAGAUGUUUAAACUUGAACUUUCUAAUACUUUUUCAUUAUUUAAUUAACAAUCUUGAGGAGGCAAAAAAGACAACCAAGGUCCAACUUGAGACACCUAAGAAUAAAGGCAACCAAAACAUUAACAAAGACAAGCCAGAUAAAUCUCACUGAGACCAGCAAUAAUUUCCAAGACCAAAGAAUAAGUGGGUUUACACAAACCUUGGCAAGAAACUUCGAAAUGAUCAUAUCUGACAUCCUUGGCCACGUCAAUCUUCCAAAACGGCGCAUCCAGAGUCCAUUUUGGAAGCAAAACGAUUUGUUUAUAAACAUAACAAUCUGAACUAGUGCAGAAUAGACUGUUUCACCAUCUAAACUGUUACUCUACAAAUGAAAAAUGUCAGAUUCAUGUAGAAUCUAUGAAAAUUUUAACCUGCAUAGUUUGAGAGAUGCAAGUUGGGCAUUUCUUACCAUGAAAAAAGGAUAUAUGAUGUACCAUUUUGAAACAUAGAGUUAAACAAAAAGAAUCUGGAAUUGUACCAUGUCAUUUGUACAUGAAACAAUAGUAAGAACUGCCUCGGAGGUUGGCCCCUGGUCUUCACUAAUUUCCUCCACAACUGAAACAGAUGAUCUACAACUAACUGCUCGAGCAAUGAUAUGUUUGAUCAUUAAGUCGGCUACUCUUGCUAGCCCAUAAUCCAAAAUGCCAACUGCCUAGUAAAACAACAAUUACAAAAUGAAACUGCUCCCCAAGUUUUGAAGUUCGGGAAGAGUUAAAUAUAUGUAAAUAGUUAAUACUAGAGUAGCUUAGAUUGCUUGAUGUGUGAGAGUUUCAACUGCAGUAAUUAGAAACCUGUUCCUGUUCCAAUGUGGCACUUUAGUGCUUGUAUGCUUGCCAAUAUCAUAUCUAUAUGGCCUCAGUAUUCCAUGAGGCAUAACUCAUAACUAAUGUUUAUGCUUUAUAGUUAUAAAGCAGAUGCAAUUCACAAAUUGAAACAAGUAAACCAAAAACAAAUAACAAAAGACCAAGACGGAGGGAGGAAGGGAGGGAGGGAGACAGAUAGAGAAGCUGCAAACCUACAUCCAUGGCUUUCAAGACUGUAUGAAGCUCAAUCUUUUCAGCUCCAUCCAUGCCCAACCAAUACUUUACACGAAAUGAACUGCUAUCCUGGUCAAAUCUCACAGCACUCUCCACAAACCUCAUUAGGGCUUCAUGUAACUACAACCAAAAGUGAUAAAAUAGAUGAGAAUAAUAAUCCUCACAAACAUUGCCAUUGUCAAAUAAAUGUUUAUCCCAAAAGAGGAUAGUUCAAUAAAGUAUCAUUUUUUAUGCAUCAAACUCUGGAUAAUUUCCAGACAAUAAAGCAUCUUGCAUUUAAUUCAUUCAAGAUAGCAGCUUAUUAAGCUCUUAAAUAUCCAGAUUAAUCUUCACAGCAUAUAACUUUAAUUUGUAGAUACAUCAAUCCUAUUCACAGGUUUUAAAACAAUUGCUAAACUUCACAAUUUUUAACUGAUCUGAUAGGUACACAAAUAUAACCAAUAAAGAGUGAUUCAAAACAACAUAAAAGAAAAUUUGCUACCUUGUCAAAACAGUCAGCCCAUUCUUUCCUUAACAGUCCAUAUGCCAACAGUUGACUUUCUUCAUCUUGUGCUGCAGCUGCUUCAUCAUUAUGCACAUGUAAAGCUGUCUUCAGUUCUCUGAGGGCCACUGCAGCCUCUUCAACUCUACCAAUUCUGAUAUCCUCCUUCACAAGUCUCAAUUUCUCGCACAAUUCCAAAAUUAGCCCCAACAACUCCAACACUUCCCUCUUCUCCCUUACCUCUUUCCUCUUUGCAACCAUUUCUUCAAUAACCGACUUGAUUUUGGUGUCAACAGGGUGGUCUGAGAUUAGAUUAAGUAUAUUAAACAAUUCACUUGAGAGCUGUUCAGUCCUGGUAACAACGUCAGAGCAUUGAGAGAAGAGGGAAGAGAAGUCCAGUUGGUGAGAUCGGAGGUAGUCAUGGACUUUUGAUUUAAUGUGGAGAGAGCGGACUUGCAGGCGGUCAAUGAGGAGAUGAAGAUCAGGUGUGGAUAGUGGGGUUGAGGGGUCAUCUAGGUCUGGUGUUGAGAGAAGAUCUCGGAUAUCUAUUGAAUUGAACAGUACAUCCAUUAAGGGUCUGGGUCACCGGAUACCUCACUUUUUCUUUUGUUCUCUUUUCCCAGGGAAAAAAAACUGGUCAGGGUUUUGGUAAAGGUAAAUAUUCCAGUGCAGAGGGUUCUAAACAAAACACCUGAUCAAUCAAUAUGUACUGUCUGUUCAAUUUCCAAGAGCUAACCGGACACUAAACUUCAUUAGCCUCUGGUGUUAAAGCCAGUAAGAAAAUCAAUCCAUCCUCCUGAAAAAAAGCAAUAGACGUUAGGGAUGAUACAUAGGUGUAGGGGCUUACUAAAACAACUUUCAAGAUCCAGAAGAGCCAUUUAAUUUGUAGUAUUAAAGGAAACAAUAAAAUUCUAGGCAGUUAGUUUUCAAUCCCAGGAUUGAAUGGUUACAUGGAAAAUUCUCAUAAACACUCAGUAACAGUACACUGUAUAUCACAUACACGGGAUAAUGAUAUGUGUUUGCAACACCAAACUGUGUUCAGAUGGCAAAGUGUUAUGAGGAGCUUCAUACGCACUUAAACCCCUGUGACUGGAUUCGAGCUAGGCCUAGCACUCAAAAUGUCAAUAAAGAUGCUAACACUUAAAGAGAAAAAAAGACAAAGAACCUACAAUGUAAAUUAAUCCCAAUCAAAGAUAAACUUCAGCAGAAUGAGAUAGAAUACACCAAGUCUUCAUCCUUACAAAUAUAACAUGAAGCUCCACAAGUGCCUACAAUUUGCUGAUUUCAUUCAGGCCAUACUAAAAUACAGGAAUCCGUCCUCAAACACGACGAAACACAGACCAACUAUUGCACUAACAGAACUCAUUGUCAAUUUCUUUUUCAACCAAAGAGGUGAAGAGUAUAAAACGAACAUCACAAAAACUAACUGAAGAAACAUGUGAAACUGCAUUAACAACUAACUGAUGCUAAUUCAUACAUAUCACCAAUAAAAUAUUCAUUGAUUUUAGCUACUGCCUGGAGAUGAAACUACUAUUUCUGGACAAAUAAAAACCCAGAAAAGUACAUGAAUUUUCAAAAUAACUAUGAAAACAAAACAAAAGGAACAUGUAACUAGAACAAGAAGUAAGUGAGUAUCAGCUAACUAAGUUGAACAAGAAACAAUUACAUUCCAAUACUAACCUCAAAAUUCUCCAAAUGAAUGUGCAAUUACUGGCUAAUCACCUGAAUUGAACGACACCCUGAUCCUGAAUUUGGCAAGUAACAAUCUAGAUCAGCCCAAGAUUACGACAGAAAAAUUACUUCUUGUACAUCAAUUAGUUUUGAGGUAUGUGCUGAGAGAAGAAAGCGAACGUGUAAGGAUGAUACACCAGGAGUAGCAGAAAGAGGGGAAGGUAGGAAGGAAGAAAAGGCCCGGUAGUGGACUAGAGAGAUGGGAAGAUUCCGGCAGAAAAGGGUCGGAGAAAAGAGACCGACCGGCCGAAGUGGUGGUGGCCGGAGGAGAAAGGAGGUGGUGGAGGAAGGUAUUGCUUGUGGAACGUCGUUAUUUAUUUGAGUGAAAUGCUUAAUUUCAAAUUGUCCCCCAUAAUUAAGAAAAUAGCAAAUCAACCUCGACUUUCAUGAAACCUAUACAUUGCACCCCAUACUUCAUUGUAGUAAAUAUCUCGAAGAAAAUUGGAACCAUCCGAAAAAGUUGUCGUGUAAUCUUUUUUACAUUUUUUUUUUCCUUUCAUAGUGUAUUAUUUGAGGCCGACUCACUUGAUUAACCCCUAAUCGAAAGAAAUAAUCAUGUAAUCUUUUUUUUUCUUUUUCUUUUUCUUUCCUUUUUCAUCUUUGUUAUGUUUAGAUUUUUCUUUAUUCCUUUCUCACUCCUAUAUGAUCAAUAUGUCCAAAAGAAUUUCUUUUUAGUGCUUAAAAAUAAAUUACAAUUUUCUUAUGAAAAAAAUACUAUUUUUACUAUGAAUUCCUUGUAAUGCAUUAAUUGUAAUAAACAUAGGAAUUAAAUAUUUAUUUUAGUGAUGCGCUUUUAUUUUUUUCUUCUAUCUUCUUUAUCUUUUAAAAUUUCUUUUGGCACUUAGAUAUAUAACGUUAUUUUCCGUGAAAGAUGUUUAAUUAUUUUAAAUAUCAUAAGAAAUUUGUUUGGUAUGCGGCCAGCAUAUUAUACUUGGUUUCCUUAUACUAUAUAAGUAUGAGUUGUGAUCAAAUAUUGCAUUUAAAUUUCAACUGCAAAGGUAGGAGUAUUUUGGGAUUGUGAGGGGUUUCAAGUGUGGCUGUAGCGUGGGUAGAACUUAUGGUAGAAUGCGUUUUCUUUAGUUUAUUUAAAUGCCCUUAUAUUCAUUUAAAUGCAUCAUUGAUAUGUUCAAAGUUUAAGGGUAUUUUGGAAAUGUAAGACUAUUUUGAUCGUCUUUUGAGUAAUAGAUACAAAUUAUGAUGGUUUUAGUUUUGCUACAAUUACUUAGAUAUCCUUGGAUUCAUUUAAACACUCUUGGGUUGUCUUGCGAGUUAAAAGAAGCAAUUAUUAGCCAUUGUUAACUAUGAGAAUUUCAAGAGAGUGUUAUUGUGUAAGGUGUUAUAUUAGCAAUUAGUACUUUGUUUAUUGGUUUACACUAAUACCCUUACUAAUCUAUUUUAGAAAAACCUAGCUUGCUAGGAAAUUUAGUGAUUUAUUUAGUACGAGUUAUAUGUCUGAGCAUCAAUUUGAAUAGUUACUGAAACUUAUCCAAAUUGUUCCUUCUUCACAUUCUUUUUUUUUUCUCGAAAUGUUAAAUUACUUAUAUUGAUCUAAAAGAUGACUUUACAAUUCGAGCAACAGCUCGUCAAGCUGUAAAACUUGUGUUCAGCAACACAGAGGAAAACAUCCUUCCUCAUCUAUCAAAAUGCCUAAGGCAUAUGAGCUAACAUUAGCAAUAGUGUUACUAUUAUCAUUACUAUUUAAGCAAAAAGAGCACAUUCGAAACAACGACAUUAAGCAAAAAAUAUCCUCUAGGAUCGUUGCCAGCCUGCCAUCCGAUGAUUUACCAUACUUGAUUUGUCUUAACACUUCCUUGUGUUUGGAGUUGUAUUCGAACAUUGCACCAUCCUUUUUCUAGCGUUUUGCACAAGACUAGUCUGACUGCUGAAGUUACAUCUAUAUUCUUGUUUCCAUAGCUUCUGUCCUUUAAUGCCUAGAAUUCUGUUGUAUCAUGUGACAUUGUGUUGAGAGCAGCUCCAACACCCAACAAAGCAGGUCUCAAUAAGCUCGUUGUUGUCACUCUCAGCCUUAUCAAAUCCUGGUCCUCUUGUACCUCAUGUUCCCCAUCCAGGUCUGGCUUGUACUCUGAUCAGGUUCCUUCCUAUUUACUUCCUCCAUCUCCAACCAUUCUUUAUGUGCUUUUUUGAAUAACAUAGCAUGGUUGGUGUCUACCUUGGUUCUCAAAUUCCCUCUUGUUCCUUUCUUUCCAAAUGUGUCAUAAGAUGUUUGCAGUGAGACCAAUAUGGCUGUUACCCUCUUGCCUUGUUUUAGCUUCUGUGAUCCUGCUCCACCACCUUGUGAAGUUGCAUCUCUGGUUUUUGCUCCAUCCCACACAACUUGAGCUACUUUCCAGACAUCAUUUGCUAAGGGGCAUUGCAAAAGUGUGUGUUCUAUCGUUUCUGGCUCCUCUCCGCAUCCCUUGCACACUGGAUCCCCAAUUGCAGCUUUCCUGUGGAUUGCCUCUCUGACUGGUAGCGCUCCAUUAAUACACUUCCAGAUAAAUACCUUAACUUUGUGUUUGAUGUUGAGCUUCCACAGUGUAUUCCAAAUUUGAUUGCUUUGAUUACUGCCUGCAUCAAAACUAGUUCCAACAGAUUCCUGCCCUUUAUUGCUGCCUGAUCUCUCAUCUAAGAACCUUUUGUAACUAGAUCUCACUAUAUACUCGCCUCCUUCACUGUGUUUCCAGUAGUUGGAAUCCGCUCUACCUGCAAGACUAAUUAGAAUACUGAGAAUCCUCUCUGCAUCAGUCUUGUUGACAAUCUGAAUAUUACAUUUGUGUUCCAUCUACUUGGUUGAUUAGCUUAUGUACAAAAACAAGCUCACAUUUUGGGGGUCUUGGAGUUGUAGGCAGACGUAAUGGAGAAGUUGGUAUCCAUUUAUGCUCCCAUAUGUUUGUGCCUCUCCCAUUGCCAAUUCUCCUCCUUAUUCCUUCUUCCACAAUCCCUCUGACAUCCAUCAGUCCUUUCCAAAACCAAGAUGCAUUACCCUGAACUUUACAAGUAAAAAUUGAUUCCUUUGGAAAAUACUUGGCUUUCAAUACUUUGCUGACUAGGAGAUUUGGUUUGGUGAUUAAUCUCCAAACCUGUUUUCCUAGUAGAGCUUUGUUGAAAGCUUCUAAAUCCUUAAAUCCUAAGCCACCUUCCUGUCGAUCCUGAGCCAUUCUCCUCCAAGAUAUCCAGUGCAUUUUGUUUUUGCCAUUCUUUUUCCCCCCACCAAUAGUUGGCCAUAGCUGAGUUGAUAUCCUUGAGGAGUUUCCUAGGCAGUUUGAAACAAGACAUAACAUAGGUUGGCAUAGCCAUUGUGACUGCUUUGAUCAUAACUUCCUUUCCAGCAAGGCUUAGCAAUUUAUUCUUCCAACUUUCCAGCCUCCUCUUUAUCUUAUCUCUUAUGUAGCCAAAAAUCUGCUCCUUUGUUCUUGAAAUAACCAUAGGAAGACCAAGAUAUUUCCCUUGCUUCACUUCUGCCAUUUCUCCUAAAGCACUGCAAAUCUCCUGUUUCUGUCUACAUGUCAAAUUUUUGCUAAAAACACUGAUGAUUUCUCCAGAUUGAUUAGCUGUUCUGAGGCCUGUUCAUAAUCUUGGAGAAUCUUCAUGAGUUCCUUAGCUUGUUGCACAUCAGCUCUACAAAUAUAAGAGAAUCAUCCGCAAAAAAGAGGUGAGUUAUGCUUGGACCUUGUCUACUGAUCUUCAGGCCUUUCGGAUUUUUGCUUUCUGCUGAUCUUUGGAGUAGAUUUGAGAAGCCUUCUGAGCAGAUCAAAAACAGGUAAGGUGAGAAGGGAUCUCCUUGCCUUAUUCCUCUUCCUGGCUUUACAAAGCCUUUGACUUCCCCAUUGCAGUUGAAAGAGUAAGAGACAGUCUCCAAGCAUCUUGAUAUCCAGCUUACCCAUUUAUCAUAGAACCCCAUUCUUGUCAUCAUGUCUCUAAUAAAAUGCCAUUCAGGUCUAUCGUAAGUUUUAGUCAUGUCUAACUUGAUAGCCAUAUACCCUUCUUUCCCUUACCUUUUAUUUUUCAGAUAUUGCAUAUAUUCCUGAGCAAUGAUCACAUUAUCUAAGAUUUGUCUAUCUGGUAUGAAGGCAGAUUGAUUUUUACAAAUGCACUUGUCAAGAACAGGUUUCAGUCUGUUUGCCAAAAUUUUUUAUAUGAUUUUAUACAAGACACUACACAGACUGAUUGGUCUAUAGUUUUUCAAGCUAAUUGGAUUCAGAAUUUUUGGAAUGAGGGAGAUAAUUGUAUGGUUAAUAGAUUUAAGUAUGCAGCCAGUCACAAAGAAAUCUUGGACAGCUUGAACCACAUCAUUUUUAAUCACUUUCCAGAAUUGUUGGAAGAACAGUGGAGUCAUUCCAUCCAUUCCAGGGGGCUUUAUCUGGAUUCAUGGAAAAAAUAGCAGUCCUGAUUUCCUCCUCAUGCACUGGUUUUGUCAAUUUGGAGUUCAUUUCCUCAGUAAUAGAGUGUGGGAUACCCCUUAGUACCUCUGAAUUAUCUUAUUUCCUCCAUUGGUAAAAAGGCUCCUAUAGAACAUGGAAAUCUCAUAAAUUAGAUCUUCAUCAUUUUUUGUCCAAGUACCAUCCUCUCUUUGAACAUUACAGAUUCUGUUUUUGUUUCUCCUCCCUCUCAUAUGAGCAUAAAAAAACUAGUGUUCUUGUCUCCCUCUCUUAGCUAGUUCACUCUAGUUUUUUGGCUCCAAAAAGAUUCGUCCUCUUUAUAUGCCUCUUUGAGCCGUUCCUUAAGGUCAGAUCUGAUCAUCCUUUUGUUCUCCACAUUUGACACAUUCAAGCUCUCUAACCUACUCUUAAUGUCAUUGAUUCUUACUUUGGAGUUUGCCUGGAAAGUGUUUUUCCAUUUUAGGAGAUCAAUUCUGAAAUUCUUCACUUUCCUGAUCACUCGAAACAUUUUAGUUCCUUGUUCCUCCUUGUUCCAAGCUUUCUCAAUAACUUGUUGUAUACCUUCCUUUUGAAUCCAUCUCUUAUCAAAGUAAAAGCGUUUCCUCUUUUUCCUUUUAUCAGGUUCAGUAUCCAGCAAAAGCAGGCUGUGGUCAGAAGCAAAGAACUCUAUAUACUGACAGACUACUCCUUUAAACUUUUAAACCCACUCAUAACUACUAAGGCAUCUGUCAAGUCUUUGCCUAACCUCCCCAACAUUGUCCCAGAGAUUACUCCAGGUCCAAGAAUGUCCCUCGAAACCUAUGUCUACCAGCCUAUUCUCAGCAAUGAAAUCCUUAAACGCCUUAAAGUUCCUUUCCUCUCUCAUUAAACCCCCCCAUUUCUCUUCAUUUGACACUAUGUCAUUGAAGUCUCCUGCUAUCACAAAAUUCUUCCCCCACAGUUUCCUUCUAGCAUCCAGGACUUGCCAUUGUUGUUUUCUGAUUUAAGCAUCACAGCUUGCAUACACUCCUGUGAACCACCAUUCAUCUUGAGUUUCUCUCCCCCCUAUCUUAGCUUCUACGGUGAAGGCAAUUUGUAGGGUAGAUAAGACUUUGACGUCAUCUCUCCACAGAAGGCACAUGCCUCCUGAUCUAUUCAUGGCCUCAGUCACCACACUAUGUUCAAACCUAAGCAAAUUUUUAACUUUAUCCAUAUACUUCUCCCUAUUCUUGGUUUCACUAAGGAAAAUCAAACCUGGAAAGAGGAGGUUGUUGACCUCUCUCAAGUGGGGAAUUGUCAAGAGGCUCUCCACUCCUUGACAAUUCCACACCACAAUCCUCAUAUUUCCUUGGAGGCCCUAUUAGGGAAGGACCUCACCUCUACUUGAUCAGUUUCUAGCACAACUAUCAUUUCAAAGGAUUUUGAUUUUUUCCCCUUCUAAUUUUCACUGUCUUCCUCCUCCAUAUCCUUAUCCUUCAGACAAACUUUCCUCUUCCCCAAUCUUGUUUGAUUACUCCCUUGUUUAUUCAGUUCUCUUAAGGGUCUUCUAGUUUUGAUGGGAGAGAGCACCUUUCUAGUCAACCUUUUAGUUUGCUUAUUGAUUGCCUCCUAGACUCUUUUAGAAAUGUUACUAGUCUCCUGUCUCUAUUCCCCCUCUCUCGUGUUCUAUCUCUAAAGAUCCAGACUUAUCAUCAAAAGAAGCUGCUACUGCUUUAUCUUCCUCCAUCUCAGCAAUUCCUUCCAUUGACACGUUCGCAGCAUUUUCUGUUCGCUUUUUGUUCAUCUAUUCAACCUGUAUUCCAUCACCUUGUACUGGAAGAUCCUGCUGAUUUUGGGAGCUGUCUAUCUGCACUAGGCUUUGAGGGUGGGGGGCUUGAUCAGUAAUUAUCCUCAUCCCAUUCAAGUUUCUAGCUAAAUCUUGGUGGUCAUUAUCAGUCCUCACCAUAGGUCUACGUAGCUCUUGUUGGUUUUUUUCAAACAGAUUUCUCGAAUGAGUUUUUUCAACCAAUUCCCCACUCUCAAACUUCCAAUACCAUUUAUCUUUAUCCAGAUCAUAUCUUUUUUGCUUUUUUUGUGGUGAUCCUUUAAAAUUCCCUGCCCUCAUCCAAGAACCAUACUGAUUAUCUACAUAUUCCCCUGCAAUUUCUUGCUAAUUGGUGCAUGUCCUCUCCCCAUGACCAACCAGACCACAGUUAUAACAGAAAUCUAGGCAUCUUUCGUACUUGAAAGCUACCCAUUUCAUGGUACCUUCAGUCUUCACUAUGGUGCCUCUUAGCAGGGGUUUUGCCAAGUUUACUAAGGCCAAUAUUUUCAAAUAUCUACCCUCUUUUCCUCCCAUCUGUGGUAUUAUAACAUCCUUUACUUGUCUGAAUACACCCCAAUCUUACGACCUACUUCUCUGGUCACCCAAUGUACAGGUAAAUUCCAAACUUGUACCCACAAAUAGGCUAGCUUAAAGGCCUCUGGAUUCCUUUCUAUACCUUCCUCCCACCUGUUCAGAACCAAAAUUUGGUUAUCUAUCACCCAUAGGCCUCCGUCCACUAUCCUCUCUUUUUCCUGUGAAUUAGGUAUGUUAAACUGGAAAAGAUUCGGUCCCUGUUCUAAGACAGACAAGUGUUUAGGAUAACCCCAGGCUAUAGAAAAAAUUUUUUUACUCCUGUGUAGCUAGCAAUCUUUUCACCCAUAACUCUUCCUAUUAUGCUGUCCUUACAUUCUUUGACUCCACUCUCUAGGUCCCCUAAGUCCAGAAUAGCUCCUGAGAGUUCAUUUCCAGCUAGAGAGAACUUUUGCAUCAUCUCAUUUAGUUCCAUCUCCAUCGAUACAAACAGAGGUACUAAGGGAUUAAAAAACACUCUAGAAAGAGAAAAAAACAAAGAAAAAGACACCCACCAGACGCAACUGAGAAAAUCUACAGAGAUGCUAGAGGUUCAGAAUGCCGAGCAAAAAGAGCUCUCAACUUCUAACCCCAGCUGAUAGUAACUUUGGAAAACAACAGUAGCUAGCAAAAACAGACAGUUUGAGGUGAAAGGACAGAUUCUCUCACCCAACCAGACGCAAGGAAAAAUACAAAGAAAAAGUCAGAAAAACAUGCAAUACCUCAACAGUCGUAGUAAAAGCAAGGGAAAUAGGGUAUUGCCGUCAAGGUUAACUUGGCUUUCCACUUCAUAAAUGCUGUUCUCCUCUUCAUUCAAUUACGUUGAUGAUUCCGCAAGCCAUCAAGAUCAGAUUUUGAGUUGCAUUAAUCAUUUAGGGUAGAUCCUAAAGCUUCUAUCUAUUUUUGGAAAGAGAGAAUUGAAGUUUGGAAGAGUUUGAAAUUUUGAAACUCUUCUGAAACUCCCACCAAUGGAGCAAAGAGGCACUUAUCCCAAGAGAGAGAAAUCUUCUACUAGAGAGAGAAAGACCUCUACUUGAGAAAGGAAGUUUUUUUCCCUCCUUCACAUUCUUCCGUUGUCUUCUUUUUGCCUUCACCUAUAUGCUUAUUUGUACUAUCAUUGUACUCUUAGUUUCACAAAGCUACUCUUGGUGGUUCACUUUGAGGUGCUUUCUAUGUUUUCUUUUUUUAUAUGUGAGAUUUGUCUUGUUAAAUCAUAGUUUCAAUUUUAAAUUGAAUGCUUUGAUUCUCAAAACUAGAUACUUUUUAAGCAUAAUUUAGGGUUGAAAUUAUUGUUUCCCAACAAAUGUAGUUAUUUUAUAUAAUUUAAACGGUUUAGGGCAACUAUGAGAAAAGGUUUAUUGGGAGUAUUUGGAAUAACACAAGCAACUCUUCACUAUUAUCGCUGAAUGUUACAAAUUAUUUAGCUAUACAUGUACUUAGUUGCACAAUUUAUUUUGGUGGCAGUUACUGCUUUGACUCAACGAUUUGCUUUGGCAAAAAAGUUGAUUUAUUUAUGUGUUUGCUUGUAUGUUUGAUUAGUUUAUUACUGGAACCACUUGAGUUAGAUGUGCAUGAUGCUAUGGUUGAAGCCAAUUAUGGCUUAUGUUAGAAAUUUGUGUUAUUAUUAUUUAGGUAUUUCUUGUGAAAAUUGCUUUUAUCUCUGGUUAUUGCUUAGGAUCUAUGGUUAUUGCAAUAAAAAAAUGACUACAUUAAGUAAAGGUAACAAGUUAGAAGAGCAAAACUGGCAUUGUAAUUAAUGAAAAAGCAAAGCUAAAGUUUAGUUUACUGACUAAGGAACAAAAAGAGCUUGAGAAGCAAGAGUGCGAGAUGCUUAUAAGAGAAGAAAUGAUAAGAGUAUUUAUUGCAGUUGAUAGAGGGAUAUACAUAUAAAGUCUAAGUUUAAUAAGAGAAUCAUUCAAUAUGAUCAGAUUAAUAACAUGUCUUCCGUGCAUGAUCGGUGUGUAUUUAGAUAAUGAGGGUCAAGCUAACAAGUUGUCAUUACACCAACCUUUAAGAAUCGAUGAUAUACACAACCUAACAAGAAUAGUGCAUGCAGGACAAGUAGAAUGCCUUUGUGUAGAAAGUAAUGACACAUCCGACAACUUUUAGUAGGCUAAUAUAUUAACAUCUUCAUUUUUAGAUGUCAAAGAUUACUCCAAAGCAGGAGGCAAAUGCAAAACUCAUGUGACUGAGUUUUCAAAUUACCACAAUGUUAUCACUGAAACCUAUGAAACUAUGCAAGAAGGAGUUGUUCUCUUUUGCUGUGCAAUGUUAUGCUUUAUUAUGAUUUGAAUCUUAUGGUAUGCGUUUUUGUAUUAUUAAACUUUUUCUACCUAAUUGAUUAACUCUUUUACCAUGGUAUGCUUGUUGGACACCAUGGUGUAGUAAUAAUUGAGAAGCUUGUAUCAUUCAAAUCAAGUUGAUGAAGUUAGUUAGGAAAUUAAACUGAACUAUUCUAUUUGUUUAUUUCAUAAUUCUUUCAAUUUCUUGUUUUGGCGUCCUGUUUGUUUGGUUAGUUUCCAUAUUAGUUUAGAAAAUCUCAAGCUAGUUUCCAAAUAAGUUUUGAUUUAUAAUUGUGUUUGUUUCGAAAGUUUCACAAUCUAUAAAUACUACUAGUCUAGUACAUUGUUACGUUAAGACUUGAAUUAAGUCUUGAAGAGUAGGUUUGAAGGAAAGCCUCUAAAUUGAGAGUUGUGAGUUGUCAUAAAUAAACCGAUACGAUUUGAUAUUGUUAUCGUUUAGUUUUAAGUUAAUAAUAUUAUUGAGUAUUUCUUUAUAUUUACUCUCUUCUUCUUCCCACAUAUUUUUUUAUGUGUUAAACUUUUUUCCAUAAUGCGUAUUUUUUUGGGCCAACAAGUGACCUCUAGGUUUUGAUCCUAAAUCUUGUUCAUGAAAUUAAGGUACAAAAAUAGAAGAAUUGUUGUUGAAAAUUAGGAUACAAAAUUGGUCCUAAUUGAGUAGAGAUUAAAAAAAUUGAAACAUGGAUCCAUAUUUUUUAUAAUGUUGUGCACAUUUUUUCAAACUAUAAUGUUGUGCUAUUGAUGAAAAAAAUUGAAACAUGAAUGUGUAUUAUUUAUAAUGUUGCGCAUGUUUUUUCAAACAAUUGGAAUUUAGAACAUUGUCCAAACUGUAGAAGGCAUGUAAUUAUCAAGCAAUGCAAUUAAAGAGUUGGAAAAGAAUAGACAGUUGGAUCACAAGGCACUUCACUAUGUCAAUACUCAAUGCCAGAGUCCAUACGUAUAUAUUCAAAAAAUUCAUGCAUGAAAAAACUAUAAGGGAGUCUUGGACAAUUCCGAUAAAUUCAAAUCAAGGUCAUGGUAGAGACGAAAAUUGUGAAGAGAAAAAAAGGAAAAAAAUUUUGAUGAGGAAAAGAAAGAAGAAAUUGCAUAAAUUGCGGAUGCACUUGAAGAUGACGAAUAUGUGGUUUGAAAGGAAAUUUGGCAAGAGUUUGAGAAAGAAAGCAAAAUCAUAGGUAAGAUUAAAGAUGUGAUUGAAAAUUGUGGCAUGGAAAAAAAUAUUGACUUUAUUGGAAUCGAUAAUUUAUUUAAAAAGACAAAUCAAACAUUGAAGUUGGUAGAGAUUGUGAGUUGUCGUAAGCAAAAGACUAUAAUUUGAUAUUGUUUUAGUUGAGUUUUGAGUUAAUAAAAUGAGUACAUCUUAUAUACACUAACGGUGUAUAUACUAUCACGGUUGGAUAUACAGCACAUAUGCAAAAUUUGAGUUUUAAAUUUAAAUUCGAAUUAUGUAUCAUGCAUCUAAUGGCAAAAGUGCAUGCACCGUCAAUGUAUAGAAGAUUAAUCAUAAUAAAAUUAAUGCAUAUUUGUUUGUAUUUAUUCUCCUCUUUUUUCACAUAUUUUUAUAUGUGUUAAAAUUACUUUCACUAUGCAUAUUUUUUUUGUGCCAAUAGUCAUACAUUCACUCUAAAAAAAAAAAUCAUCAUUUCAAGUUGCUAACCUUAUCAAUAACACUUUUUAAUCCAUUUAAUAGGGAGGUCAUUCUCUGCUGUUAAUCAUUUAAGAUAGGAUGUAUCACAUGAUAAGUGCAAGAAAUUUGUACCUUUUUUUUUUUUUGCAAAUCUUUUAAAUACACAGCAGAGCGACCAAAUAUAUAUUCUGCAUACCUAGCUUGAGGAUUGAUAUGCAAUUUGUCACUAGAAUCUCUAAUUUCCAUGCUAACAUGACACCUAAAAAUUAAAAUUCUUCUUAAAAAAAAUUAAUUAAGGAUAUACAUAUAUAUAUAUAUAUAUAUAUAUAUAUAGAGAGAGAGAGAGAGAGAGAGAGAGAUUACCUAAUAACUGUUUGACAAUAUCAUUACCAUUGAGGCAUAGAAUUUUUUCAUAGAAAUAUUGAAUUAAAUGUCCACAGUUGUUGCAUAAUUCAGAAAACAUAUUCUCUACAUCAAUGUUAGCAAUGUAAGCUGUCACCUGAAUGUAUUCAACCCAGUAAAAUGCAUAAAAACAUAUAAUUUUGGAGUUUGUUUGACAUAGAUGUAUAGCCAGAUGGUGCAUAAUUUAUAUAAAAAAAAGUCAAAUUUAAUUUUAACUUAUGCAAUAUAGCAAGUUCUGAUAUCCAUAUACGUUUGGAAUUUGAAAUCAUCAAUGCUUACCAUGUAGGUAUAUUGUAAGAUCUCAGCCAUGCUGCCAUCCUUUUGGGCAAACCUUUCUUUUUGAAGCCUACAAAGAAGUAUUUAAACAGAUUCAAAAUUGCCAACCAGACAUUAUUAGCAGCAUUAUGUACAUCUUUUAGAAAAUUACACUUGUAUGGAAAAAAAAGAACUUUGACUACGAUAUAAAGUGUUAAAGGUUUACCAUUAAUAUUUUGAAUGAUAAACCAAAAGUUAAGUAGAAGUUAAUAUAUUGAUAGCAAUAUAAAAUAGAGGUACCAUUGUGCAUAAUGCCAAAUGGCAAUACGUGGUUUUUUUAAAAUAUGUAUUUCAUUUUUUAAGAGAAUUAGACUUGUUUACAGGGAAUAAGAAAAUACUAUUACUUAAAUUGUAACUAUAGAUUAUUUAAGGAAAAAUAAAUGGAAAAAUAAUUUAUGGCAAUUAGGAUGAUUAAAUGAUCCGCCAAAAAUCAGCAAGCUGCUUAAGAAGCUAAUUAAUCCCAAUAGAUAAAAUGUUCCUAGUUUGAUGCUCUUUCAGAAAUUAUUACCUUUUAAAUAUUUUUUUUAUGCGAUGUAAGCUCCCAUCUUAAAUGUUAUGAAACCUCGCAUCAAUGAAGCUCUUCAUUGUGUAAAAGAUAAUUUCAAAAACAUCCCCAAAGAUUUAUAACAAUUACUUUUAGCUCUUUUUACAGUUAAAAAAUUAUGCAUACAUCCCCUAAAUGGUAGGUUUGGGUUUCAUUCUGCUGACGAAAGGAAAAAAAAAAACAUAUUAAUAUAAAAAAUUGCCCUUAAGAAGUUUUUAUGUAUUAAAUCUGAUUAGUCAAUUAAUAUAUUCUUUUUUCUCCUAGUCUCAAACAGCCUUGCCGAAGGCCUAAAUGAUCAUUUCCUCCAUAUUAUUUUGACCCAAUUUAUAAACGUAAUAUUUGGCUUUGUAAUUGUUUAUUAAAAUUUGGUUAGAGAAAAAAAUGAGAAUAAAUUGGAAGAAUAAAAGAUGGGUCGAUUAAAAAGCGUGAUGAAAACUGGAAUUUGUGAGACAUGGAGAUUGGAAUUAUGGAAAGGAUAUGAAAACCUAGAUAGGAAAAAAAAAUGGAUUAAAGCUACAGAUAGCGAUAGGGGUGACAAGAUUAUUUAGUGAUGAGAGAUACUGAAUUUUUUUUUUACUUUUUUCCUUCUCUAAAAAGUUGUUGCCAGAAUUUUUGCAAAGUUUGGGAAAGUUAUUGGAGUCAUUUUGAGUCCUUAAAAGCGAGAUAAGUGUUAUAUUUGAAAGUACAGGGGUUUAAGUUGAAAUUAAAGAAAUCUUGGAAGAGGUUUUUGAAACUAGCUGUUGUUGUAAUGCUGCUUAUCUUUUCUACCUCUCUAUUUUUAUAUGGAUAACUUUUUUAUACACAUUGUCAGUGUAAAGUUCUUUUUAUACAAGUUUAGAUCAUACCACGUAACAUGAAUUUGAAUUUAAAAUUUAAAUCAUGCACAUAUGUAUACAUCAAAGACUGUUAAUUAAAAAAAUUACUAUACUGUCAGUGUAUAAAAAGAUUAAUCCACACUGGCACUCAAAAUAAAAACACCAAGUGCAAAAUCCGAGGAUGAAAAAAAAAAAACCAAUGGAAUAAACAUAGGAAAAGACUCAUGAUUUGAUUAUGCUAAAAUAUUAUAAAAUGAUAAUAGUAUUUCUUUUAUAUUUUUUAUGAGUUCAUGACAAUAUAUCUAUAAGCUAAGUUUAUGAGUUCAUGAACAAAAUAAAGAACCUUGGAUAAUUGAAGAGCUUAAAAUAUAAAAUACUUCUUGCUCAUAAUAUUUUAUCAUUAAUCAAACGUGCAGCCUUAUGUUUAUUGCCUUGGUUUUUUUUUUCCUUCCUUGGAUUUGGUUUUUUGUGCUUGAAUUUUGAAUAUGAAUAUGGAAAUGGAUAACUAGGAGGUAGAAAAACACUGAAUAGGAUUACAGCAAUGAGAAGAGCUCCCUGCAUUAGAAAUGCGAGCUUACAUGGUAUCAAAAGAUUAAAAAGGUAAUAAUUUACAAAAGAGCAUCACGUUGGAUAUAUUUUAAUCCAAAGAAGGUUACUUCAGAAAUAAACUCCAAAAUUUCGUCUAAAUUUGACUUGAUUAACAAAAAAGCUUAUGAAUAUGUGAAUAAAAUUUUGCAUUAGCGCUUAAAGUCAACACUAACUUUUAUCUUUGAACUACUACAAUAACAACACGUUGUGAAAGGGAAAAAUACCAAAUGUUUCCUGGGAUAUAACCUACAUUUUUGUUAACGGUAUUGUGAAAUAGCUAUCAAUUGACUAUGAUAAUGUGUUAAAAGUUUACCAUUAAUACUUUGAAUGAUAAACUAAGAACGUUAACUAUUGGAAAGACAUAGACGCAGGAUCGACAUGUGAUGCAUAAUUGCAAAUGGCAUUACAUGAUUUUUUUAAUACAUCUUUUAAGAAAAUUAGACUUGUUUGCAAGGAAGAAAAAAAUACACUUAUUUAAAUUAUACAUGUAGAAUAUAUUAAGGAAAAAAUGGAUAGAAAAAUGAUUUAUGGAAAUUAGAAUGAUUAAAUGAUCGGCCGAAAAUCCCACAAGCUGCUUAAGAAGUUAGCCUAGCCCGAAAUUUUGUGUAAGUUCGACUUUGAUUAACUUAAAAACUUAUGAAUAAGUCAAGCAAUUUUGCAUCAUCCCUUCAAGUUAACAUUAACUUUUAUCUUUGAACUACUGAAAAAACAACACAUUGUGAAAGGGAAAAAAAAUUCAAAGUGUUUCUUGGGAUAUAGCCUACACUUUUAAUCACAAUUAUCUGUCGUCAUGCAAAUAGAAAUUGGGAUGCCAAAGAAGAGCAAUUAGUGUAGUUGUUUAGUGAUAUUUGACUGUCAUUAGGUUUGUUUCUAAUAAAUUUUCUUGCAAAACUCUGAAACCUUUGCACCCUAAUCAAUGGAAUUUCUUACUAAAAUAUUCAGAGGGAGUUAUAGACGGACUAUCAUGCAAAGUUGCAAACAUAUACACUAUCAAAUUUUAUAUUUGGCUUACAUAAAUAGCCUUGAAUACGGUUAAAAAAAAAAGAAAAAAAAUGAACAAAAUUCAUUGAAAAUUGUAAAAAUUGAUGUCAACCUUCAGCCAAAUACAUAUUAAGAAUUCGCAUGAAGCAAAACUCAAUUAGUAAAUUUAUGAACUAUAUACAAAUUCUUUUGUGUGUGAAAUAUCAACUGAAUCGAAAUGUGGCAAUUUGACACUAUUCUGGUGUGCAAAUACUAUGUAUAUCAUAAAAAUAUGUACAAUGUUCAUAUGACUCGAGACACUAUUAUCAAUUCCGUCCUUGUGAUGAGAAAAGUUGGGAUUUGACUCAACGUAUUUCUUUCCAAAUUUGAUUAAAGUAGCUAUCAAUUUGGUGAAUUUUUUCCACAGGUAUUGGACUAACGGUGUCUCAAUUACAUUUGACAAUCAUAUGUUUUCUCUUCUACAAUUUUGCAAUUCUUGGAAUCGAGACUUUGUUGGCAAGUAUGUAAAUGAAAGUGGUCCAUUUUGUUAAAUGCAGUGUUGUUAGUUGAUGGUGGAAGUAUUGGUUUUUGGGGGAAGCAAAGAAACGAUAUAUGAAAGGAUGAAUAUGUUCUGAUGGGUUGUGGUUAAAAGUGUUUAUCAUGCCUGGUUUGAAUAUUUUAUUUCCUAUCAAUGUCCCAAGGGAUUGAUUGAUAUUAUGAUAUUGCUAUUUCCAUAUUGAUGUUUCACAAGUAUUGCAUCAUCUACUAAUUUUUUGGGUUUUAUUCUGCCGCAAUGUAGUAAUAUGCAAGCUUAUUUUUAGUAUGAUUGGAAAUUUGCAUUUGUUUUUUCAGAGGUUAUUAUUAUAAGGCUUGUUUGGAUGCAUGACAAAUUAGGCAAGCGAAUGUCAUUAUUGAAAAGAAACUUGUCUCAUCCAAACAGGGUACAAGCUUACUUUUGGAAUGAUCGAGUUAUUGCAUCUGUUGAGGGGUUAAUGUUGUAAGGCUUGUUUGGAAGAUAUAUAUAUACAUAUAUAUAUAUAUAUAUAUAUAUAUAUAUAUAUAUAUAUAUAUAUAGACAUAUUGAUGACAUUUACAAUUAAACUUGUGUAUGGGUAAUCACCAUGAACUCGCCAUACAUUUUAUUUUAUUGAUUAUUGGCACAAACCAUCCAUAUUCAAUUUUGAGUAAUUUCCAUUUACCAUCCAACUCCAUCUUUCCACAAAAUUGGAAACAAAAUGUGAUUACAACCCUUAAAACUAUUACAAUAGGUACUUCAAUUACACAUGUAUUCCUAAUCACUGGCCACUAAAAACUGUUAACAGUUGUUUAGCAAUGGUUAAAGGUAACUAGAUUACAACAUCUGACAUGAUGUACUUUGUCAAAUACAGGACCACAAGGCAACACUUUUCGUUUGGUAUCCCGCUCAAGACUACACAAGAUACAAUCAUGUUUGGGCAAUCCCUUUCCUCGCUAGCAUAUCAUAAACUUUAUCUACCUUGCUUGGAUCAACAUUGAAUAGCCCAUGAGCAUCAGACUUCUUCGUUAUGUUGCCGCUCAAAAUCCCCAUUGACAUGGUCUGCAGCAUGUUAAGGUAAUGCGCUGGAAGGAUCCUGAUCUCACCACAUAGCUGUUUCUCCUGCAUAGAUAAGUCAUUAUAUGUGAAUCCAGCUGAUGACAUCCAACUAACAAUAUGACUAAAGCAACGCUCGCUCAUUCCCCUUCCCAACAAGGCCUCUAGUUUCUCUCUUCCCUUUGUAUGAAGAAGUGUCUGACUAUAGCUUCUUCCUAAUAAAUUGGAAGCAUAUUAGAUUCUUCUUGAGCAAUUAAUACCCCAUGCAUGUUAUGACUAAUGACACUGAUUAUUUCUAUUUAUCAUGACCAGACAAUUAAGAACCGACACACUUAUCUAAAUAUACAAGUUGCAGACUCAUUAAGAUUCAGCAAAAGUGAUAGGAGUUUCAAGUAGUAAAGAAAAAUUGUAUGCAGCAUUCUUACAGAUUCAGACAGUAAAUCAGCCCCCAAAAAUCCAGUGACAUCCCAAUUAUCUAAGGCAUUUAUAACAUCUAGUCGCCUUUUAGCUGUUGGAGAUUCUAUUCCUGCAGAAUCUAAAACUGUAGGGCCUCUGAUAACACCUCUUGGGCUACUGUCAAAAUCCCCUUUGAGGUGAUUUGCCCUUUGAAGAAAUUUUCCACAAGGACCAGCCUGGGAACUUUCACUAAUUCUAAGAGCAUUUUCUUCUGCUUCCCCCCUUUUUUGUUCAAUAUAUCUUUCCGCUUCUGCAGAUGUACGGCAGCCAGCAGCCCUUGCUUCCUGCAUUAGCACAGCUUAUCAAGUAUAAGAAGUUUAUCUCAAUGAAAUUUUCCUUUCAUUCAAAGGAAUUUUUUUUCCUCUCCGCAAACAAGUUAUCAUGAGCAAUUACAAAGACAUAAGAAAACCAAAUCAUAUGCCAACAAAAAACCUGAUCACCAGCUAGUAACAGAUAUUCAUAUAGGAAAACAAAAUUUUUCUUGGCAUCAAUUUUGAAAACAAGGACCACACAACCUUUGUAAAAUACCUAGCAAUGAAGAGCACUUCUAGGCGUCAGACAUCAGGUCAAGUAUUUUAAUUAUAUAUAUUAUCAUUUUACGAAAUAGCAAAUCAUUAACUAGCCAUUCUCAAGUUUCAAUACUUUUUUCAUUAAAAAUAACACUAAAGCACAUCCUGGAAAAGGUUUGUUUGCACAAACCUCUUUAUUCGGACACUAGUUAGUUCUACCAAUUGAAACACAAAAGCAGGGUUAAUGGUUUUAAAAGCUGUAAGUUAACUUCUUGUUCUGCAUACUUCUUUUUCUUUUUUGGGGAGGAUCAGGGGUAGAUUUUAAGAUCAACAGAUUCAAGUCAUAACCAUAGUAUAUCAGCAAAGUUUGCAAUGCUCAAUACCACCCCAUCGCUUCCCCCCAAAAAACAGAGCGAGAGAGAGAGAGAAAGCUACCAAAGGAAACAGCGAAACAAGAUCAGAAGCCUAUGAAACUUUGGUUCUUAAAACUUGCAACAUUUUAGGAUGUGAACCCAAGUACUUGAGUAAUAAAUAACAUAUCCCAAUAGAUCUGCACACGCUUUUCAGCCAGCAAAAACUUCAGCGAAGUAUCCUAUACUACCAACCCAAGUUACACAGGAGUGCUAUACCAUGAAACUUCAUAUGGUGCAAGGACCACACUUGAAGGUCUACAGCAUUCCUAAAGCUACGAAUAUGCUAUAUUUUUCGUUGCAUGGUAUUUCAAAAUGACUCUAUUACAAUGUGAUGCAACAAUCCUCCAGUAAUUUUUCAUUUUCAUAAGAUUCUCUUCUCCACUCAGUUUCACCGGCACAAAGCUAAAGAUCAAUGAGCCCCUUACACAAGCAGUAAAGUAGAUGUUAGUCCCACUUUGAAGGCCAUGUCAAAAUAAAGGGGCAUAGGCUUUUAUGCACCACAACCCUUUCUCUUGUAUUAUUUCUCAUCAACUCACGUGACUGAGUUUGGAGGUUCUAGACAAAGUCUUGCAGGAAAGGUUCACAUUUAGAAAAAAGCAAGAUUCCCUUUCCAUAAUUAGUGAAUAUAAUUAUAUGGUCAAUUUCUACUUUUUACCUUUGUAUAGGGUAUACGACAUUGAAGCAACACCACCCUCUAUUUUCUGUUUAUGUCCUACCUCUCACACUUUUUUAAGCAAAAUGAGCUAGAGGUUCUAAGCAGAGUCUUCCAAAUCCGAAGCUCCCGUUGUUUGUUAUGAGCUCAAGCAAUUGACAUUCUAAAAUCAACCCAUGUAUAUGGCAAAUCACAACUUUGUUUCCCACUUAUUUCCUGCUUUUGGACUCAUGAAUGGUAGGGAAAAGUCAAUGUCCUAGUUUGUAGGGGUGCACAAUCUGAGAAGUGAUUGUUGAUGUUUAAUCCAGAAGGUAAUUAACUGUUCAGAACUUCAAUGCUAAGCAAUCAAGAAUGAAAGAUCACGAUAGCUGCUGAUUCAUGUGCCACAGACACCAAAGAAGCUAGGCUUACUUGUUGCACAAAAGCAAGAGAAGCCCCUCGUUGGAGUGGUGAGAAAUACUGGCUACUAAUAACUAGAUUUAAACCAUGUACUGUAUCAAUUUUUUGCCCAAGAGAUCAACCAAUUAGAAUAAGCAUAACUUAUCCAAUCAACAAAAGCAUCUUUGAAUACCUAGUUCAGUAUGGUUUUUCAUCCAGCGACCACAAUUCCUAGGUUAAGAAGAACAUGCAAGUUCUAGGAUUAUCAAAGAAAAUGGUAUCUUAAAACCUAUCAUGAAAUUCUAUGUAUUCCAAAAUGGUUUUGAGCUACCAACGGUACAGCAUUUUCAGCACCUAGUAGCACAUCCAAAAGCUUUUUUUUUUUUUUUGAUGAAGCACGUCUACAAGUUAAUAACCAGAUAAUAAAAGUAAUGACAACAAGAGCAAGAACAAAACUUUUUUAUUCCCGCAGAGCAAGAACAAAGCUUAACACUGAGACAUGCAAUAUUCUGUCAAACCUGAAGAUCUUGUAUUCUUUUUAAAACACGGUGCUCCUCAACAAGGCUCCUAAGCAAUUCCUCAUGGUCUUCCUUUGAAUGAAAUCUCAUGAACACCCUGUAACGGUGGCAUAUAUCCUUCUCUUCGUGUGAGAGUUCUUUUUCAACAGUAUCUGCAUAAAGUAAAUUUCUUUCCAAUAUGAAAUCCUUCCUGCGCUUCCUUUCAUCAAGCCUACAGAACUCACAAAAAGUUUGACAAAUAUGUAAGAUGAAUAAUAAUAGAGAGUGAUCUAGAUAUGACAAUUGACACUAAUGUAUAUUAGUAUAUUGACUGCAUGCAAAAAUACUUGCUCACCUGGUUUGGCACAAUUUGCAUCUAAAUUAAAAGCAUCUGGUAUCUGCUCCUACAGUGUAAUGUUAAACCCAAUUCUACCCCAAAUUUAAGUAUGUCAAACUAAUUUUCUUAAGCUUAAGUUCAUAUAAAAGAAGUUUGCUUUGCAGGUUUUCUCAAACCAACAUUAGCUGAAGAACUUUUACACCACACGUCCCCUAAAGUUGGAGACCCAACUGGCAAGCUACCUCCUCAUAUCACAAAGACCAAUGAAAUUCGUAGAAGAAAUCCACAGAGCUAUCCCAUUCUUGUUUAAAACAUUAAAACAGCUCCAUCAAUAAACAAAUAAAAUCAAACCCAAGUACACACUAGACAAAUUCUGCUCUCAAAUACAGUUACUAUGACCAUUGCUUCAGCAUCUGCUCUUCUCAUGUUAUAGCAGGUCGAAGCUAGAGUCCAAAAGUUCAAUUUACAGUUUAAUUCACUGUCUGUGGCCCAAACUAUAGAAAAUUCUCUCAUUUAAGCAAGAAAGUAAUUAUUGAGUGCAGCACUCUUUGUUUAGGAUGUAGUUAACACAAGAUUCUUAACUUGUCUACCUAUAUUAUUAAGUUGCAACAUUCAUGCUCCAGAAUCCUGAAGGUCAACAAAAGCAGAAGAUUUUUAAUAAAGCACCAAAUCCUCUACCAUAAUAAAGUGGAACCAGGUAUGACAAAGUUUGGUGGGGGAAGUGUGUGUGUGAAGAGAAAGAGAUACAGAGAGAGAGAGAGAGAGAUGAUGAAGUAACCCAAAGUACCUUUUGGAAUAGAUGCGCAACACUCUCAAUUUUAGUUCUCGUUCAGCAUCCGUAUCAGUAUCCUUGAAUUCCAUGUCAGCCAAUAACUGCUCAGCAUCAUUGUCGUACUCAACUUCAAACUCUUGCCUCUUUGAAUUGUAGCCACUAACUUCUGUCACAGAAGGUCCCUCAUCUCCUGAUGUUCUAGGCUUUUUCUCUCCAAUACUCCUGUCUACAAGAGAAUCUGGAAAUGUAGUACGAAAGUCCAUAAGGUUUAUUGUGUCAAAAGCAGAAUACUCGGGAAAAGAGAGAAGAGGGGGGGGGGGCAUGUAUCACCCAAAGAAAACACUUUUCAUAGAUUUCAUUCCAAUUAGAUAACAGAAUUAAAUCGUAAUAACCACAAUAGAGUUGCUUGAAGGCUAUCUAAAAACUGACAUAGUUUCAUCCAGAUGGGAUUCCUAACCAUCUACACCAUUUUCCCCAAGAUCUAAUAUGAUUCAAAAAAAAAAAUGCAGAAAAGGUACACAAGGGUGAAAAACUUAACACUGCUACCAAUAUCAAUCUCCUGUCUUCACAUGGGAAAUUAACUGUAAUAUAAAAUGAAUCCACAAAACAGUGCUUUCACCGAAACAGUACUCCAAUAUUAGAUUCUCAUAAACGUACCAUCUGUCAACCACCAAAGUUGUGCCACUACUACUGAAAAUUAGAUCAACUUAUGGCAUCAUCUAACAGAAAAUCAACUACCUAAUGGAGGAGACAGGCCAAAAAGACAAACAUAUAGCUACAUAUAUGAGUGGAAUUAGUGCUCAUAGACACAAAGGAGGAGGAAAGGCUACUAGACUAAUCAAGCACCAAAGGAGUUGAGAAAAAAGGAGCUCAAAUUGCUAGUUCUUUUAAAAUGAUGGCCAUGAACACUUUUCACACUUUCCGCCUUGCUGCAAUCACAGCCAUACUUUUUCUCUGAGACACUGGAACCCUCUUAGCUCCUCCUAAACAUCCAUUACCAUGCUUAAACAUGAGCCCGCACCCACCUUUGAUAUACCAAGACAUCAAGGGGCAGUCCCAUAUAUCCCACCAGUGCAUUUUUACAUCUUUCGGGGUGUUGAGGGGACAAUAUAUAUAGUAAAACUAGCUACCAGUUACAUUUCAGCAUAUUGUAUAAAAAAACCUGAGGUUAAACUAGAUGAUGAAUGUCCUGCUUGACCAUCUUUUUUCUGAUCUUCCACCCUGACAAAAAGAUCAAAAGAUAAGAUAAAGGAGAUCAAAAGUGCUACUUUGAAAAGGUAUAGGAGCAAGAAGCAGAAAGAUACUUGAUUUUUGCUGAGAAUGGGAACUCCUCUUUAAUUUCUCCAGGAGCAGAGGAUCCUGAGACAUCAAAAAUUAGCAAUAUCUUUACAGCAAUCAAUGUGUGCAAGAGAUAUCAUAGUUAGCCAGAUGGCAAUGAAAUAAACAGGCAAAAAGUUUUUCUUCCUUAUUUCCUGUUUUCUUUGGCAAUUAACACCAUCAACCAAGUUCAGCAAGUCCACAACAUCCAGGUGAACCAUGGACUUCAACUUUGGGGAGGCAGGUGUAAGGAAAACACACUAAUCAAAAUGAGGCUAAGCGACAAUGUGACUAGCUGCACAUAUACCAGAUUGACAUCUACUUUUAGCAACAGGCAAAUUUAAAGAAACAGUUAACCAUCUACAUCAGUAUACCAACCUCAAAAAAGAAAAAGUGAAAGGAUUUGAGCAAGGCAUUAAAAAUGAAACAUUUCCAAGGCGUUGCUGUUUCUCAACACAAAAUUUCUCGAGAUUUUAUUUCAUAAUUAAUUAACAAACUCAAAUCUAGGACUAGCUUUUAUAAAAUCAACCAUUGAACUCAAGCAUACAAAAUAUACAUCAAAAGAUUGAACAUCACUUAAAUUUCAGAAUUAAUUGGUGUCUGAGUAUAUACAUUAUAGGAUAAAUUAGGCUGAAACUUGAAAAUGAAUUUCUUAACAGAAAUGAUCAUAAAGAGAAUUUUCUCAAGUUGAGUUUUAUUUCUCUAAAGACUUAAAAGACACAUUCAAUGCCAAGGGUAAAAUGCACUUUUAGAACCCAGUGUUUUGGGGAUGCAUGGGUUUGGUCCUAUCAGUUUCAGAGCAAACACGUUUAGUCCCUGAAGUUUCAAUUUUUGACCAAUUUAGGACAAUUAAAAAUUAAUCAAUUUGGACAGAAAAUGAUCAUAUGAUGUGCAUGGCCGGUGACUUCAAAUUCCCCGGAGGUGGGGGGAAUUAAUCAGAAGAAAAAUAAAGUUGCCCUUUUCCCAAUAGCCUUUAGUUGAGUUCUAGGCAAUUGAGUUUACUUAGAAUUAAAAAAUAAAUAAAUUCUAAGUUCAAUGAGUUUCCGAAAUAUCAAGUUAACAUACACAUUUUAAAAGAAAAAUCAAAAUACAUGUGAUUUUAGAAUAUCAAGUCCACUUAAAAAUCUGGAAAAAAAAUAAAAUCCAACUCAAUUUUGAGGAAAAAGGUCCAAUUGAACAUUAAGUAAACUCGAUUUCUUGGAAAUCAAGUUCCGCCCAGCAUUUGAAAAAAACAAAAUUCUAAUUGUACUGAUUCUUAAGAGUUUGAGUUCAGAUCAACAUUUUAAAUUUAAAAAAAAAAAAAAAAAACUCUACUUGAGUUCACUUAAACAUUUACAAAAAAUUGUACUCUAGUUCACUUAGAAUUUCUUUAUAAAAUGUUGAACUAAACUAGAAAUCCUGCAUAUCAAGUACAUUUAGAUUUUUUGCUUUUAAAUGUUGAACUGAAUCAAUUUCCAGGAAAUUCAUUUCAAUGUUAUUUUUAAGUGGUUAAGGACUCAAUUCCCAGGAGAUCAAGUGCGUUCUGACUUUUUAAUAUGUUGAAGUGUACUCAAUAUCUAAGAAAUUAAUUUCAGUUAGAAUUUAUUUUCUUAAUGUAAAUGGGAGUAGGGUUGCCUGGAACUCCACUUAGGGCACAUGGGAAGCACAGGUUGACUUUGCUUUAUGAGAUAUUUUUCUCACCCCCAGGUAUUUGCAGUAACAGCCCGUGCUCAUCAUGUGAUCAUUUUCCAUCCAAAUUGGCUGAUUUAUCAUUAAUUGUCUCAAAUUGGGUGAAGACUGAAAGUUGGGGGACUAAAUGGGUUUUCUCUAGAACUUUUUGGACCACAUUGGUCCACCCAGCGAACGUAGGGGGCGAAAAGUUUUUCCUUCAAUGAAAAGAAAGCAUAUCAAAGCUUGGGGCAGAGGUGGAAAUGCGAAACCAAAGCUAUGGCUUCAAAAGUUUGCUUCCAAAGAUCCUACUGCCGUAGAAGGAAUAUUGAGAGGAGGCUGGGAGUUAUAUAAGCUUCAAGUCCUCGAGGAAUAAAAGGAGAAAAUGAGCCCAAAGCAUUCCACCUCUUGUACGUUGAAGCAAGAUUAACUAAGAAUCACAAGGCAAACAAUUAAAAAAGAUGGAGUUCCUUUUUUAUUUGGGGCCCGCAGGGGGAUUUUAAAUGAGAGGUAGAGCAAGAGAAACUAACCCUUUUUUAUUUCGCCAUGCUCUCUGGCCAUAGCAAGGAGUUCCUCUCUAUUCUUUCCCAUAACAUGAGACAUGUCCUAGAAUAUUUCAGAAUGCAUUAAUUGAUGCUUAAUAUGUCUAAUGAAAAUUUUGCUGAAUGAACAUUACACAUCAUAUGAGCCUCUAAUGAGUAGAGAUAAAACAAAAUCACAAUACCAUACCGGAAGAGGAAAGCAUGGAGAAUUCAUGUAUAUAACAUUAUAAUGAUCAAUGCACUGCAACUUGCUUUUUGUUCCAACAUGUUCUGCAACUUCAGUCCAAUUUCCCAGUCCAUACAUUUCAGUUCCCUUGAAAGAAAAAGGACAAAUCAAUAAAUGAGAAUUACAUACUGUCAUCUUCAAAAUAUCAAUAUGAGAAAUUGCAGAUUACUAACGUACAGAAGUACCUCCAGAAGAAGUAUCUCCUCAUCUGCAUUCCAUUCAGGACAUAUUAGGGGAAAGGAAAGAUUAUCCUGCAGGUAGAGAGCUCAAAGUGAAAAGAAUGACUACUGGCAGCUCAAAAGAUUUUGAACUUACAUUAAUCUAGAUGAGCGGAGGUCACAAAACAGCUGGUCUGCAAAUAAAGUAGGGAAACAACUGUAGUUUUAAGUACUAUGGGAUAUCUGUUAUACAAACUUGAGCUGGAUUCACACACCAACUGUCAUGUUAAUCACCAGCAGUAUUGGAGCCAUACAUUAUCUAGAACCUCUACACAAAACCAAACACGAUACAAAAGAUUUCAGACAAAUUGGUUAUAGUUCCUGUACAUAUAAGACUCUGCCUUUCAAACUUUUCAAUCUCACCAAAAUGUCCCAAAAUUAGGAUUAAAAAUGAAUUGGAUUAGGAAAGAGAGACAAGGAAGCUGAAAAGGCCUAAAAGACUGUGCUUGGGUUCCCCAGUCAUCUGGAUGAUUUUAAAAGAGAUACAUUCACAACUUUUGCAAUCCCGUUCAGCCUUGGACGUAGGUCUGAUGAAGGUUAUUCCUCUUUUCUAAAUGAAUUUAACAACCACUGUGCCUAUUAUCUUGACCCGUAAUCCAGAGGGAAAGAAACCUGCUUCUUGCACUUGUCCUUUCUCAAUGGUUAAUUCUAAUCCUUUAAUCAGUUACUAAAUCUCUUUCCUUUAUCCACAAAGAAAUUAUUGCACUUCCAAAUAUACUUGUCUGUAGUUCUAGGGAAGUCAAAUUCAGAAUACUAGGUUCAAAAAACUAUUUGUAUAAAGAAGACAAAAAUUCAAGGUACUUGUGAACAAUGUUGUGGCUUUUACACAACAAUUGCAGAGACGGCGAUGCAAAAUUGACUGUGUCAUCUGUCUACGCGCACAUAUAAAACCAGUGUAUUGGUUCAUGUAAAUUUAUUAUGGUACACAAACAUAUACACAUUAAGUUAGUACUGACCAUGACUCUGUAGGGAUGAUUGCUCUUGUGUGGAUGGACCUCAGCCCCAACCGAAAAGCACUCCACACACAGGUCAAAAUUAGAACAUAUUGCACAUUUAAUGCGUAUUUUUCCUGAUAUAUCUUUACUGCAAUAAUUACAGUGGUAUAAUGCCUUCCCUUCAGCCUUCCCUUGACCUUCAAAGUAAGAAAACAGUCAUGCUCAAAUUAGAGAGAACAUUUUGGGAGCAUGCAUCAAAAUUUUGAUAGAUAAAAAGAUAUAAACAUGCCUUCAACUGAAUUUACCAUGGCAACAUUAUCGGGCUACAAUUUUAUUUUCAGUCCUUUGGCGAUAUCCAUAUCAUAAGCCCAUUGUGAACCUUAAUAAAUUCUCCUCAUGUAGGCUAAAGCAACACAGGAGGCCAAGCAGAUCGACUGUGUGAAAGAACAUCAAUUACACAAACAGAUAUGCCUUCCCUUCCACAUUUCCCAAGUGUUUUAAGAGAUAAAAAUAUCAGCAAGUCUUCAUAAAACAUUGUGCAAGAGUAAAAAAAUAUAGCAUAACAAGACUAUUUUGGUAAUCCUUGCCACAUCAAACAGUUAUUACAAUAGCUGGUAGGUCCAACUAACAUGUUAUUCUGUGGAGAACCAGUUCUACAGUCGUGGAUGUUUUAAAAUAGCAAGAUAGUUGAUAAAUUGUAAGAAUGAACAAACAUUUGCUUUUAACUUCCUAAUACAAUGUUAAUCCCUUUCAGCAGGAGCUUUUUCCCUUUUUGAGAUGGAAGGCAAUAUACACUUAGAACAUGAGUAUAGUAGUCCAUUCUAUUUGUUUUUUAAAAAAAUACAUUUUUAUUCUGCAUAAGUUUUGCGCAUGGCAUUCUUUUUUUAUUUUCUUCUCAAACAGGGAACACAAGAAGAAAAUUAGUUAUACAAAUCUGAUAAGGAAAAAAAAUGCAUUUGCUCCAAUAUGACCAUUACCAUGUUUUCAAGUUAUAAAAGUGAUUCUUACAGAGAAAUGGAGGGGAAUUAUAAACGAAACAAAGGAUUGUCAUCAGUUAAAAACUGAGUAUGCCUGUGUAAGCACACAAGCCAAAUCAAUGUGUAUAAUAGAAACAAAGUCAAGUACAUCCUGUGGUUUAAGACUUUCAGUAUCCCAACCUUUUAAGACAAUAUGAAAACUAAUAUAAACAUGAAAAAACAAAUAUAAAUUGGGGCUCAUCUCGUUUAUGCUUUCAAAAUCAAUAACUACACAAGUAGAAGCAGAACCGAUACAUGUCAAUAAAUGAUCAAUACCUGCAGUAGCAAUUUCCGAAUUUUCCACAUUCGAAGCAGUCCUUUUCCUCUUUGACCUACUGAAGAGUAUAGCAGCAGGGCCAAAAAGAAAAGGAAAAAAAAAGGGAUGUCAAAAAAUGCCCAAUAAAAGUUUUAAAAGAAUAACAGGUAAGCAAUGCUUAAAAAAGAACCCUCACUUUUUACUAAACCUAAGUAAAUAACUGGGAAUGCUUAAACAAUGGUGAAAAGAAUAACUACUAUAGGCUAAUUCUUCCAAAAAUACUAAUUUGGUUCCGUAUUUUUGACACUUUUUUCUGCAUUUGAAAGUUUUCUCAGUACGACAAAGAAAAGGAAAGAGGAAUUUUACCGAAAAACUUCAUUCCAUCUUUAAUCCUCAAAGAUGCUGCAAUCUUUUUCCCCAAUUUUGACAAAAAAAAAAAAGUAAUACAGAGUUGUACAAACACAGAAUUUUAGGAUAGGGUUUACAUAAAGUUCACCCCUUUAUUUCUUCUUGGGCUCAAAAUUUGAAAAAGAAAAUUUACCUUUGGCUGAGAUCUUCAUCGGCGGAGUGAGGAACAGCACGAGAACGACCCAUUUGGGUUUUGCAAUGGGGGAUUGAGAAUCAAGAGCUCCUGAAGCUGUGAACUUGGGCUUCAAUUUUGCUUCUGGGAAUCGAAUUUGAGAGUUUCAGUUGCCAAAUCACUGGUGGUUGGAAACGACAGAGAGAAAAGAACGAAUAAUGGAUUUAAGUAAAUUACUGGAAUAGUCCCUCAACUCAUUUAUAAAAACCUUAUUAGUCGUUCAACUUUUUCUCAUAAAACCCGGGUAGUGUUUGGAUAUCAAAAUUUUGGAAUAUUGGCCUUGUUUGGAUAGGUACUGUUUGUAAUAAUAUUGGGCUUUCCCUCAAAUUAAUAGACAUAACAAAAAUAAUGUUUGGAUCCUCAAAUAAUCCUAUUUACCGUGGGUGUAAUAGAAGUUUGCCGAUGAGGACAGAAGUUGACAGUUGAAGGAGCCAAAUCAGAUGCAUGUGGCCAUUCAAACUUUCAACUACUUUUUAGGUGCAAAAAGUUGUGAGUAACAGUUUAGCACACUUUAAGGCUGUAUGCCUCGAAUGGUUUAUGGGUCCACUAGUCCUUUACUAGUACUAAGCACCAACGUGGGAAUACUGGGCAAUAAUCAAGUUCUCUUGAUAUGCAUGCUCAACACUCUAUAUGAUUGCCCCGGAAAUGUGAAAUUUAUAUGCACAUACCAAUUUAAAUUCAGACAAUCCAAGUCAUCGGAAACAAGAGGAGGAGCACAAUUUAUUUCAAAUAGGAGCUUCUCCUACUAUACGAAGACUUACAUAGUAAUUAUACUAAGAGCCACCAUUUGAUUACAAAGAGUUAAAAAUAGCAUACAUUCAAUAGCUUAUUUCCACCGUACCCCUCACCCAAUUUUUUGGUUGCAGCCUCACUUCGUCUAAUACAUCUGUAGGCCCUUGGCCUCGACCACAUCUUUGUCCAACUCUUACGUUACAUCCUCCCUUGAACGGUGCUAAAAAACUUGGCAUCAUCUUAUAAGCCGCAUCAACAAGGUAGAACUUGCCUACAUCCAAGAAAAGAAGUUUAGGACACCAGAGAAAUUCAUUUAUGGGGGAAAAAAUUGUAUAUCAACCUAGUAUUCAUAAUUUGAAUAUAUAUGUGGAAUUUCGAGGGCGUAUAAAUAAUAGCCAAAUUUAACAACCUUGGGGGGGGGAAAUGGGAAAUCGGUGUGCAUUCUCAUUGCACUUUCUAGCACCCAUGCAUCGUGUGCGCUACUUUCCCAUCCGGUAUAAACAUAAAUGAACUGCAUAUCAUGGUUACAUACAGUUAAUACGUUUUGGUUUUGAGUCCCAUGCCUAUUUAUGUAGGCCAUCUACUCAACUGCCGGAACUGUAGCUGGGAUAUGUGUACCGUCCAAAGCACCUAAAUAGUCUUGCAUUUAUUUAACAUAUGCAUAAAAGUCAGUUAUAAAAAUACUUCUCAAAGGACCAUAGUAUUAAUUUAGACAAAAACAGGUUGGCACACUAUUAAGAAGAUGCUUUUUUCAAUAGCAUUUGAUGUGUGAUUGCAAAAAAGAGGACCGAAGAAUGAUUUAUGUAUAGUCAUAGCUUUACCCCAAUUUCUAUGUCAUGGAGAAAUUCGGGGUAUCCACAAAUUGAUCUCAAAUUUUGGCCAAAUAUAUUAAAUUUCACUAUAUGUUAUCCAAUAUUCCAUCCAAAAAUAAAAAUAUUGAAAAAAAACAAGGUAAACAUGUUUUACCUUGAACCAAAGAUAAUACUUAGUGCUAUAUCUUAUUUUUGGAUGCACUUCCUCACUUUGUUUGGGCGAGUAAUUCUUUAUGCAAAUCGACAUAACCCCAACAGCACUUCCGCUACAUUUCUACGGAUGGUUUCGGUUGAAUGUUGGAAUCUUUCAGCUACUACUCGAGUUCGCGUGCUAUGACUUAACAUAACUAAAGUCAUGGCUAGUGCUUUCUCGAUUGACACAUACUUGUGUGAAUUUUGAGGGACGUAGUUAUUGCCUACUAGAACAUCAUAAAAUCACAUAAAAUUGUCAACAGUGAUUCGACAAUUCUCUAAAAUACGUAGUGUGUGUCCUGUUAUUAGCUCUUGAACUCACUUCCAACCAGGCAUGUCAGAAUUGCGGCAAAGUAUUUUGAUAAGAGACCCAUCGUAAGUUUCGCUUCUGGUGAAAAAAGUAGCAUAGCUGUUGUUGAGAAUUACCUCUUUAUCUUCUUCAGAGCGUGAGCGGGAAGAGGAGGAAUCGAAGUACGGAUUAAAGUUGGCCAUGUAUGGAAAAUAGCCAUAAGCCUGCAAUGGAUGAAAAAAGGUAGUUGUUAAUUAAAUGGCAAGUUGAAAUCUAAAAAUCUCAGGACUUCACCUCAUUGCUAUGACUGAAAGAAAAACUAAUGAGGACAAUAGGAGGGGGAGCGUUAAUACAAGACAAGGCCUUAAAUAGAUGUUACCACAGUAGUCAUUUAAUUGCUCGGGAAGACUAAAGGUUAAGUGUCAAUUUCUUACGGGAAAGUAAAGGUGGAGGACCGAUGAUGCACUUCUUUUGAGGCAAGUAAGAAACAAGAAAUCCUAACGUUUUAGUGUAUAGAGAGCUAAAGGUGGCGUGAAUUAGUUUUGAUGCUAUGUUAUAUAAAUAGUAGGCAGAUUCAUAGACAUGGAUAUGAUGGAGGCCUGUAUAGCUUUUGUCAUCCACUGUAAAGUUGUUGGAGUGUAGUAUGUUGAACAGAGAAAGAGAUGCCUAAUCAAUCUGUUCAUUCAUGUGCCUUCCUUGAUGGCUCCUGUUUAUUUGCUCUAGUUAUUUCCUUACGCAAAAAGCGCAUUUGAGGCAUGUUAGUGGGUCUCUGGCCACUGUCGGUGAAUUGAGACAAGAUGCUCUCUAUUAUUGCAUAUACAAUGCAUGAGAUAAAUCAUCCAAUUUUCGAAUGAAAAACAAACGUAUGCCAAUCUCACUAGAUGCACUUCAACUGGACAGGUCUGACAUUUACAAAAGUACUCAAGUACCCAAGGUCAUAGUUUUUUGUUAGAGAUGUAGUAGGAGGUGUAGUAGGACACCAAACUUUUCUUCCUUGAUGAUCUAUGUUGCUGCAUGAAGUAAAACACUCAGCCUUUGGCACUUUUCUUAAUUUCUCCUUAAGCAAUUUAUUUUCCUUUGCUAAAUCAUAGAAAUCAAAUUGAGCAAAUCAAUCAUAUCAGCUUUUACGUGGUCAUUAGAGGUUGUGAUCAGGUUACAAUUGAUUAAAAGUGCACAAAAUAUGAUCAUCCUUGGUACUCACUCUAAUUGGGAAGGGCAUUAUAGAUAAGAAUCAAGUGAAGAAAAACAUAAACUCAGGAAAUGGAAAAGAGGACUCCAAACUAAGCACCUGCAAGUUUAGUGACUCUCUUUCCAUUGCAUAAGUCACUGAAAUAUCCAUUUCCACAUUGGACUUGAAAUUUAUGUGUUGGAAAACAGUCCAAAGUCAACCUGUUUAAGGAAAUUUUGUGGGGAAGUACAAAGCCUGGUGUCCUAAUACACCUCCCAAAAUAAUUUCAGCCUGCUCGUCAGAACUUCCCCUGAUUGAUUAAAUAUACUCCAAAGUGAAGCAGCAAGUUAAAAACUAGCUUUGGAGCAAACAGUCCAAAGUCAGUUCGACUGAAGCUCACAUAGCAGCAUUCUAUGGUGCUCACAAAUACUUUGCAUAAAUCCACGAGAAAGUAUUGGAUAACCAACUAUGAGCACUUGGAUACAAUCCAUUAAGGUUAUGGUGUCCAAAAUAGCUCAUUCAAAAUAAAAAAUGUCAUCUUAUAAACUGCUAACAUGGGACAAUAGAAAAGUAAUCUGCCAUCUCUUAUAUAAUGAACAUCCAACUCCAAACUUAAUGUUCAUAACAGCUAAGAAUCAUCAGAAAAUAGGUAAAUUCAUUCACUGAUACAAUCAAGUGGUCAAACUAACAAUAAAAUUUCACUAAAUAUAACAACAUAUAAUCAAUAAAAACGGGGAAACAAGCUAUCUUAUCAUAGCAAUAACAGAAAUAGAAAAUUUAAAUUCACAAAGUUAGGCCCGUGAGGUUCCCUACUUCCCGACGAUCUUUGGCAUGAUGAACAACUCAAUCCAUGUCAUCUACUCACUCUCACUGAAGCUAAGAAAUAAAGCACGGAACUCCUCAUCCAAUAAUUCUUUUAAGAAAUACAUUUGUAGAGUUCUCUUUAACUUUAGCUCCUGAACCACUUUUUUGCUUACUUCAAUUGAAUACUUCUCCUUUGCUGCUCUAUCGGUAGAAACUAUGGAGAAAAAUCUGUUGAAGUUGCUCAGUGCCUCUUGGUAGUUAUCCGAACCCGACCUUCAGGACUUGGUUCCUCUUGAGCCUUCAUUCUCAAAAUUGUGAGGAGCACUACCCAUUGGUCGCUUGUCGGGAUUUCUCAUAAUUGGGCUUCCAUCGUCAUCCGAUGUUCCCUUCGAAUCUGCUGGGUUGAUGACAGAACUUGAAGCUACUCCUUUGCCUUUGAGGUUCGAAUCACCCCUACGUCUACGGACACGAGAAGGCACGAAUUGGGAUGGGUGUUGGGUCGAAAAUUGAGCACGAUUGCCUGUGGCAUGUUUGCUGUCUGUAGACACCAAAUUUUUGGUUUCGAACUUUAUUUAUUUAUUUAGUUUAAUUUUAGAUUUAUUUGUUUCAAUUUUAGAUUUAUUUUAGUUGAUUGCUGUUUCGUAUCUUUACGAACAUUUAUUUUAUAAUUUAAUCGGAAAAAAAAAGAGAAAAACAUUCAAAAGUAUGCUUUAGUUGAUUUCUAUUCAAAUUCAACGCUUUCUUGAAAAAAGAAAAAAAAGGAAAAUUUGCAUUUCAUUUUUAUCUUAAUUAGCAUUUCUUCGUUAGUUUUUUUUUCUUAAUUAGUUAUCUAUAUUUUUGUUAAGUUAUUAUUAAAAAUAAAAAAAAAAAUAGAGCCGCGGCAUGCAAGCUGCAUAUUUUUGCAGCUUGCAAAGGACAAUCACAGAUGCCCAUCGGAGGGCUGGAUGUGAAGGCAAGGGCAAGUCUUUCAUCCUCACCAUUGGGGUGAGGGUUUAGGAACCUUGGGUUCCAUAUAAAAAGAGAAAAACAGCAACCGCAAGGGAGGUUUUUGGGGUUUUGACGGCUAAGAAAAAAUGAGGGAGAGAGAGCUGGAGUUGGGGGUUGAGUGAAAGAAAGGCUGAGAGAGAGUGAAAGAGGAGAGAGCCGCAAAUAGAGAGAGGAAAAGAAAAAUCUGGAGAGGGCUAGAGGGAACUUCGGCUGGGCAGUAGGAAUCUGAAAGAGAAAAAGAAAAAGGAUUAACGGCGAGGGCUCUGGGCAGAAAAAGAAAAAAAAACGAGAGAAAGGUUUAGUAGCGGCUAAAGCCGAGAGCAAGAGGGAGCCUCGUGAAACUAGGUGGAGAAGAAAAGCCAGAAGAAACAAGGAACGACGGGAAGAGAGAAGGAGCAAGAGACCAAGGCUGAGUGGAGGAAUCUCACCACCACCUGCGGCUGUUCUUUGAAGGGAAACCACCACUGAAAUCCAUUAGAAAGUAGCACUGUAAGGUUCUUUUCCCUUUCCUGUAGAUAAUAUUCAUUGAAUGAACAUGAAACUAUGCUAAAUUAUGAAUCGAUGAACGGGUCAAAAGUUUCGGUGAUGAUCUGAGAUUAUAGCUAAAGGUGGUGCCUUUUUUUUGCUGUCACGAUAUGCAAUGGUUAUGUUGUUUGUUUGGUGUGGAUUGUGUUUCGUCCUUAGGCUAUAGCUCAGUAGCAAGACCCCAGCUUUGAAAAGAAAAGACGUUCGUAUGGCCUGUCCAUUUGAGUUGUCGAAUAAAUCAUGAAGAAAAGUCGCUUGUUUCGUUUCUUAAUUGUCUUGGUUUGUUCGGAUGUUGGAGCAUUGUCUUGGUUGUGGUUGGAACUGUUUGUUUGGACUGAAAUCUGGGAUUUGUCGCUCAGUUCAUACACCAUAUGCAUACCCAAUCUAAAAUUCUGAUAUUCGGCCUGUGUUGAUGAAGUGAUAAGAGAGUUAUAGCAGUUUUUGUUCUUCCUUUUCUGCAUUUUUCCAGAAUUUGUGUAUGAUAUCUUUCCAAGUUUCUGGUCAUUGGCUUAUGAUCAUCAUGAGUUUUUGUUGCUUAGUUUAAAGUUGUGAUGUUGAGAUGAAGAAUAUCUAAUCAAAGCUGUGCAUUUGAAUCAAAAUCUGGUCUUCAUGAUGAAAAAUGGAAAGAAAGGCCGUGACUGAAUUUUUGCUGCAAGUGUCAUCCUUUCUUUUGCUGCAUUUCUACCCAGUCAUUUUGGUUUAGAGUGCUUGUUAACAACAUGGGUUAAGAGCUGUAGUAUUUGAGUUAAGAGGGUAAAAUUGAUAGGCUUCAUGGGCAUGAAUGUGUUCUAGCUGAGAGGGAAAUAUCGAAGAAAGAAUGGUAGCUGGAGUUUGCAGAAAUGCAUGAGUUUCUUCGUGAUUUUUGCAUCAGUUUCUGGCUAAGUUUUUACUUGUUUGGAUGUUGAAGUUGUGUGUUGUUUGUCUAACUCAAAGUUUAUAUAUUGGUUUGAGAGAGUUUGGUUGAGGUUUGUGUUGGUUUUUCUGAAAUCUGUAGUUGGAAAAAAUGCAGCAGACUUUCAUUCUCGGUAGCAGAAACUGGUUUUGUGGUUGUUUGUUGGCAUGAAUUUUCUUCUACGUUUGAGUUGGUUUGAAUGCUGAAAUUGUUGUUAUGAUGCUUAGAUUGGUUUUGGGGUGUUUGGGUCUAAACAUACUUGAGUUGGAAUUGAAUGCUUGCUGGCCGCAUAGAAAAUAGGUAGCCGGAUCAUUUUGCAUGAAAGUUUCAAAGAAAUUUGCAUCAGUUUUUGUUAUGUUUUUUGUUUGUUUGCUGUCAAAGUUUCGUGCCUUGUGGUUUAGUUCCACACUAUGAUUUUGGUUAACAUUUUCUGUUUUUGAACAAAGCUAUCCUUUGGGUCUGAAAUCUGCGUUUGGAAAUGAAAGUCACAACUAGUUUUGUUGCCAAAAGACUCCACCCUUUGCCAUAGCUUCCAAAUUGCAGCAAUCUUCUUCCAUCUUGCAUAAAGGUUUCAUAAGUGUUUGUGUAAUUUCCUUCCAUGUUUUGCUUGUUAGAUGUGGAACUUGUUUGUUUUGUUGCUUAAUCCAAAGUUUGGAUAGAUGAAAGGGUUAGUCAAAGCUGCUUAGAAUUUGUGUAUGAGAUGGAAAUGCAGCCAGUGAUUGUUUUGAUUUCAAGAAGAUGUUCAUUGCAGAAAAUUUUGUUUCCUACGUAUGCAUGCAUGCAAAUACUUCUGAUUUUAGCAUUUUGACCCCCCAAGUUUUCCUUUGUUGCGCUAUGGCCCAAUUACAUUCCAAUCCCUUGCAAUUGAAUCCUAAGUUGAUUGUAAUUUGAGUCGUUAUUUGGCUUUUUGGACCUUUGAAGUUUUUAGGCGUUGCAUUUGGACUUGAAUGAUUGGUUAAAGGUCGUUUUGAGCUCCCAUUAGUUGCUAUAUUUGGGAAUUUUGAUGAGUUAUUCCAUUUUUCCUUGGUCAUUAUGCAUUUUUUUAAUUAAUUGCAAUUGAACAAGGAUUCGAUGUUGGUGGAAUCAAGUUGGUUUAUAUAUGUUUUACCACUAAAUUGGUGCAUUAAUCCUUUGCUUUGAUGAUUUUAGCCUAAGUUAUCCCUUUUUUGGUGACUCUAGUCCAAAUUGAGUCCUUUUACUCUAUCAACGUCAUGAAUGGGGAGGUAUAAUUUCUUUUAUCCUUUUUUGUCUCUCCUAUGUGAUCCAACGUGCUACGUGAAAAUUGCAUGUCUACUUGCUUCCCUUGUUUUUCUCUAAUUCCUUUCAUUUACUUCAUUUACUUUUGCUUUUCCUUAAGUUAUUCUUUUACGGGGUAUGUGUACACCUCUUGGCUUGUAAUAGAUAGGGCUUAGAGAGCACUUGAUGAAGACCUAUUUAAGACGUGUGCCUAGCUAGCAAAUGUAAUAGGUUUAUUAGCUUGAUUGUUUGCUUUUGUUGCUAUGUGUUAAUUUGCUUUAUUAGGCUCUUGCAUCUAGUCGAGCAUGCUAAGUGUUAUGUGCUAUGUGUUUAUGAGUGUUUGGCAUGUCUACUUGCUUUCUAUAGCCAUGGAUGAAUGUGAUGGAUGAAUGUACGUUACCACACUUGUCCAACGCUAGUUGUGGCUCAUUUAUAGAAAGGGCUAGUCCAAUGCUAGACCCAAUAGGCCGUUCCUCUUUCGUAGGUGCAUAUUUGCGUGUUUCACUUCAUUUCAUGCAUUUUUCUUAGUUUUAUCAUUUGACAUGCUCCUCAAACCCUUUUUCCCCUCAUUUUAGAUUUUUAUUUGCAUCUCAUGCUAGUUAUAGGGUACAUUUGCUUGAAGAGUCCCCUUUCGAUAAGGGAAACGAGCGAGUGUGGCUACGAAAUAGCCUUAGCACGCUAGUUCUCCUUUCUAAUCAAAGGAAAAAUUGAAGUCACAAAGUUAGGACUCCCCGUUCCUGUCUUGAUGCAUUCCUAUAGGAUUCAUGCAUUUUACUCAUUCGCCAUCACAUACACUUCUACUUUAUAUUCUAACCCUUUGUCCACAUUCUCACUUCACACUACUUUAAUUUUGCGCAUUUCCACUCAACUACUCACACUUUAUACAAUAUCACUCGCACACAUGCACUUUAUGCUAUUUUCACAUUAUCAUUUUUACUCACCUUACCUUGUAAAUACCAUUUGCACACUUUCACUUACACACUAUUAUUUUUAUCACUUUUUCACUUCACACAAACUCACAUUUUCACAUGGCAUGCAUUCAUUUCACUCAUUUUUACGUCAUUUAGGAUUAUAUGUGACCUCUCCAAAGAAUCAUUAUUGGGCUUCACAAUUAAUGUGAUUGGCACCAUUCAACCUUUGAAGAGAAAUUUCCCCCAUCUCCCCCUAGGUCUAGGUUUUUUUGCAUUCAUAUAGUCAUAUCCAAUAUGCGCUACAUACCUUGGGUAGAAAAAUAGGAAACGUGGGGUUAAGUCACGCAACUAGCUUUGGUUAGGGUAAGGGAGUGCCUUAGGUUCCGCCUUUGCCUUCUCCCUUACCAAACGUGAUCCCCGAUCCCUUUCUUUGGUUGCGUAGACCUAAAAGUUUUCAAAAAGGGUUUUGUUUACUUUUUCAUUCAAUAAACAAAAAAAUCAUUUUUGGGUGACUUGGUACACCCUAACUCUAUACCAAGUGGCGACUCCAUUUUUUCAUACAAAAAACCCUUUUGAACUUUACUUGACCAAAACCGUCGCAUUUUACAAUCCCACGGUCUUUGCUUUCACUUCUACACACAUUCACACACACUUUCACAUUCUCACACCAUUUCAAAAAGUGGAGCGCGACAACUUGGCGACUCCACUGGGGAAAUCCUAAGUGGGUCCAAACAUUUGAUUUAGCCAUUCUUUUUCUUUUUUUUCUACCCCUUUUAUGCAUUGCAUUUUGGAUAUUAGGACUGCUUUUUUUUCUUUUUUAGGACUCUUUGCCUCACUCGCGUCUCAAACUACUCCCUCGCUCACGAAUGUAUGAUUGGUUGAUUGGAUGUAUGUUUACUUGUUUAUCUCGCGCCUGCAUUGCAUUUAGGGGGGGUGUGUCACCCUAGAGUCUCGCGUUGGUUCUUGAUCCCUCCCCUCCAAACGAGCACUAGCAUACGUGCAUAAGAUUUAAUUUUUUCACUCUUCAUUUAUUUUUCUUUUAGUGGCUUGUCACGCCACUCCACCCUAUUAGGAUUAGGUGACCCACUUAGACAUGUGAUCGUGACACGAUGUGUGCGUAGCAUGAUCCGAGGGGUCACUCAAUCUUCCAUUUUAACCUUUGGGUUCAUAGCCUUUAGCUUUUAGUGGAAGGUUGAGGAUUUUUGAUAGAUUCACUCAUGACAUGUAGCCGUGACACGAUGUGUGCGUAGCAAUGUCUGGGGAAUCGCUCAAGCCACCGACAAGGAACCUUGGAAUUGAUGACCCUCGAUUUUCAAGUCUGAAGGCUCGGGGACCUAAAGCCUAUCGAGUCUAGAUGCAUUAGUGAGUCAAUACCACAUGCAUCCAUGAUAGUUUACCUAGGGUAGAGUUUGCCUUACCCUGGUAAGGACACUAUUCACGAGGGGAGGGAUCCAACCCCUUUUUUCCUUUUAUUGCUUUAUUUGUAUUGAUUUUAUUGCUUUAUCUUGUUGCUACAAUAUGUUAUGUGUAUUUAUCUGGCUGAAGUAACUUUCUUAGUUUUGUCCCCAUUGCAUUCACAAACCUUAGCAAAUAAGAGGUCUGGCAUGACCUUCUUUUAGAACCUACCCUUGUAGAUAGACUAUUGCACGUUUAAAGAUUUUGGUAUAUUGCAUUUUUAGAUUAAUAAUGUCAUAUCAUUUUAGACUUACCCUGGCAAAUAAAUGGUCCCUUUAGGUCAUAACUGCAUGUUUUAUCGCUUUAAUAAACUGGCAUCAUGCAUAAACCCUAGAAGGGGAAUGCCAUUUAGGGGAUCCCGCCAUUAGGAUUAAACUCACCUUGAUUGUUCCCAUGGGUACAUAACCCUUCAAGGGAUUGCACGUUUAAAUUCUCGCCAACCGGAGAGUGGGACUCGUAGGUAAGCUAAUUGACAACCCGCCUCUUCCAUUUUUAGAUAGAGUGCCCCCGUCGAAUCUACCAGUUGUUGGUACCGUCGGCCGAGAUUCAAAGAUGGCCUGCCCUCAUGCUACCUAGCGAAUUACAUCAAGUAGCUCAAUAUUUAGGGCCAAUUGGAGACCUUAAGGAGAUCAAGCCCAAUGGCUAUCUAGUAGAGGCAUUAGUACAUCUGUGGGAUCCGGAACGUUCGGCCUUUAGGGUAGGCAACAAGCACAUGACAGUGACACUUGAGGAAAUAGCUGGCCUCUUCAAUUUAUCUUUGCAUGGAACUGCCUUGAUUUUCCCGUACGUUUCAGACAAGAUAGAAUUUUGCAAGAUCAUAGGAUUGAGAGAGGUUGUGUUGCGAGGGUCGGAUCAGGGUGUCCCCGUGAACACUUUGUUUGAGCAUUUUACACUACGAAGCGGGUUUGAGAGAUACAGGGAAGAUUUUUCAUUCACAUCCAAGGAUGUUUGGGAACGCAAAAGGCCAGUGGUGUAUGCAAUAGUUAUGGCGGGAGUUUAUUUCUUCCCGAGAAGAGAUCAAAAAAUAGCUUUCAAGGUAGCAAAGGUUAUACAAGACCUUUUUUCAGGAAUUCGAAAUAAACAAUGCACCAUAAUCCCGACCAUCCUUGCGGACAUUUUUCUAGCUUGUACCAACUGCCAAAAAGGGGACAAGUUCUUUUACGGGGCUAAUAUAGUUUUGCAUAUCUGGGCCCUAGAACAUUUUAAGAGACAAGCAUCCGUUCCGGAAAGUUUGCCAGUAGCUGGGUACAACUGGGUAAUCACACAUCAUAAGCGAGUCAACGAAGGGGGUUUGCCGAACGCUGCGGUUGAAUGUGUCAAAUACUUGGAGACGUUGCCAGACCAAGACAUUAGGUGGGUGUUAGACUGGACGAUUUGCCUUAGGCCGAUACUCCGUACUAAAGUGUCAGAUUUUGUUCUCCUAUUGGGUACUUAAGGAAUCGCCGCAUACACUCCAAAAAGGUUCCUCAGACAGUUAGGACGUACACAAGAAGUGCCGCCUGUGGUUGAUAUGAGUAAACUUACCGUCGUUUUCAGUAAAGGAAUGUGCCCAAACGAGCUCCCUAUGAAAGACCAGAUUAUCGAGGCAUGGGUGACACUAUCGGAUGACGAGAGAUUUCAAUACAUCCUGGAACUCAAGCAAAAGGGUUUGACCACUAUACAAUACGAAGACUGGGUAAGAAGAUCCGCUGCGCAAGAAAUUCAAGAUGAGCCAGCUGAGGAGGUGAAAAGGUUGAAAGCCAUUGUCGAAGUAAAGGAUAAAGAAAUUCUGCAGUUAAGUAAGUCUGUCGAAGCAUACAAAGGGAUGGCGGAGCAAAACAAGCAAUUGUAUGAAAAUGAACGAGAAAAGCGUCAAGAGCUGAAAAGGAAGUGCGGAGAAUUGUAUGACCAAGCUGAACAUGUUAGAGUUCCAUAUGCUAGAGAAACUAGGGACUCUGUAUUAGAUAGGCUCAGAAGUUUUGGCAAUCUUGUACGGAAUCGUCUUCGUGACAUGAUGUAAAUAUUGACAAGUUUAUCAAUGAAAGCGAUUUUUCUUUUGCACUGAUUUGGAAUUGUUGUCAAAAACAGGUUUGUGUUACGGGUCCCAUUUCGAAGGUUUUGCAUCAUACUAGGCCUACCCUUGGCGCGAAAAGGGCCCCCCCAAUAGGACAUGCAUCCGAAUUUUUUGGAUAUUUACUAACUCUUAUCUUUUUCUUUUUUCUUUAUUUUAUUUUUUUCUGGAAAGCUAAGCCAGGGCUAAAAUCUAAAGGCAAGUCAUUUCAUAUUUUCAGGUAAUUUUAAACAUAACUUCUCGUCGAAGCCCCAUUAUUACGCUAUCCCGAAGUAAAACCCAAAGGAAUCGUGUAGACAUGAGUACUCAGCCAAAAUCGUCUGAUAAGACCGCUGCAACUACCUAACCGGAAGCCACAAGUCCCGGGGUUCAGUUGACUGAAUUACUCACUAAAUUUGGGGAAAUAGCAUCUGAAAUGGUCGCCCAAAAGAAGUUGAUCGACGCGCUCACUAGUAGCGGAGUGCAGCCCGAGCCUGUGCCCGUUAAACAAUCAGAAUCCGAACCAUUUGUCAUUCCUUCAAUUCAAACCACUUUUGAGGGAGUUUUCAACCCGCAAUAUGCUUAUACUCAAAAUCCUCUGUUCUAUCCUCCUUAUGGGCAAGGAUUUCAGCCUCAAGGCGAUCCAAACAUGCAUCUAAAUCCACCAAUUUUUUAUCAGACUACCGCAGAACCUGUUGUGCUGGAACACACUUUUCAAAACAGGCCAGAAAUGGGAGAGUCGUCUGCCCAGGUUGAUAUGAAGCUACUUAAACGCUUGGAUCGUUUCGAUGAAUUCAUCCGAAAAAGUCAAGAUUUAAGCAAACAAGGGGUGUUAGAUUACGAUGAUCUGUGCCUGUUUCCAAACGUACAACUGCCGGUGGGGUUCAAGACCCCUAAGUUCAACAAAUAUGAUGGAACAGGCAACCCUAAAACACACCUGCGUUUGUUUGCCAACAAGUUGGGCAAGCCGGUGGAUGAUGAGAACUUGCCAUUGAGGUUAUUUCCGGAGAGUCUAGAAGGGGACGCCUUCGAUUGAUACUCAAAUUUAAAGCCAGAGGAGAUGAAGACCUGACUCGAUCUGUCCAAUGCUUUCAUCAGACAAUACGAGUAUAACUGCGAACUAGCACCAACCCGAACUACUUUGGAAGUAACGAAGAGGCGACCAUCUGAAGAUCAUAAGACAUAUGCCAAAAGAUGGAGAAAGAUAGCUGCGAAAGUGGAGCCACCGAUGACUGAGGAUGAAAUUAUUCGCACAUUCAUAAAGGUGCAUGAUCCUCCGUACUUCGAAGAGAUUUUCCGUAUAACCGGGUGUUCGUUUGCUGCAAUUGUAAAUAAACUCGAGAAGUUUGAUGACUUUGUGAGAGCCGGGAAAAUUGUCAACGUCUCUGCCCUGAAAUCGCAAUUGGAAGCUUUGCAAGGGCAAGGAAAUAGUGAGAAAAAGCCGCAGCUCAAAAAGAAAGAGGGGGAUGCAACCUUUAUCUGGAACCAGAACCCUUCACCCAGACCCCGAUAACAACACAAUCCAACCUACCAACCACAUUACCCUUACUACUCAGACCCGCACCAUGUAUAUACUACCAAUAUCCACCACCCUCGAUCUCGCCCAAACUAUCCUAACCCACCUGUGGCUCCUUUUCAAAUUUCUCAACCAAAUCUACCCCAAAAUCGACCUCGCCCUCCAUAUAACCCAAGAUUUCCUCUUCCAAAUAGACCUGUUUAUAACCAUCCUCAACCUCCUGAACUUUACAACCAAGCCCGUAGCAGAACUUUCACUAACCUAGGCAGACCUCUGGAUCAAUUGUAUGAACAAUUAAAGGCUGCCGGGAAAAUUGGUACGGUACCCCUUCCGACCUACCCAUAUGGCAUAUUUGCUGGGUAUAACCCACAAGCCAUCUGUGUUUAUCAUUCAGGGGCCCCCAGACAUGCAACCAUUGAUUGCAAGGCUCUCAAGCACAGAAUUCAAGAUAUAAUUGAAGCCGGGGAGAUUGUAAUCCGAAAAAGGGAGGCACAAGGGCCGAAUGUAAAUAGGAACCCCUUGCCGGAACACGCUAAUACCAUUGGGGUCAUUCUGGACGACGCGGAGUACGUAGAACAAGUCAAAAAAUUGGCAAGGGAAGCCAAAGUGUUUGGGAUCACAGACCAACCAUUUGUCAUAGAGUUGCCAUGCGAAGAGGAUAAAAAGCCUUUUAUCUUGGAUCUCACGCCAGCUGAGAGUGAGGCUUUGGAGCCAGUAGUCAUCGAAUUCCCGAAACAAGAGCCUGUUUUAAGUCUACAACAAGUGCCAUGGAACUACGAUGAACCUGUCAUACAGAUUGGGGAAAAGUCAAUUGCGAAGAAAGAAGUGUCAGUGGUCACCAGAUCGGGGAAGAUUGCAAGUCCGUUUGAAACUACUAUUCCGAUUCAAGCAAAUAACUCCGAGCAGCCUGCUAAACCAACAAUCACCGAGAAAGAAGCCUUGGAUUUUCUUAAAAGGCUCCAGAGAAGUGAAUACAAUGUGGUCGAGAAACUAAGCAAGUCGCCUGCCCAGAUAUCCAUGUUGGAUCUACUUUUUUCUUUAGAUAUGCAUAGGGAUGCGUUAAUCGAAGUAUUGACUAAAGCUCAAAUUCCUAGAGACAUUUCGGUUGAUAAUUUCUCGCACGUGGUUGCGAGUGUGCUAUUUACUAAACAAAUUACUUUCUCUGACGAUGAAUUGCCGGCGGAAGGCAUUGGUCAUAACAAGACUCUGUACAUAGUUGUGAGGUACAAUAGAAAAAUGCUGCCGAAGGUUUUGAUUGACAAUGGAUCUGCGCUUAAUAUCUGUCCUUGGAGUACCUUGAAAAAGCUAGGGUUGCAAGACAUAAAGCUGAGGCCUUCAGGGACCAUAGUUCGAGGGUUUGAUGGAGCGCAAAGAGAGCCAAUAGGAGAAGUGGAUUUAGUCGUCGAGAUGGGGCCCGCCCAGUUUCAAAUAACCUGCCAAGUCAUGCAAUUUCCCAGUGUUUACAAUGUUCUGCUUGGAAGGCCGUGGAUUCAUAAGUCUGGGGCUGUGCCUUCUUCAUUACAUCAAUUGCUGAAAUUCGUAGUAAAUGACAAGCUGAUAACUAUCUUUGCCGAGGAGGAUUGCCUUGUAAUUACUGAUUCCGAGUCCAAAGAAGAGGGUAGCCGAAACGUCACGGUGACCCCUUAUAGCACGGCUGAUAUUGUCUCCAUAAGUUGGAUAACAAAAGAGGAGCAAGCUCUGUCAAAGGCUAGCGUCAUGAUGGCUAAAGAAAUGAUCCGUGGAGGAUAUGAAUUUGACAAAGGGCUGGGACGAGACCUACAAGGAAUUCUGAAACCGGUGGAGAUUGUGGAGAAAAAGGAUUCAUUUGGUUUGGGUUUCCAACCGACUGCUAAGGACAUCAGAGAGAUGAAGGAACGCAAGAGAGCGGAGAAAGAAGGAAGGCAAAGGGCUCUUGACAUUCCACCACUGCAUUAUACUUUUCCACGACCAACCGAGGUGAUCACAUCAGAAAUUAACCCAGUCGAUGAAAUCGAAGCUAGUUUGGCCCAAUUGUUCGUCGGGGCAACAUUUGAAGACAGUUUCUCAAAUGAGGCCGAGUUUUCCGACAUCCCAGAAGGAUCAAUUUCCAAUUGGACUGUCGAGUUUCUGCCGAUUCAGAAGGAGUUUCGGUAAACCUAAAGGGGUUUGUCAUUCAUGCGAAUUCAUGAAAAUAUUUUUGCAUCUGUAAAUAGCCGAUGAAAGCAAUUUUACUCUUGACUAAAAUUGUGCAUGUAAAUAUUGUUAAGUUUUCAUUUCAUUUCCAUUUGCUUUCAAUCAAAGGUUUUAUGAAAAUGCACAAGUUGUUCUUGUCAUAUGGUUUUGUUUAUUCGCUUGUUUAUAUUCAUAUUGCUUGUUCAUUUGUUUGUUGUAUGUUUGUUUGCUUAUUAUCCCACAUUCGUUAAUUCUUUCAGAUGGCCAAAAAUAAAACUAUUUGACCCUUUGGAUAUUACAAUUCUGGAAUUCAAUAAUGGCAAUCUCUAUAUCACUCACGACUUGGAGGUCUGUGAAUCCGAGCUCCAAAGCGAGAGUGAUAAUGAGGAGGUAUUCGAUUCUUUUGCAAAGAACCUUGAACAAUAUGAGGAAAAACCAAAACCAAACCUGGAAGAAACAGAAAAGGUUAACAUUGGCACUGAGGAUGAGGUUAAGGAGGUGCAAAUUAAUAUUCAUUUGAAUGAGAGGCAGAAAAAGGAGAUGCUUGAAUUUUUGACUAUGUUCCAGGAUGUCUUUGCAUGGUCCUACGAUGAUAUGACUGGUAUUUCAACUGAUGUGGUAGUGCACAAAUUGCCCACAGAUCCUUCUUUUCCCACCGUAAAGUAAAAACCCCGAAAAUUCAAACCAGAUAUGAGCCUCAAAAUAAAAGAGCAAAUUGAAAAACAACUCAAAACCAAUAUUAUCAUUGUUUCCCAUUACCCCAUUUGGCUUUCGAAUCCAGUCCCUGUUCCAAAAAAGAGUGGAGAGGUGCGAGUUUGUGUUGAUUAUAGAGACCUCAAUAAAGCCAGUCCUAAAGAUGAUUUUCCUCUACCAAAUAUUCACAUUCUCAUGGACAAUACCGCCGGGCAUGAGAUUGAAUCUUUUUGUGAUUGCUUCGCCGGAUAUCACCAGAUUUUGAUGGCAGAAGAGGAUAGGGAGAAGACUGCCUUUAUUGCUCCUUGGGGCACUUUUUGCUACCGAGUGAUGCCUUUUGGUUUAAAGAAUGCCGGAGCUACCUAUCAGAGGACCAUGACCAUCCUGUUUCAUGAUAUGAUCCACCGGGAGAUGGAGGUCUACGUGGAUGACAUCAUAAUCAAGUCUAAAAGGGCAGAGGGCCAUUUGGUUGAUUUGAAGAAGUUGUUCGAAAGGUUGCGAAAGUACAAUUUGAAGCUAAAUCCUGCGAAAUGCGCCUUUGGAGCACCCGCGGGUAAGCUGUUGGGAUUCAUUGUCAGCAAGAAGGGUAUAGAGAUAGAUCCAGCGAAAAUCAAAGCAAUUCGAGAUAUGCCAGUGCCGAAAACUCAAAAGGAUGUGAAAAGUUUCUUAGGGAAGAUCAAUUUUAUUGGGAGGUUCAUUGCCCAGGUAACUGCCACAUGCGAGCCGUUGUUCAAAUUAUUAAGAAAGAAUAUGCCGUUGUAUUGGAAUGAGGAGUGCCAACAGGCUUUCGACAGGAUUAAAGAUUAUUUGUUGCAUCCACCAGUCUUAGUGCCACCAAAGCCGGGUCGACCAUUAAUCAUGUACUUAUCUGUGCUUGAAGGAGCAGUUGGUUGUGUCCUCGGGCAGCACGAUGAUUCCGGAAGGAAGGAGCAAGCCAUUUACUAUCUAAGCAAGAAGUUCACGCAGUAUGAGGCUAAUUAUUCAUUCAUUGAGAAAAGCUGUUGUGCAUUAGCCUAGGCAGCUCAAAAGCUGAGACACUACUUGUUGAGCCAUACCACUUAUCUUAUUUCCCGAUCUGAUCCUUUGAAGUAUCUUUUGGAGAAACCGAUGCUAACUGGACGUCUGGCUAAAUGGCAGAUAAUUCUCUCAGAGUUCGAUAUUGUUUUCACUUCACAAAAGGCUGUCAAGGGGCAAGCUAUAGCUGAUCAUUUGGCAGAGAACCCAAGGGAUGAUGAUUAUCAACCACUUCAUACUUAUUUCCCUGAUGAGAAAGUUUUAUUCGUAGGCGCCACAGACGAUAUAAGUGAGUAAAACCCUGAAUGGAGGCUUUUCUUCGAUGGAGUUUCGAAUUCUCUCGGAGCUGAAAUUGGAGCUGUUUUGGUUUCACCCGAAGGAAAGCACUACCCUGCCGCUGCCAAAUUGCAAUUUGCUUGCACAAACAACAUGGCUGAAUAUGAAGCCUGCAUUUUUUGUCUCAAAAUGGCUUUAGAAAUGGAAAUCAAAGAGUUGAUAGCUUUCAUUGAUUCAGAUUUGCUCGUGCACCAAACCUUGAAGCAGUGGAUAACCAAAGAUUCGAAAAUUCUGCCCUACCAUUGUAGUCUACUCACUCUGGCCAAGCAAUUUCAAAAUUUGGAGUUCAGACAUCUCCCGCGAGCCCGAAACGCAUUUGCCGAUGCGUUGGCUACCUUAGCUUCCAUGAUCCAAUAUUCCGAUGAAUUGAAGAUCGAACCAAUCCAAAUUCAACUUCAAGACAAACCUGCCCACUGUUGGGUUGUGGACAAAUCCGCUGACGAUAUUCCUUGGUAUAAUGACAUUAAAGAUCUUCUCAAAACCGGGUCUUACCCUCCGCAUGCUAGUGCAAAGGACAAGAAUUUUCUGCGUAGAAUGGCUUCAAAAUUUUUCUUAAAUGGAGAAGUGUUAUACAAAAGAACCUCAGAUUUGAACCUUUUAAGGUGCGUCGAUGAAGAUGAAGCUCAAUAUAUGAUGAAAGAAGUGCAUAGUGGCGUUUGUGGACCUCACAUGAAUGGCCAUUUGCUAGCGAAGAAAAUCAUGAGAACCGGAUACUUCUGGCUUACUAUGGAGCUGAUUGUAUAGAUUUUGUCCGGAAGUGUAUAAAAUGUCAAAUGCACGGUGACAUUAUACGCGCUCCACCCACUGAAUUGCAUAGCAUGACCGCCCCGUGGCCCUGUUCAAUGUGGGGUAUGGACGUGAUUGGUACAAUCGAUCCUCCCUCUUCAAAUGGACAUCGAUUUAUAUUGGUGGCGAUUGAGUACUUCACUAAAUGGGUUGAAGCGGAAUCAUUCAAACAUGUCACGAAGAAGGUAGUGGCCAAUUUCCUGAGAGAUCACAUCAUCUGUCGCUUUGGAGUACCCGAAACUCUUAUUACAGAUAAUGCCAAGAAUCUGAAUAAUGACAUGGUAGAUGGACUAUGUGAAAGUUCAAGAUCAGACACCGCAACUCUGCCAUUUAUAGGCCUCAGAUGAAUGGAGCUGUAGAAGCCACAAACAAGAAUUUGAAGAAAAUUAUCCGCAAAAUGACUGAAAGGCAUCGCGAUUGGCAUGAAAAGUUGCUUUAUGCAUUAAUGACGUACCGGACUUCUAUCCGGACAUCGACUGGGGCAACGCCAUAUUCACUCAUGUGUGGAAUGGAAGCUGUAUUACCAGCUGAGGUUGAAAUUCCUUCGCUACGAGUCCUCAUGGAAGCUAAAUUGGAGGAGGCUGAUUGGAUGAAGCAGCGCCAUGAGCAAUUAACUUUGAUCGAUGAAAAGCGGCUCAAUGCUAUUUGUCAUGGUCAGUGUUAUCAAAAACGUGUGGCCCGGGCUUACAACAAAAAAGUCCAUCGACGUACAUUCGAAGAAGGUGACAAAGUACUAAAGCGAAUUUUGCCAAUGCAAGAUGAAGCUAAAGGCAAAUUUGCUCCAAAUUGGCAAGGGCCGUUCAUCGUCCAAAAGAUAUUACCCGGCGGAGCACUUAUUUUGGCAGAAAUGGAUGGACUGGCAUUCCCUCAACCCAUCAACUCGGAUAUGUGUAAGAAGUUCUUCAUUUGAUUAUGCAAAAUUUCUUUUAGAAAUUUACGCAAACGGCGAAAUGCAAGUCAGACCAUCUUCUUUUACACUUAAAACAUUUUAUCCCUACUUGUCCCCUUUGAGCCGUCAGAUUUGACAAAUUUUAAGAGAGAAAAAAAGAAAGAACCCCACACUGGGGCAAAUUUAGUUUUUAAAAAAAUGCAAAAAGUAAGAAAAGAAGCAAUGAAAAAUGCAAAAAAAGAAAAAUCCAAUCAAACUGGGGCAAAAAUUCCUCGGUUUCGUUUAAAAAUUGGAGAUAAUUUCAAAAUGAUGCAAUUUCAGGUAAUUGCACACCUUUCAUCAAAAUUUGUUUUCAAAGCUCAACCUUUUUCAAAGCACCCACCGGAUCUCAUUACAAAAGCCCAAAGUCCUGGCUUUCGUCACUUGCUGUAUUUUUACUUGAAAGUUUGCUAAUUAAUUGGCAAGUGAUGUCCAUAAUGCCUUCACCUAAAAUUUACAAGGGAAGUGCAUUUUACUGAUGCCAGAAAUCUUUAACUCAUGUUUCUGAGUCAAUCAUGGUUGAGAUAUUUCAUUGUUCUUUAGGUGAAAAUCCGAAAGGGCGCCUUGAAAAAAAAAAAGAAAAAAAAAAAGAAAAAAAAAAGAAAAAAAGAGAAAAGAAAAAACAACAAAAAGGGUGGGGGCAACCAUGGUGAAAAUCCGAAAGGGCGCCAAGGCAGGUUUUCUCAACAGACAAGCACGGGAAGGAACAGCUGGUGACCUGGUUCAUUUGGACUUUUCCUCAUGUUUGUGAUACUUCUGCCAAUAUUGAAUCCCGAAGCAAAUAUAUCCAAAGUCUUGAAUAUGAUAUUCGUUGGCCGAAUUUGUAUUUUUCUUUACAAAUAUUCUUUUGCAAAAUGUAUCUUUAUAAAUCUCUUGGUUUCUCUCGAUUAUUUGCAUUCGACUACUUGUGAUUGUCUACAUUUUUUUGCAUACUCAUCUUUGCCUGACAUAGGAAAUUAUUUUGCAUAUAUCAUUGAUUUUUAUAGGAUAAAUUUUUCAUGCAUCAUUUUUUCACCAUUGGAUUCGAAUGGAUGAUAAACCCUAAGGUUUGUGCAAGGAUAGGGGAUUCAAUCAUUUGUCAAAGUGGGUAAAAUGCAACAAAGCUGACACAGGGAUUUGGUGACGUGGUAAAUGCGUACUUUAUCGGUCUCAGAAAUUGAGAGGUUUCAAAAUUACAAGUUCGACUAAGGCAGACGCCGCAGAACAGAGGCAAAAGCAUCACAAGACUCAUGUUUACACGAUUCUCAAGGUAAACCGGAUCAAAUGAUGGUGGCAAGUCCAUUAUUUCUUCUUUUCUUGCAGGAACGUUGCAUUUACAAACAAAAGCGGCCACUCUCCUUUUGGCACCUAAAUCAAUGACAGACAAAGCUUCCCAGUAAGCAAGGAUCGAUGUUAUUUGCAAAGCUCGAUCAUAAGAAACAACAUCAGCUAUCGCUUCAGUCACAGAGAUCCAAAUUUCCCUCUUGGUACAAAAGUUGAACUACUCUCAGGUAAAAAACUCAAUUCAUGGUUUAAACUUCCCCAGUGAAGUCCCAUUUUAAAUUUCUGUUCGGGCCAGUCCCGUUUUAAAUUUCUGUUCGGGUCAGUCCCGUUUUAAACUUCUGUUCGGGUCAGUCCCGUUUUAAAUUUCUGCUCGGGUCAGUCCCGUUUUAAACUUCUGUUCGGGUCAAUCCCGUUUUAAAUUUUUAUUCGAGUCAGUCCUGUUUUAAAUUUCUGUUCGGGCCAGUCCCGUUUUAAAUUUCUGUUCGGGUUCAGGCCAGUCCCGUUUUAAAUUCCUGUUCGGGCCAGUCCCGUUUUAAAUUCCUGUUCGGGUCAGUCCCGUUUUAAAUUUCUGUUCGGGCCAGUCCCGUUUUAAAUUUCUGUUCGGGUCAGUCCCGUUUUAAAUUCCUGUUCGGGUCAGUCCCGUUUUAAAUUUCUGUUCGGGUCAGUCCCGUUUUAAAUUCCUGUUCGGGUCAGUCCCGUUUUAAAUUCUUGUUUCGGGUCAGUCCCGUUUUAAAUUUUCUAUUCGGGUCAGUCCCGUAUUAAUUUCAUGUUUGGGUCAGUCCCAUUUUAGAAUUCCAAUUCGUUGAGAUCAUUUUGCCGCCAAGUAACACAGGUAAGUUUUUGGUGUCUAUUUAUUUGUUUCAAGUUUUUUCAAAACUCAGACAAAGAGGGGCAAACUGUAGACACCAAAUUUUUGGUUUCGAACUUUAUUUAUUUAUUUAGUUUAAUUUUAGAUUUAUUUGUUUCAAUUUUAGAUUUAUUUUAGUUGAUUGCUGUUUCGUAUCUUUACGAACAUUUAUUUUAUAAUUUAAUCGGAAAAAAAAGAGAAAAACAUUCAAAAGUAUGCUUUAGUUGAUUUUUAUUCAAAUUCAACGCUUUCUUGAAAAAAGAAAAAAAAGGAAAAUUUGCAUUUCAUUUUUAUCUUAAUUAGCAUUUCUUCGUUAGUUUUUUUUUCUUAAUUAGUUAUCUAUAUUUUUGUUAAGUUAUUAUUAAAAAAAAAAAAAAUUAGAGCCGCGGCAUGCAAGCUGCAUACUUUUGCAGCUUGCAAAGGACAAUCACAGAUGCCCCAUCGGAGGGCUGGAUGUGAAGGCAAGGGCAAGUCUUUCAUCCUCACCAUUGGGGUGAGGGUUUAGGAACCUUGGGUUCCAUAUAAAAAGAGAAAAACAGCAGCCGCAAGGGAGGUUUUUGGGGUUUUGACGGCUAAGAAAAAAUGAGGGAGAGAGAGCUGGAGUUGGGGGCUGAGUGAAAGAAAGGCUGAGAGAGAGUGAAAGAGGAGAGAGCCGCAAAUAGAGAGAGGAAAAGAAAAAUCUGGAGAGGGCUAGAGGGAACUUCGGCUGGGCAGUAGGAAUCUGAAAGAGAAAAAGAAAAAGGAUUAACGGCGAGGGCUCUGGGCAGAAAAAGAAAAAAAACGAGAGAAAGGUUUAGUAGCGGCUGAAGCCGAGAGCAAGAGGGAGCCUCGUGAAACUAGGUGGAGAAGAAAAGCCAGAAGAAACAAGGAACGACGGGAAGAGAGAAGGAGCAAGAGACCAAGGCUGAGUGGAGGAAUCUCACCACCACCUGCGGCUGUUCUUUGAAGGGAAACCACCACUGAAAUCCAUUAGAAAGUAGCACUGUAAGGUUCUUUUCCCUUUCCUGUAGAUAAUAUUCAUUGAAUGAACAUGAAACUAUGCUAAAUUAUGAAUCGAUGAACGGGUCAAAAGUUUCGGUGAUGAUCUGAGAUUAUAGCUAAAGGUGGUGCCUUUUUUUUGCUGUCACGAUAUGCAAUGGUUAUGUUGUUUGUUUGGUGUGGAUUGUGUUUCGUCCUUAGGCUAUAGCUCAGUAGCAAGACCCCAGCUUUGAAAAGAAAAGACGUUCGUAUGGCCUGUCCAUUUGAGUUGUCGAAUAAAUCAUGAAGAAAAGUCGCUUGUUUCGUUUCUUGAUUGUCUUGGUUUGUUCGGAUGUUGGAGCAUUGUCUUGGUUGUGGUUGGAACUGUUUGUUUGGACUGAAAUCUGGGAUUUGUCGCUCAGUUCAUACACCAUAUGCAUACCCAAUCUAAAAUUCUGAUAUUCGGCCUGUGUUGAUGAAGUGAUAAGAGAGUUAUAGCAGUUUUUGUUCUUCCUUUUCUGCAUUUUUCCAGAAUUUGUGUAUGAUAUCUUUCCAAGUUUCUGGUCAUUGGCUUAUGAUCAUCAUGAGUUUUUGUUGCUUAGUUUAAAGUUGUGAUGUUGAGAUGAAGAAUAUCUAAUCAAAGCUGUGCAUUUGAAUCAAAAUCUGGUCUUCAUGAUGAAAAAUGGAAAGAAAGGCCGUGACUGAAUUUUUGCUGCAAGUGUCAUCCUUUCUUUUGCUGCAUUUCUACCCAGUCAUUUUGGUUUAGAGUGCUUGUUAACAACAUGGGUUAAGAGCUGUAGUAUUUGAGUUAAGAGGGUAAAAUUGAUAGGCUUCAUGGGCAUGAAUGUGUUCUAGCUGAGAGGGAAAUAUCGAAGAAAGAAUGGUAGCUGGAGUUUGCAGAAAUGCAUGAGUUUCUUCGUGAUUUUUGCAUCAGUUUCUGGCUAAGUUUUUACUUGUUUGGAUGUUGAAGUUGUGUGUUGUUUGUCUAACUCAAAGUUUAUAUAUUGGUUUGAGAGAGUUUGGUUGAGGUUUGUGUUGGUUUUUCUGAAAUCUGUAGUUGGAAAAAAUGCAGCAGACUUUCAUUCUCGAUAGCAAAAACUGGUUUUGUGGUUGUUUGUUGGCAUGAAUUUUCUUCUACGUUUGAGUUGGUUUGAAUGCUGAAAUUGUUGUUAUGAUGCUUAGAUUGGUUUUGGGGUGUUUGGGUCUAAACAUACUUGAGUUGGAAUUGAAUGCUUGCUGGCCGCAUAGAAAAUAGGUAGCCGGAUCAUUUUGCAUGAAAGUUUCAAAGAAAUUUGCAUCAGUUUUUGUUAUGUUUUUUGUUUGUUUGCUGUCAAAGUUUCGUGCCUUGUGGUUUAGUUCCACACUAUGAUUUUGGUUAACAUUUUCUGUUUUUGAACAAAGCUAUCCUUUGGGUCUGAAAUCUGCGUUUGGAAAUGAAAGUCACAACUAGUUUUGUUGCCAAAAGACUCCACCCUUUGCCAUAGCUUCCAAAUUGCAGCAAUCUUCUUCCAUCUUGCAUAAAGGUUUCAUAAGUGUUUGUGUAAUUUCCUUCCAUGUUUUGCUUGUUAGAUGUGGAACUUGUUUGUUUUGUUGCUUAAUCCAAAGUUUGGAUAGAUGAAAGGGUUAGUCAAAGCUGCUUAGAAUUUGUGUAUGAGAUGGAAAUGCAGCCAGCGAUUGUUUUGAUUUCAAGAAGAUGUUCAUUGCAGAAAAUUUUGUUUCCUACGUAUGCAUGCAUGCAAAUACUUCUGAUUUUAGCAUUUUGACCCCCCAAGUUUUCCUUUGUUGCGCUAUGGCCCAAUUACAUUCCAAUCCCUUGCAAUUGAAUCCUAAGUUGAUUGUAAUUUGAGUCGUUAUUUGGCUUUUUGGACCUUUGAAGUUUUUAAGCGUUGCAUUUGGACUUGAAUGAUUGGUUAAAGGUCGUUUUGAGCUCCCAUUAGUUGCUAUAUUUGGGAAUUUUGAUGAGUUAUUCCAUUUUUCCUUGGUCAUUAUGCAUUUUUUUAAUUAAUUGCAAUUGAACAAGGAUUCGAUAUUGGUGGAAUCAAGUUGGUUUAUAUAUGUUUUACCACUAAAUUGGUGCAUUAAUCCUUUGGUUUGAUGGUUUUAGCCUAAGUUAUCCCUUUUUUGGUGACCCUAGUCCAAAUUGAGUCCUUUUACUCUAUCAACGUCAUGAAUGGGGAGGUAUAAUUUCUUUUAUCCUUUUUUGUCUCUCCUAUGUGAUCCAACGUGCUACGUGAAAAUUGCAUGUCUACUUGCUUCCCUUGUUUUUCUCUAAUUCCUUUCAUUUACUUCAUUUACUUUUGCUUUUCCUUAAGUUAUUCUUUUACGGGGUAUGUGUACACCUCUUGGCUUGUAAUAGAUAGGGCUUGGAGAGCACUUGAUGAAGACCUAUUGAAGACGUGUGCCUAGCUAGCAAAUGUAAUAGGUUUAUUAGCUUGAUUGCUUGCUUUUGUUGCUAUGUGUUAAUUUGCUUUAUUAGGCUCUUGCAUCUAGUCGAGCAUGCUAAGUGUUAUGUGCUAUGUGUUUAUGAGUGUUUGACAUGUCUACUUGCUUUCUAUAGUCAUGGAUGAAUGUGAUGGAUGAAUGUACGUCACCACACUAGUCCAACGCUAGUUGUGGUUCAUUUAUAGAAAGGGCUAGUCCAAUGCUAGACCCAAUAGGCCGUCCCUUUUUCGUAGGUGCAUAUUUGCGUGUUUCACUUCAUUUCACGCAUUUUUCUUAGUUUUAUCAUUUGGCAUGCUCCUCAAACCCAUUUUCCCCUCAUUUUAGGUUUUUAUUUGCAUCUCAUGCUAGUUAUAGGGUACAUUUGCUUGAAGAGUCCCCUUUCGAUAAGGGAAACGAGCGAGUGUGGCUACGAAAUAGCCUUAGCACGCUAGUUCUCCUUUCUAAUCAAAGGAAAAAUUGAAGUCACAAAGUUAGGACUCCCCGUUCCCGUCUUGAUGCAUUCCUAUAGGAUUCAUGCAUUUUACUCAUUCGCCAUCACAUACACUUCUACUUUAUAUUCUAACCCUUUGUCCACAUUCUCACUUCACACUACUUUAAUUUUGCGCAUUUCCACUCAACUACUCACACUUUAUACAAUAUCACUCGCACAUAUGCACUUUAUGCUAUUUUCACAUUAUCAUUUUUACUCACCUUACCUUGUAAAUACCAUUUGCACACUUUCACUUACACACUAUUAUUUUUAUCACUUUUUCACUUCACACAAACUCACAUUUUCACAUGGCAUGCAUUCAUUUCACUCAUUUUUACGUCAUUUAGGAUUAUAUGUGACCUCUCCAAAGAAUCAUUAUUGGGCUUCACAAUUAAUGUGAUUGGCACCACUCAAACUUUGAAGAAAAAUUUCCCCCAUCUCCCCCUAGGUCUAGGUUUUUUUGCAUUCAUAUAGUCAUACCCAACAUGCGCUACAUACCUUGGGUAGAAAAAUAAGAAACGUGGGGCUAAGUCACGCAACUAGCUUUGGCUAGGGUAAGGGAGUGCCUUAGGCUCCGUCUUUGCCUUCUCCCUUACCAAACGUGAUCCCCGAUCCCUUUCUUUAGUUGCGUAGACCUAAAAGUUUUCAAAAAGGGUUUUGUUUACUUUUUCAUUCAAUAAACAAAAAAAUCAUUUUUGGGUGACUUGGUACACCCUAACUCUAUACCAAGUGGCGACUCCAUUUUUUCAUACAAAAAAUCCUUUUGAACUUUACUUGACCAAAACCGUCGCAUUUUACAAUCCCACGGUCUUUGCUUUCACUUCUACACACUUUCACACACACUUUCACACUCUCACACCAUUUCAAAAAGUGGGACGCGACACUGUCCAUCACAUCAUCCUAUAGCAUCAUCAAAUCAGCACUAUGUGGGUGUUGGAAAUCCACAUACUGAUGAUCCAGCUAUUAGGCAAACAUCAUAUAAGAUAGUUUAUUAAAAACAAAGCAAUCUUAAUAGAUCAAAAUCCAGCAAAUAAUGGCCAAGGAAUUUAAUACUUUUCAACAAUUUUCAAUUGCUGCUUACAAAUACAAACGAGAGAACUGAAAUGGUGUCACAAGCCAUUAAUUAGAAAACAAAUGAGAAGUAGCACGGAGGUCACAAAGACAAAUUUUUGAAUGUCAAAUCUGUAGUAGCACCAAAACAGUGGUCAGUGCGGGGGUAUCUCACAUAGUAAUGCUCUCGUAGGUACAGACUUAGGUGUUAUUGAACUAAAGGGUUGCAUUCCUAGUCAGUUGGUGGAAAUGUACAAAUUGACCAAAAGAUUGAAGUAGCAAAUACAAUUUUCUAAUAAAUAAAACUUGCGUAACCUCUAACCAAGUGUUUAUUUUGCAGCAAACAUGGUAGUGGUAAGCACAGAAGUAUAUUUUGUUAUCUGAAUAAGGAAAAUCAUUAAAAACAGUCUCCACAAUAAAUUACAAAGUGUUGUUUAUUGAAAAAGUCACUGGAUUGAAUACGUUAAAAAUAUCACUCUUUGGUUAAGAACAAAGUAUGUUUAACAGAGUACUAUUUCCAAGCACACACACAUACUCCACUAAAACGUAAAAAAUGGCAAUAAAAACACACUUACCAAACUGAAUCUGAUAUAAAAUAUUUAAUGCACAAACACACACUUCAACUAAUCUGUCAGCAAAUGUGUGCUCAUAUAUUAAAUAUUCCAAGCACAAAAGAACAAACUAAAUUGCAAAUAAUUCGAAGAUCAGAGCUCGAAUGCAUGGAAGAUAUAGACGAAUAUUGUAGGGCAACCAGAAAGUAAACAUUCUUGGUGUCAACGAACAACAUACCUGCCACAAAUAUCCCCAUUGCUCUUUUUCGGCAAAGAAGUAUCCGUGUCCCUCGUCCUUUCCUAUCCCCGUUUCUGCCUUGACACAAUCACCUUAGAGAUGUGUGAACAGUCUCUACUUAUCGACCACACGAUAGUACUUGGAUUAGGAUUGAGUUCCAGUGCAAGUUACCCCGCAUUCUUGAAUUAAGUAGGCAGCCAUUAGAGUGUGGUUUGCCAAGAUGCUCUGAGUUGCCUCCCACUUCCCCUUUUUCUACCAUUUAAUAUAGGUGCGGAUGUAUAGUUUCUCUUCCCAGUCUUGCCAGUGCUUUUUUUCAGACAUCUACGAAUGAGGACAGAAAAGAAAACUCAAUCACAGGACACAAAAUCAAGAGGAAACAGUAAAAUUCCCAGUUAUUUUGAGUAUUCCAGGCAGCAAAAAUUUUAAACCCACCUCAAAGUAGUUUAUCAGGCUUUCUUCAAAGUCGUUUGAGUCGCACAAAGACUUUGCACUGACCGAAGUAGUCAAACUUGAUGGGGAUUCUGAAGAAAUAAAGAACAUGGUAAGCAUUGAGAUUGAUUAACUUCAUAGCAUUUGUAAACGGAAGAUAUUUCAAAGGAAACAUGGUUAAGUCACAAAGCAGUGCCUUACCUGGACUUGAAGUUAAUAUUUCCUUUUUGCAGUGGGCAUUAACACGUCAAUGUUUGAUCUAUUUUUUCACUACCUUUGCAGUUUCACCUCUGAAAAAAUGUGACAAAAACAAUUCGAAAGACAAUAAGCAAUCCGCCCGACAGAAACACAUGAAGAUGUUCAAACAGGAAUAGAACAAGUGCAGAAUCACUGUACGAAAGGGACAUUUAGAAAUCAGAGUUGGGAUUCUGGUGUUGAACUACAGAAUAUCAUUGGAUGUGCUUUAAAAAGGACAGGGGAUGAAAUAUUCUGUCAAAUCUAGUAAAAAUACAGCGAGCAGUGUGCAAAGGCCGCUAAGAACCAUCUUCAAGUAUCAGAUUACACACAAUAAGCAUAUCAAAUUUUGGCAAUAAAAAGCAAAGUACUGGAAGCCUACGAGCAAGCAUGUAAUUUGGAGUUCCCAUACCAUAAACUCAUAAGCUUUAAGUCAGUGAAAUUUAAAAGGAAAACUUAAGUAUUCGACCCUCAGUCAUAGCAGAUAGGAGCACACAAAAGUACCAACGACUUAAUUGAAAGCACCAUUUGGAGAUACAAUGAAUUACAGAGGCACAAUGUGGAGGUACCAAGCAAGCUCAUUCAAAAUGGCAUUCCAAAUUAUCAACCGAAAGUAUGUAUCAAAUUUAGUUGCCAAUGAGCCAGUGAUUGUCAUUUUAGUUGGAUAGUGAACAAGACAAACGAAUAACGGUGGUAGCAAUCAUUUACUGAUGUCCCAAAAUAUGCCUCCACAUAUUAAUUUGAAAGUAAUGCAUAAAUGAAAACAAAUCUCAAAAACCCUAACACGGAACAAUUUCUAGCAUCAGAAGUCAGUUUUGUACCUCAAAUUUUUGCAUAGUACUUGUACUAAAGGUGGGAAAAAUCAAAUUGAGCCAUCUCUUAUAUAAAUUGCAGCUAGCAAAGAAAGUUAAUUGCUUACCGAAUUCAAUUUCACACAACUUCUGUUCAUGCAGCUUCGUCACUUUGUUGAAGCUAAGCAUUCAUGCUUGAACGCCGCAGACGACAUACAAGCCAGGCAGAGGCGAUUUGUAACUCCCAACUUCAGAAGCCCAAUUAUGCUGAAAUCAAAUAGCUGCAGUUCAAUUUUUGUGGGCAAAAACCCAAGGGAGAGCUAUUGUAUUGAAUUAAAUAGCUUCCCUUUUCUUCAAUCAGUGGAUUUCUUGUUUACUUUCAGCUGGAUUUUGAGCAUGCGAAUCGAAUCCAAGGACUGAAUUUGCUAGCUAUCUGCCCUUGGGAAAAGAUAAAGGCCUAGCUUUUGCACUAUUGGAUGGGAGAAGAUAGUCAGGAAUCAAGAGGAGGAGCAUGUCUUAGGAGAAUAAAUUCUGUGUAGGUUUGGAAGCUAUCAUCGCAGAUUUACCUUUACUCUUCUCCUUCAAUAGCACCAACGAUAAAAUAUUGCACAGUUUUCUGCUAAUUGAUGUCUUACAUAUACAGAUGAGAACAUGCGUGGGACCGCUGAAAUUUCCACAUGGAUGCAUGCUUUAUUUCCACCUUGAAAAGCCGACUCCACGUGUGAUUAACAGUUUUGGGAGAGAGAUUCAAUUAUUUGGGUUAUUUGAUGUGUUAUCCAAACACUUAUUUGUAGCAUUAUUUGAAAAAAUCAAAAUAAUGGUCUAUCCAAACAAGCUCAUUAUUUCACAUAAUAUUUACCAAAUCAACCUAUAUUUCAAAUAACAAAAAACUGGUUUGAAUUGCAAAUAAAAGAUUGCCCUCAAGACCACGUAUUUUCGCGUGAGCUCUUCCACGUGGGUGCAUUAGCUGGAUUCAUUCUUAGCUUAUUUCUAUUAGUUUUUUCCAACCACCUCAUGCAGUACUUCAUCAACCUUCUGAUUCAUGUGUUCUAUAUUUGUUAUUCAAAGCCACGGCAUGUUUUCUCUAGACAAAUCUAAAAAGUCACAUAAUUGCAGGAACUAGACCUUGACGUGGCAGCUUUAGUUGGUGGAAGAUUAAUGGUUACCACAACAUCCUAUGCACGAGGGGGAAAGUACUUCAUUAGUUCAAAUUAUGUCAUCAUCCGAUUAGUUUGAGAAAAAAACUGCAACUGACGCCGAUUGUUAUUGAUAAGCCAUGGUUAGGACCUAUUUCAAACCAACGUAGUUGAUUAUAGGGGUGGUCUUGGCAGCCAAAUAAUUCUUUUAUUGUAUUAACAAACUUGCAUGGGUGGAGUCUAUGAUCCACUAUAGUAGAGGAGUUGUUCUACACCUUAAUACCAGUCUAUAACUAUAUAGAAUUCCUUCCAACCGUCUAUUACAUUUGGUGCUAUACCACCAAUACAAUAAUUACUUCCCCUUAAAAGUGUACCAUACAAGAUCCUCGUACACUAAAGCUAAUGUCUUAAUGCUCAAAAUUUGGUGCAUUGUGAGAAGUAAAUUGCAUCUCUGUUUGUUCUGACAUUAAAGAUUUCCUACUGCUAAACUACCUCUUGGAACAAGUUAACAAAGAAGAAAAGUUAUUAAAUCCACUGAAAAUGUUGUCCGUGUCUUCCUCUUUUAGUGUAAAAGACGCAGAAUUGCCAUAGUCAUUACUUGAUACUAUAUUGACAUUAAAGUCAAUAUUUAGUUUAUUGUCUUUGCCUACGUGAUGCGGCAUGUAUUUGAUUAGCAAUUUCUUCUCUCAUUGCCUUCUAAGCAUAGUUAUUAAACCCGGUCCGAGAAGGAUCCCAGUGAAAGAGGUGGGUCAAUGGGUUAUUAGUUCAACUGGUGGGUGAGUGGUCUAACCGGUAGGUCACUAAAUAUAUUUAAAUAUUAUGUCUCAUAAUUUUUAUGCCAUAAUAAAUAUUCAGUUAGUCUAAUUUAUUAUAGAAUCAUUAAUUUUUUUAAAAAUUAACAUUCUAAAUUUAAUUAGUAAUCCACCAAAUUUUAAGUAUAAAAUUUUAUCUAAGUGUAAUUAUCUAGUUUAUUUAUGAAUUUUAAGUGCAAAAGUUUAUUAAGAAUGAUAUUUACCCUUAAAAUGAAUUGUGUAAUAUGUUAUUUUUUAAGUCAAAUUCAUAAUUUAUAGAGUUUGGGGAAUAAUAAAAUAUUAUUAAAAGAUUCCAAAUAAAUUUUGUUUUGAAAAACUAAAAUAAAAAUAAAAAUUCAAUAUAUAAUAUAAGAAGGACAAAAUAACCAACAAAUGGGUGGUUUAUCCAGCGAUGAUUGUAUUCUACUUCUGUGCAUGAAGUUACGUGUUCGAAUCUCCAUUCUGGCAUAUUCACAACAUUUUUCCCUUGACAACAUGUAGACCUGGUUCCUUAUAAAACUGGCCGAUUCAUUGGGUUAAUUGGUUGAACUGUCGGUUCGUUGAAAAGUCAACGGUUUCAAUGCAUAAAAAUGAUUUAAUUGACAACCCGACCUGACUCAAUUGUUAGUUCAUCGGGUUGACCAGUUGAACCGCCGGGCUAGGUCGGAUCGGGUUUAAUAACAAUGCUUCUAAGCUUCUAUCACCUGCGAGCAAUGUUUUUAAACUCAAACUGGCCAGCGAACCGAAGAAGGGGCAGGUUCACCGUUCGACCGGCUAGUUCACCGGUUCUCUGUUUUUUUUUUUUUUUUUUUGCAACUUUAGUGCUAAGUACUUUACAAGUCUUCACUCUACACUUAAACUUGACGGCUAAUGCACAAUCUAACGUGGUUAUUGAUAACUUUAAGUCCCUAAAAUGUAUUCACCAACAUAACUUAAAACUAAAUUUAAGUUGAGAUAAUAAUAAAUUUCCUAAAAAUUAUACAUAAAAUCAGGAAUGAUAAACAUAACUAAAAUAUCAUAAUAUCAUCGUAAGUUUUCUUAAAUUCAUUACAAACAUAAAUAGAUAUAGUCCAAAUGUUCACCAAUCAUCACAAACAAAAACACAAAAUAAAUAAAAUAAAUGUUGACAAUCUUUUACAAUCUUAAAAAAAAUUCAUAAAAGAGUCCAACUCAUAUUCAAGACAAACAAUUUGAAGAACAAACUUCCAUCAUUGACAUCAUAAGUCAACAACACCAUCUUCACAAUUUCAUCAAUUUAAUCUGAAAAAAGUUAAAAGUUUAUUACAAAAAUAUAAAUCUAAUUGCUCAAACUAAAAAAAAAGCCAAAAAAUUUUGAAAAACAAAGAUACAACUAAACACAUAAAAAAUUAAUUUCUACUAAACAUCACUAAUUAACAUGUUAUAUUACCAAUCAUUACCUUCAUCACCAUUCAAAAGGCGCCUUCGCUGAAAUGCUUCCAAGUCAAUAUCAUUGUCUUCCUCAACUUCACUUUCAUGAUUUAAAUAAAUAAAUAAAGUGAUAAUUAAGGAUUUACCCAUAUUUAUAAUGAAAUUCAAACCAAAAAGCGCACUUUUAGCACCUCAUAUUACAAGCUAAAAAUAUAUUUAUUUUAAUAUUAAAACCAACUUUCAACUAGUUGAGAAUCAUUCGUCGAAAGUUCUUCGAGUUCUUCCUCCAAUUCAUCACAAUUAAGCUCACCAUCUUGUUCUUCUUUUAUGACCCAAAAUUUCGUUUUAUCAAUAGAUUCAUAAUCAAUGGGAUCAUAAGAUCUCUUUCAGUAAUCAAACCUACAAUAAAAUAUAUUAGUUAUAAAUCUAACACUACUUUAAAAAAUAAAAUGUAAAAAAUAAAGUAAAAUUCAAUUAUACCUAUGUUGCAAACGCAAAUUGUAGUGCACAUAAACAAGAUCAUUUAAGUCUUUGGUGCUCCAACCUAUUCCUUUUUUUAGUGUGAAUGCGUUCAAAAACGCUUCAAUUACGUUCACGCCCAGAAAAAGAAGCUGUUUGACUCAAAAUUCUUAUUGCAAGUUUUUGCAAAUUCGAAGCAUCACAACCAUAUUAACUUCCAUCAAUUUUCUGCCAUAAUCAUAUUGAAAUAUCAAACCAAAAUAAAGAAUAAAUGCACAAUUUUUAGAUAUUAAAAAUAUAUGAAUAACCUGGCCGAUCAAAUUUGCUAGUAAGAAUAGCAAGUUUGCGGCCAAAACUCCCUUGCCUUUCCCGAUACAUUCCAACCUCUUGCAAUCAUUUUUUAGGGUUACACCAAUCCACUUUUGUUUCAAUGUAAACAAGCAAGCCAUUUAUAACCUCUAGAUUUGUACAAAAUGUGGCACUCUCAUAUUAAAAAGCAGGAUUCAAAUAAUAAGCAGCAGCAUGUAGAAUUUUUCUCAACAUUCUAUCCCACUUAUCAUUGAUGAUGUCAAUAUAAGGUUUGUACAAUCUUUCUUUAUUUCUAAACAGCCUUUUGAUGCUAUUUAUUGCUCCAAACAUGCCUUCAUAAAUAUAACCUAAUGAAAGCCUUUCAUCAGUGUCACAAAUAUGCAAUAAACGAAUGAUAGGGCCCAUUAUUUUCACCAUAAUCAAACAGUUAUUUCAAAACCUUUCAUCCAAAACAAUUUGCUUCACAUCUUUUCCUUUUUCUAUUCUCAAAAAUUUUUUGUAAUUCCCACUAAUAACCAAAGAUUGCAAACUAUUCUUAUGAUCAUACAAACUUUUUAAUGCAAUAAAGGUAGUUGCAAAUCAAGUUUCACCUGGACAAAUAAUUUCUUUCCACCCGGUAGUCUUUUUUAACCAAUUCAAAGUGAACUUAUGAUUGUAGAUAAAAAAGGGUCACCGUUGAAGCAAGAGAUACUAGAGCUUUUACAUCAUUCAUUUCACCAAUGUCUUUCAAAAUCAAAUUGAUGCAGUGUGCAGCAUACGGUGACCAACAAAUGUUUAGAUAUCUUUCACUUAACAAAGACUCAACAGCUUUAUAAUUGCUAACAUUAUUAGUAACUAAAUACACCACAUUUUCUGAACCAACCAUCUCAACAACUUCAACAAAUAAAUUACACAAAAUUUCUGCACUUGUUACAAUAUCAGAUGCAUCCACAGAUUUAAUGAAAGAAAUACCGUUAGGGCAAUAAACCAAAAAAUUAAUCAAUAGUCUUUGUCUAGUGUCUUUCCAUCCAUCACCCAUUAUAGUGCAACCAGUUUCUGUCCAAGUACUUCUAAAAGAAUCAACAACUAAUUUUACAUCUCUCUUUGCAUUUCACAAUAAGUUAACUCUCAAAGAAUGAUAGGAUGAACCGUUGUAACCAUGAUCCAUUGAUGCUAUUUGAUCAAUAGCUUUUUGAAAAUAUGGAGAGUUAACAACAUUUAUGAGAAUGCAAGCAUCAUAAACCAAAGAGUAAUAGCCAAGUCCGUAUUUUCCCAUUUUUCCUUACUUUGUAAACAAGUUUUAAUGGUUGGUUGAGAAGUAUCACGCCCAUCUUUAAAAAAAGCACGUAUGCUUGUUGAAGUUGUGACCUUUCUCUUUCCUUUACUAGAUGAACCUAUCUCAUUUGCUAAAUGAAAAGGAAUCUCCUGAACUUCAUCGCCAUCAAAUACAUAAGUAGUGUGGCCGAAUGGAUUUUUCACCCCAAAAUCACCCUUUUCCUUUAGAUUUCUACUCCUUCUCUGUCAUAGAUGCUAAAAUAGCAUGUCUAACUGCUGGGUCAACCCUUGAACAUGGAACAAUACUACCUUCUUCUCCUGCUAAAUACUGCUUCAUUUGGUGAAUGUCACCACUAGCAAUUACUUUAAAACAAUAUUCACAUGUCAAAGUUCUUCUUCGUUGCUUAUUCACAUCUUCCGAACAAUGAUUCCAUGCUAUAUCGGACUUUUGUCUAUGAUUUUGACUUGCUGAUUCUCCACUAUUAAUAGCUGCAGCCGUCGAAGAUUGUGAAAUACUACUAAUACCAAUAUCCAUUAUCCUUCACAUAGUUAAUUUAGAUAUAAUUAAUUCAUUGGUAAAAUAUAGUGUACCAAUAAGAAAAUAAAAUUAACAAAUUUUCAGUAAUAUAAGAAGAUCAAUUAGUCACAUCAAUAGCUAAACUGUUAACAUUUGCUUUUUUCAUUUACAAAAAAAAAAUUAAGAUAUAAUUUUCUUGGUAGAUGGAUUUUAUGGACUGCCAAACUCAUGUACAUGUAUCAAGAAUAUGAGAAAAGUUAUCUUUUUCAAUUGUAACAAUAAACAAAUUUAUUGGUACUACCAUUUUGCACUGCACUUUGUUAGUUCUCUUAUGAUAAUGUCCAAAGGGAAAGUGCUUUGCAUUAUCUACAAAUAUUAAGAAAGUCAUUGAGUCAAAUUUUGACAAACGGACUUUUGAAGUAAAUUAAAAUGGUUUGCUCACAUAGAUGACAUAAGUGAAAACUUGCAUUUGAUCUUAUUAAAUACAAAAAGCUCCACAAUCCGUAGGCUCACCUAUUGGUUAUCACACAAACAAACAACAUCAAAGGAACAAAAAAAAGACAUUCCGGAUUUCUCUAUUGAAGACAAAACAAUGAUAAUAAAACUAAAAAAGCAAUAAAAUCACAAUAAAACAACAUAGAAAAAGCAAAAGAAUCAUUGAUACAAACUGAGUCUAGUCAAAUUGAAUCUUUCAAUGCAUCAUUGCUUUCCGGAAAGAUGCCAAAAAAGAAUGGAACGGACAAAAUUCAACCAAAGAUUAAUUCCUACAAAAUACAAAAUUAAAAACCCAAACAUGUCUAAUUUUAUUAAUUUGGUACUACAUCAAAAAAUAGCUUCUCCAAAUAUGACUGCAAAAUAAUUCAUUAUUCAUAAUUUCUUCCUUAACUAAUCAAACAAAAAUAAAACAACAAUUGGGGGAAACAGAUGAAAAUUGGGGGGCAAAAGGAGAAAAUAUGAAAAAAUCGGCUAAAGAUAGUAUAGAAAACAAAAAUCUUGAAAAGGGUAAAAUUAAACUCACCAAGAUGAUAGAAAAGCUCUCGAGUCUCGGAUAUCUUAUGAAAGUUAAAAAUUUCAAUUUAUCUAGAAAUCUACUAAAGAUAAUAGUCUGAUGAUCAUGGUGAUGAUUUGAAAAAGAUCUUGUCAUGGAUAUUUGGAUAUGGAAGGGUUAUGAAGAAAAAAUUGAAAACAAAUCAAGAGGAGGAGCCGAGGAAUUGAAGCUGAGGAAGUGAAGCAAGAAACUGAAAUGUGCUGUCUACUGUGUCUUUUCUUAAUGCUAGGAUUUCUUUUUUUAAUCUAAUUUUUAGUUUUUUAGUUAAGUUAAGUAGAAUUCUAGACAAAAUGAACUUGUCUUGUGGCUGUGGUUUAGUGGUAAGAAUGCCUUAUUGUGAUCAUGGAGAUUUGGGUUCGAAUCCUAGCAGCUUCAUUAUUGACAAUGUUUUGAAUUUGGGGUGCAAUGUUUGAAAAUUUAAAAAUCACCGAUUUAUGGUUUGUACGGUUUCUAGCGAUUCGACCGGUUUCUAGUAGUUUUUCAUUAACUUCCGGGUUUGACACUAGACCGGACCGAUGACAUGUCGGGCUCAUAGUCCAAUUGAUCGAAUCAGUCGGUCCAGUUCGGUUUCGAAAACAUUGCCUGCAGGGACACAGCCAACGAUUGUAUCCAUCGGUAUGGACCAGCGCCACCUUCGCCUUGAACUUGUAUGUCCUCUUGUUCAUACUACAUGAAAUGAUCAUCCGAAAGUUGAUUUUUUCUUAAUAAAUUGUGUAAUACAUAGCACGUAAUCACUACGUUGAUAUGCUUUUGCAUAUAUGAAUAUGGAACCGACCCCUUCAUAUAGGCAAAUCGCUGCUUCAAGACAUCGAAAGUGCGUUCAACUACAUUACGAAACUGAGAGUGGUGGGUAUUGAUUUGGAUCUUAGCUUUGCCCAUAUCUUUGUCCAACUCGUAUAUCACGUCUUCUUUUGAAUGGUGCUAAGAAUCUUGGCACUAUCUUAUAUGCCGUCUCUACAAGGUAGUACUUAUAUGCAUACAUAAAUUAUAGGAAAUAUGAUAACCUUGUUAGCUCUAUGCUCUUCAAAAUACAAAAAUAUGCACAUGUUGAUGUUAAGUACUUGAAAUAAUACUCAUGUGUGCAACCCUUCCAUCCGGCAUACACAUAAGUAAAUCACAUAUCAUAGUCACAUACAGUUCAAAUAAUUUGUGAUUGUAUCCCAUGUCUAUUAAUUUAUGCCAUUUGCACAGUUAUAGGAAUCAAAGCAGGGAUAUGAGUGCCAUUUAUAGCACCAAUGGCAUCCUGCAUUUUAUAUAAUAUUUGAUAGUUAGUCAAACAAAAUUUGAAAAACUUCAAAGAUGUAGGUAUUUUGCAGAUUUUAUUACAGUAAUAGAUUUAAUUAGUCCUUUUUACAAAUUGCUAAGUUCCUACUCCUCAUUAAGGGGGUCAGAGUUUUAUAUAUAUUUUGAAUAUUAGGAGAUAGCAAAUACUACAGCGAAAUUAGCUUCACAACAACUAAUUAGAUAAAAAAAACUUUUCAUGAUAAAAUCUAGAAGAAAUUUUGACUGUUUCUAACCUUGAACCAAGGAUAAUAUUUGGUGCUAUAUCUUAUACAUUGAUACUCACCAUUUGUUUGUAUUUGUCGAAUAAUAUUUUGUAUAACUUUACAUAACCCUAAGAGAACUGCCACUACAUUUCUAUGGAUAGUUUCUAUCGAACGUUGAAAUCUCUCUACCACAACUCGAGUGCGCAUGGUAUGACUCAACAUAACUAGAGUCAUGGCCAGCCAAUGUUCUUAAAAUCGGACCGGACCGGCCAGUUUGACGGGUUGGACCGUGAACCGGACAUACCACCGGUCCGGUCUAGCAUCAAACCCGCCAAUUAAUGAAAAACCGCUCAAAACCGAUCGAACCAUAUGAAUCGUGAAAAACCGUACAAAUCGCAACCCGGCGAUUUUUAAAUUUUCAACAAAAUGUCCCAAAUCAAGCUACUCAAAAUCAAACCUGUGCCUUCCUACUCACAUAAGAGUGUCUUACCACUAGACCACAAUCAUAGGGCAAGUCAAGUUUGUUGAGAAUUGUAUUUAACUUGACUAAAAAAUAGAUUAAAAAAUUGAAACCCUAACAUUAACAAAAGAAACAGCAGAGUGCAGCGCAUUUUUCUUUUCAUCACUUUCUUGGCUUCAUCAGGCGGCCAACGGCUCUCCAUUCUCUUCUUGAAUUUUUUUUUCAACAUUUUCUUCUUAACCCUUUCAAACCCAAAUAUCCAUGAAGAUUUUCUCAAGCCUUCACCAUUAUCAUCAAGCUAUCAUCUUUAGCAUAUUGUAGAUGACUUGGAAAUUUCAAUUUUUCCUGUUUUCCAUCAUCUUGGUAAGUUUAAUUUUCCUUUUUCAAGGUUUUUGUUUUCUAUAUUAUUAUCUUUAGCUGAUUAUUUUGCAUUUUCUUCUUUUUCCCCUCAAUUUUCAUCUGUUUCCCCUAAUUUUUGUUUUAUUUUUAUUUGAUUAAUUAAGGAUGAAAUUACUGCAAAAGUAGCACUCCUCCGUGUAGGAAUUGGGUAGGAAUUACAAAUAAUUACAUUGGGCUGGUCAAAAAUAUGAUAGUUGGCAAAUAAUCGAAGCUAUUGAUCAUUGAAUUUAAAAUAAUUAAUGGUAUAGGAUCAUGGAAUAAUGAAGAUCCAAACAGGAAUUAAUAUAUUCUUGAACCUUUCUGAUGACAAAUGAAGCUGGUCAUCAUGCGAAGUCGGGAGUAUGUCCUCUGGCUAUUUAAAUGCUAACGGUAAUAAUUUGCAUCCGUGUGAAGUCCAUUCUACAAUAAGGCAUGUUCCAAACUCCUUUAUGUAUAUUUUAGAUUUUGCAAUCAUAUUUGGACAAGCUAUUUUUUGGAUGAAGUAUCAAAUUAAUAAAUUUUGUAUCAAUGAUUGUCCUGUUUUUUCAAUGAUUGUAUAAUUUUUCUAUUGUUUAUUGAUUUGUGAAAGUUGUCAAAUAAAAGCUUAAAAAAAGUGCCAAGAAUUAUACAAUCAUUUAAAGCUAUUGUUUCAUUUAAAGCUGGUUAGAGUUAUUCUUACUCGAAAGUUUCAUUUAUUCUGUAUAUUAGAUUUCUUUUUUCUUUUUUAGCUCAUAUAACAUGUUAAUUAAUGAUGUUUAGUAGCAAUUAAUUUUUUAUGUGUUUAGUUGUAUCUUUGUUUUUCAAAAUUUUUUGUUUUUUUUUUUGAGUUUAAGCAAUUAGAUUUAUAUUUUUAUAAUAAAAUUUUAACUUUUUCAGGUUAAGUUGAUGAAAUUGUGAAAGUGAUGUUGUUGCUUAUCAUGCCACUGAUGGAAGUUUGUUAUUCAAAUGGUUUGUCUUGAAUAUGAGUUGGACUCUUUUAUGAACCUUUUUAAGGAUUGUAAAAGAAUUUCAAUUUUUAUUUUAUUUAUUUUUGUGUUUUUAUUUGUGAUAAUUGGUGAACAUUUGAUUGUAUCUAUUUAUGUUUGUAAUGAAUUUAUGAAAACUUGUGGUGAAUUAUGAUAUUUUAAUUAUGUUUAUCAUUCCAGGUUUUAUGUAUAACUUUUAAGAAAUUUGUUAUUAUGUCAACUUAAAUUUAGUUAUGUUGGUGGAUGCAUUUUAGGAACUUAAGUUAUCAAUAACCAUAUUACAUUAUACACUAGCCAUCAAGUUCAAGUGUAAAAUGAAAACUUGUGAAGUACUUAACACUAAAGUUGCAAAAAAAAAAAAAAAGAAAAAGGAAACGAUGAACCAGCCGGUUGGACCGGUCAUAUCGUUCGAACCGCAAACCGGCCGCCUCUCCGGUUCGCUGGCCGGUCCAAGUUUAAAAACAUUAUGGCUAGCGACUCUUCAAUUGACACAUGCUUGUGGGGAUUUUGCGGGACGUAGUUAUUUUGCACAAGAAUUUCACAAAAUCUCACGAAAUUGUCAACUGUUAAUCGAUAAUUAUCCAAUAUGCGUAGAAAGUAACCUGUUAUUAACUCCUACACCCACUUCUAACCUGGCAUAUCUCUAGUACGGUAAGGCAUUUUGAUAAGAGAUCCAUCGUAUUGUUCUACUUUUGGUGCAAAUAACAGCAUUGCUGCAGCAUUUGGAAUUACCUCAUCGUUAGUUUUAGAAUUUGAACUACAAGAUGAACUAUAAUUUGGGAUGAAGUUGGCCAUGUGAAACCUAGGAGAAAGUUCGCAAUAGCUAACAAAUAAAAUCACCUAUAAUGCAACAACUAUUGAGUGGACUAAUUACUGCUACGUUUGGGACCUCGAGUGAAACUUAAAUGCAUAACUAGACUCUACUCUGCUACAUUUUAAAGGGAAGGUGCAAGUUUUUUGUAGAAAAAAACUCAAUUUUUGAUGUGUUAAAGUUAACAAGGUAGCCAUUAGACUUAUUCGUAGAUGGGAGAUUCUCAAACUGUUGUUCUCAUGUAGAGGAAAACAGAAGCAAGUGGAACACCAAAUCAGUGAAAUGUCACCGCUUGCCUGUAUUAUUGAAAUGCAGUGUCGUUGAUAUAUGGCUAUGCAAUGGCCACCUUGCCUUUCUUGCAUUACCUCAAAAUUACUUAAAAUGUUACACCCAAGUGAACAUAUUAUAUCAAAGUUUGGUGAACAAUAGUUAAAAUGCAUGUAUAUUACCUAUGUAAAAGACAAAGGAAACAGUAACUGUUAUCAUGUAAUGACAGUUCCUAAUUUAAUGUACACGUUUUAUUGACAAGACCAAUCAGUUCUAAUGUCUAGCAAGUAGCGAAACUAUUUAAAAUAUACAAAUGCCUCGGUCCAUUUAUUUAGUUUGGCCUUUUUUGUUUAACUAUUAGUGAAAUGGUUAUGAUUUUGCUUUUCACCUCACAGCAAAAUUGGUUGUCCAAAUUUCGUCAUCCAAAAUAUUGAAUAUGUUUAAAAACUUCAAGAGUUUGCAUAUAACCCUAGCCUUACUAAUGCUUUUACUCUUAUUUCCACAACCUCAGUAGUCUAAUUCGAAAUAUGAUGAUUCUCAGACAAAAAUGACCAAUAAAUGAUAGGUGUGUCACUACAUCAAACACCCAAAUUGGUGUUGAUAUAAAAUUAGUAACUGCACGUCAAUAAAUGUUGAAGGGUCUAACGUGUCAUGUUUGAAAACAAAGACAAAAAAAAAAAAAAAAACCAACACUGCUAAUAGACUUAAAUAAUGAAUAAAACUAGCUAAAAAUGGGGGCAUCUACUACAGUUGCCUCGUACAUUUGCUAAUUUGAUCAUGGUAAAUCAAAACAAAAUUUGGAUCUCGAGUAUCAGGAAUGGCCAUAACAUUAAUACAAGCUGAUAAACAUAAAUUAUAAAAGUCUUGAAUUAUAACAGUAAUCCAAUUGUACAAGUUAAGAGUUUUAAAUUACCUCAUUUGCCCUCCAUCUUCAGGAUGAUGAACAUUUCAAUCCAUGUCACCUACUCACUGUCACUGAAGCUAAGGAACAAAGCUCGAAACUCUUCAUCUAUCAACUCUGCUAAUAGAAACAUGUGUAGCCACUUCUCCAAAUUCAAACUCUCCACAACUUUCUUAGCUAUUUCUAUUGAAUAUUUCUCCUUUGCCUUUCUUUCGCUCUGUUGAAAUUGCUAAGUAGCUCUAGGUAGUUAUCUGAACCUGACCUUCGAAAUUUCGAACCUUUUGAAUCCCUCCUUCUCUGAACUGUAGGCACCACUGGACAUUAGACGCUUGCCCGAAUUUCUUAGAACAAGACUACCAUUGUCGUCAGAUGAAAGAAAGUGGUGAGGAGCGACAAUAAUAGAGCUUAACGUCACGUCCUUCCCUCUGCCAGUACAUUCUUUCCUACGUCUCCGUAUUGAGGGAGGCACAUAUUGGGGUGGUGGUUGGACCAAAAACUAAAUUUGACUGUUAGUAGCAUAUUUGCCGUCCAUCACCUCAUUCUGUUGCAUCACCAAAUCAACGCUAUUUGGAUGUUGAAAGUCAAGAUAGUGCGUGUUUAUCUAAUUGGUAGAAAAAGUUAUGAGGUUCAUACUCUAUAUGUAAUCCAAUAAAUUGUGAUAUGAAAGCAAGUAGCAAUCAAAGUCCUACAAUGAUUAGCAAAAGUGAUUACUACCGUGGAUCUAAAUCUAGUAUACGAGAUUGAGUACAAGAAAAUUAACAAAAUAAUGGAGAUGCAAAUAUAACAGGCACUAUGUAAAAUAAAUUGAAAAAAAUAAUUAGAAAAUUAAUUACAGUUUCAUACUAUUACAAACUCAAUGCCCAUCAGCAACCUCAACAAGUAGUAGUCUUUUUUUUUUUAACCUCAAUGAUGAAAAUUAAAGAUUCUAUAGCACUCUUAACCAAUAAAUGCAAAUAGUUUGCAUAUACAUGCAACCAUAAAACUAGUAAAAAGAAUUGGGACUAUAACAACAUGUGGUUUGCUUUCCCACAACUAGAUUAUAAUAGAAAAAUAAAAGUUGCAUACAAUAGGGAGUUUAAUACCAACAAAACGAGAUACCUUCUAUCUCCUAUAUCAGGCAUUUGUAAUGAUUGAAUGACUAAAACAAAAUGCAAAACAUGUGUUGUUCCUUUCUUAGCUUAUGGCAUAUGUCAAUUGUAUACAAACAAUCACAAAAUGAAAUUCUAAUUAUACCAUAAUGUUAUCUAAGUCCUACAGUAACUACAGUCAACGUAAAGAUGCAUAUGUAGUGUAAAGAGUCAUAUACCUAGUAUAAAUAAAUUUGGUGAUCUGCUCAUGCUAAAAAGCAUUUAUGCUCGGCAUCCCACCUUAUCCCAGUCUCUCGUUUGGAAGAAUCUCCUUGAAGAUGAGUAAACAACCUCCAUUUUUCCACCAUUCAAUAGUACUUGAGUUGGCAUUGACUUUCAGUGCAACUGAUGUCACAAUCUUGGUCAAGUAAUUGGCCAACAUAUGAAAAUUUGCCUACAUGCUAUGGAUUGACUCUCAUUUUCAAUUUUUCUGCCACUCUAUGUAGGUGCGCAUAUAGAGGUCUUCUUCUCAUCUAACCAAUAUUUUUUGUCACAUAUCUAUGGAUGAACAAAUAAGUACUUGAAAUAAUAACAACAUAUUGUAUGCACAAUCACCAAGUUCCUAAACAAAUUCUUUUUAAAAUCUCACCUCAAAGUAGCUUAGUAAGUUGACGUGAAAGUCAUUAAACUCGCACAUGCAAUUGGCACUAACAGAAGAAGCAGGGUUGGAAAGGGAUUCUGCACAAUAAUGCAAAUUAUUGCCUAUGUUUUAAUUAUUACAUGAAUUUAACUAGCAGAAUGUAUUAGAACUAUUUUCGGGAUAAUGAAAUGUCUUACCAACAUUUGAACUUUAUUUCUUCCUUUUUCUCGUAGGCAUGAACACUUCUAUUUGUUCAUACUUACAACUUCACGGUUUGGAUUAUAAAAAAAAAAAUUAGAAGAAAUCAAGGAGUAGAGGAUGAGCAUAAGAAGUUCAUGAAAGCAAAAUGAUUGAAUGUCAAGAAAGACAAAAAUCGGUCUUGUAAGCUUGGCCUCUAUAUCAUAACACAAGCAAAUUUACAGAAGUUGGGAGCCAAACGAAACUCUUACCUAGCAAUUUGCGAAGUGGUUGUCUAACUACAUCAUCACUUCGUAAAACAUAUAAUAGACUAGAACACCAAUUCAAUUGAUCAACUUAUAUGUCAAUGGCUGCUAUUUUAAGAUCUAUGUUGUUUGAAACAAAUAACAAAAACACAUCCAAUGUUGUUUUUCAGGAAAAAUAUCCUAUGUUGUUCAUCGAAAGCCUUAUAAGUUACAAAUAUUCUCAUUGCCUUACCAAGUCAACGAAGUUUAAAAUCCCAUAAAAUAAGCUGUUCAAAUAGGUGAUUUGCAAGUUUGUCAUGCCGUCCUAAUAAUAAGGUGCAUUGAAGCUACAAUUUAUCCCAACUAAUUAUCAAUUAUAGAUAAUUUUAGAGUCAAAUUGUCAUCAAAAGUCAACAUGCCUUAUAAGAACAUGAAAACCACUUAUCCAGGCAACUGGACCCGUGAAAGAAGACGGUGAAUAAGAAAGUGAAAAAAAACAAAUAGACUAAAAUGAAUAUAGAUCCCUGAAAUCGAAUUAAAAAAUAUAUACAUACAAUAGGGAGAAUUUCCAAAUCAAACCCUAAGAAGAUCAAAAUUCAACAUUUCAUAUGUUUGGAGUUACACAAAUUUGUAGCAAUUACGAUUGAUUUUAUUCUAAAAAACACUACUGCAAUCAAAUUGAGCAAAUUGUAAGGGCAAUAAAACUUGGAUAAGGGUAAUUACUAACUGCUGCACACCAAAUUGUUCAAGUUCAAGGCAAACGAAUAAAGGAAUAUCUGUUUAUGACUAGCUCCCUUCCUUACCGUGGCCCAACAAAUCAGAGACCGGCCAUAAGCGAUGAAAGUUUGAACCAGUUCCGAUCAGUCAUCCUUUUUGUUGACUAUUUCUUGUGUAUUUCCUAAUUUAAAUCCAACGUCACACCUUAUAGUACUUACCGGCAAAUCGCUGUUCACACAGGAAAUCAAUACGCUAUCACUUUGUGGCAGAAAAAUCAAUUCCUUCGGCAGAUGUUGAUAGUAGCAGCCUUAGUAGCAGCCUCAGGUUGCAAUUGUCGAACAGAUUUUGCAAUUGUUGAUUGGAGAAAACGAAGUUAUUGAAAGUGCAAGAGGAAAGGUGAAAUAAAAUUAUUGAAGAUAGAAGCAGUUUUAGAUUUGCUUUACCAAAACGAUAAUUGUGCAACGAUACAAAAAUGAAACUAUAGUUAGUGUAGUCUCGCGCAAUUAUAGGAAACUGUAGUGUUGCUUUCACAGUCAAGAAGAAGUGGGAAUGGGUUUGCUUAUUCAUGUCCACGUGGAUUACAUGUGAAGUAUCAGAUGUUUGGUUUCUAAAGAAUAGCCACUUAGGAGUUUUUUUUUUUUUUUUUGUAAGAAUGUACAUUGUGAUUAUUUGGAACUACUUGUUUGUUAUUCAAAUACCUAUUUUACAUAUUUUUUUUGAAAAAAUCCAAAAAUUAUCUAUCCAAACACUCUUCCUAUUUUUUGGACCCUCAACUUAUUAUUUUUAACUAAUUAAGUUCUCAAAUAGAUAGCCGAUUCAUUGCAAUAUCUAGAGUAUACUAAACAUAGAUACGUACAUCGUAGAUAUGUAAAUAUAACAUAAAGUUCUAGUUGCAAUAUCUAGAGUACAAUAAACUUAAUAUAGAUACAUAUAAAUUUGAAAAUCAUCCAAAACAGCAAAAUCAAUCAACAUAAAAAAAGCAUUGAAACUUUAAAAUUAUCUUGUAUCCAAAAUGUAUAACUUCAUCUCAAUGUAUCUGUGCAUGUUUUCUAACUACAAAAUGUAAUAAAAUAUUAAACUUAAAAAUUAUAUGAUUUAUCCAUAAUUGACAGAUUAAUCUCUAAAACCAGUUAAACCCACGGGAAAAACAUAAUGGUGAAUUACCAAUUCUUUUCAAUAAAUUCAAAUAAAACACAUUUUGUAGCAUUGAUGAAAUUUUCUUGCUAAGUUAAUUUGAAUCUUUUCAUGAAGUUGUUAUUCAUGUUAUUUUGUCAAACUGACAACAACCAUUUUGGUUCGUCAUGAUUUUCUCAAACGUACUAACCAUGAAAUUUCAAACUCCAAUUGUUGACUAUUUUUAUUAGUUGAUUUGUAGAUAAUGGUGGAUCCAAAUUUAGGUAAGCUGUGCAUCAAAACAUUUCUUCAUUUUUAAUUUAAUUUCUUUGCUAUUUCCUCAAAUAGCAGUUUUUUAUUGCUUUCCUUGAAUAGAUUAGUCUCUGAUGGAGAAAAUUUAAUUCUUGUAUGACUCAACCACAUAUGAUCAACUUGACUACAAGAAAAUAGUUUGAGGACACAUUUAGCAAAAAUUUAAAAAUCAAUUUGAUUAUAGUGAAAAAAGUUAAGGACAAUAUACAUCUUUGUUUCCUAUAAUCUUAUCGACCAUAGCAACUAUGAAAAUUCAAACUCCCAAUUGUUGGUCAUUUUUCGAUCAACUUGCGAAUGUUAAAUAUGAGUUAUUCAAACUCGAAAUUAUAUUACAGUUACAUUAGAUUUACAAGGCAUUAUGUACAUCAAACAUUAUAAAAUAUUAGUUUGUAGAUAGUAGUUCUUAUUUAUCAGAGAAUGUCUUAUGAUUUUUGACAAUUAUCGAGGCUAAAUCUAGUAAAGAAGCAAUAAUGUGCAAAGAAAAAAUUGAUUUUGAUAUUGAUUCUAGGAAUUGUUACUAAACACCCGUUACUAACUUCAUAUUCAAGUCUUUUCCAACGUACUAUUUUAAUUUCAAAAUGCCAAUAAUUACAUUGAUUUUCAUGAGUAAUUUAAAAAAUAUAUCAAGGUUGCAUAUUGAAUUUUAUAAAACUAGUGUUGAUUUAUAUGAGAUUCUAGAAAUUUCAAGUAAAUUUUUAGUAAAUCGUAGACUUUAGAACAAAUUUUGUGAUAACAAAUUUGCUAAAGUUGCCUUUCUAAGUUGAAUUUGAUUUUCUUAAGUGGCAACAUGUUUUAAAGUCAAUUUUGAAUGAUUUGACUUCAAUAUUAAUUAUAGGAAGUUGUCUACAAUGCGUCUUUAAGAAUUAAAGUAGCAGUAUUUUAAAUUAACUAGCAAUACUAUAAUGGCGACAUUUGUUAGGCAGGGGAACUGAAGUUGAAUGGAGUGUUAAAGGCAGUGUUAUGCCUAGUAAUCAUUUUAAGAAUUUUCAACAUAAAUAGUAUCAGAGCCAAAGGGAUCUGUGCCCAAGUUUUGUCUUUAUCGUCAUCACGUGCGUUUGUGCAUGUGUGUUGAAUUUUUGGUAUGACGUCAUUUUACUUUGUCAACAUAUCAAAGGUAAUUUGACGUCGUUAUGUGCGCUAUGCUUAUGUCUUGAACAAGUGGUAUGAACUCUACCACACUUUUAUCCCCCUCUUUUUUUUUAAAUUUUCUAGGAUUAGAUGCGCCAUUCUUUCUCUUUCUUCUUCUUUCAUUGCUCUCUCCAAAAUUAACCUUAAAGGAUAAAACUAUAGCCUAACUGGGAGCAUAUUUUUCCUAGAACAUUCUCUCAAUGGCUUUACUAUGACUAUUGCUAAUAGUUCGCUCUUAACCUCUGUUUUGAAACUCGGACCGGACCGGCCGGUCGAACCGGGAACCGGCCAGGUAGCCGGUCCGAGUCAUAUUAAAAAACCGGAAAUUUAAAAUCCGGUCAAAGCCGGUCAAAAACCGGGUUUGACCGGGAAAAAACCGGAUUUUCCGGUUCAACAGUAAUUUUUUUAAAAAAAAAUUCAAACUUUAUAAUAUUAUGUUUUGACCCCCUAAAUUGUUAAAACUUAUCGAUAUACCUCAAAUAUUUGAUACUUUAUAAAUAUUGUCCUAAAAUUUGAUGUUAUUUUUCAAUUAAACUCAUAAUUUUAAUUCUAAACUUGUUAAUAUUUAUUAAAUAAUAUAAAUUGCUACUUAAUUGUUCUAAUUUCUUUAUAUUUUCUUGUUAAAUAUAUUUGAAACAUCAAAUAUAUAUGAAUAUAUCUUUAUUAAUAUCAAUAUAUUAUUAGAUAUUAUAAAUAUAAUAUUUUAAUUUUUAAAUAAUUUUUAUUUAUGACGUCAUCCGGUUCGACCCCUAUCGACCCCCGGUCGAACCCAUUGACCCCUGACCCCUGACCUUGGCCGAGUCGCUAUCCGGUCCGGUUCUGAAAACAUAGCUCUUAACUUUGUAUGAACAGCCAGUGAUGAAAUCUUGUGGGAUGAUCUGAUGGAAGCAUUUUCGGAUUUGAUUUUAAAACCACAAGAGGAUCAUACCUAAGGAUCUAUAAAUGUAUUCAUCUUCCAACUUUUCUUACUUUUCUAACUUAUCUUUUCUCUCAUUUUUUUCCCUUAGAAUUGGUUUUAUGUUUUCUCUCAUUCUUUUCCUUAGAAUUAGUCUGGAUCUAAAUCUCCCUGAAAUAUGUGGCCGUACACAAUUAAAGAAGACAUAGGUAAUGAUUUAAAGAUUAGGAGGGUUCACUGCAUAAAUGUGCGGUGGAUAAAUGUCCAAUUAUACCCACUUAAUUUACAAAUAAUUAUAAUGGUAGUGGAUGUUAAUAAUAAAUAAAAUAUUUAGAGUUGUGGUCUUAGAAAGUAUAUAAUUAGUUCAAAAUUGUAAAAAUAUGAAAUUCAAGAGAUGAAAAUUAUAAUACAAUGCCUUUAAAAUAUGUAAUAGGGUAUAAGAAAAACAUGAUUAGGACGUAUACAACUAGCCAUUGGCCCAACAUACAAAUUAUGUUGUGGUGUCCUCAGUAUUUAUGAAAAUCUCAUUCUUAAAAAGCAUCUACAUUAACUUAUUUGCAUUACUUAAUAUAAUUCAAAGAGUAAAUUUUAUAUACACUGACAGUGUGUAUACUAUCACGAUUGGAUGUAUGACACAUAAGUAAAAUUUGGAUUUUAAAUUUAAAUUCAAAUGAGUUGUCAUGUAUUAAAUGGUGAUAGUGUAUACACUGUUACUGUAUAGAAGAUUAAUCCUAAUUCAAAACUCAUUCUCAACAUAUUCUUAUCUUUUGAGUUUUUGAGGAAAGCAACCUCAUAAUUUUUGCACAGUUUUGCUGCAAGAGAGGUUUUACAGCAUUAUGGGAUAAGGCCAAUCAAAAGAAAAAUAAAAUUCUCGAAGAAAUACCAAGAAUAUACAUCAUAAAGGUACCUCUUUCUUUCUUUCUUUUUUUUGGGUACAUUGGAAGAGGUCAUAACCUCUUAAAUAGAAACAAAAUGAGAAUAUGCAACUCCUAACACAUCCGCUCUCAACAAAUCUUGCAUCUCUACUGGGAUGUCAUCAAGAACUUGUAACCCUGAUGGACUAUAGAUGUUGGAUUUGCCCAAUCAAUUUGCAUAUUGAAUGCAUUCCCUCCAAAUAUGGCUUAGCUAGCAGUCCCAACUUCUUUGCUUUAACUUUUGGAUCUGAAUAAGAAGAUUGUAAUCUAGUGAGUUUUAAUACCUAAACUUUUUACUAAAAUUGCUCCUACUACUUUAGUUAGAACAACUAAGGAAAGGAAAGAUUUUGUUAGUCAAUGCAAGAAAAAGAUCAAUCAAGUGGAUUUACAUGUACGCUUGCAAUAGUAAGGGCAUAGAUGACUGACAACAUAUCCUUCACAUCAUGUAAGCCAAUCUCACACCUAUCAUUUGGAGUUGCUUCAUGACCACCAUGCAACAACUAUUUAAUUGUUUUAAAAGAUACAAGCUAAACUGGUAAAUGAAAAUAAGAGAUUUGUCACAUGCAAAAAACUCAUCAAUGGUUUUCAAACAAAAUUUACUUUCAGUUUUGACAUUAUGUACAACUAAAAACUAAUAAAAUUUAAGUGCAAACAUGUGUUGCAAAAUCCAACUUGGCACGUUUUCUAUAUAAGGGAAUAAAAAAUCAAGAAGAUUUCUCAAGAAAGUAGAAUAAAAGAAAGUUUCUGAAAAAUUUCAACUUAACUUUGAUACUUUUAACCAAAGGAUAACAAAAAAUCAGAACAAUAGACAAAAAUAAAAUAUAAAAGAAACUUUUCAUGAAAGGGAGAGGAAGGAAAGAAAAUAUGAUUGGCAUUCAGAGGAGGAAGAAAGAAAAGAAGAUAGCAAUAGAAGAAAGAAUGAAGUAGAAGGGGAGGAAAAAUUGAAAAAGAAAAGAAAAGAAAAGAUCUGUCUAGAGCAAACUAUAACCUUAUAAGCAACUCAAAAACAAAAAUAGAAUAUGAAAUAAUUUUCUUGUAUACUACAUGUAGACCAAUAUUUACAGUCUCAAAACUAGCUAGAAUUCUUCAAAUUUAAAUAAGUCGGUAUCUUAUUAUUUCUUUAUUAGCAAAAAGAGAACAUAUAACAUCAUAUUUUUCCGUUCCAAACAAAUUGAUUCAAGGUAGACCAUAAAGCUGCCAAGUAGCUUGAAUUUUCAUUAAAACUUAGCAGUCAAUAUUGAACAGUAAAACUACAAGUCAAAACACAACUAUAUAAGCAAAUAGCAUAAUGAACUUCAGGAAAAAUAGGAAGAGACACAAAAGAUAUUUACGAAGUGUAGACACCAAAUUUUUGUCAAUUUUUAAUGUUUUCUUGAAUUUUUUCUAUUUAAUGAGUUAUUUAUUUUCUUGCAUUUUAAUGUGUAUUUUUCUCAUUUUGCAGGUUUGUUCUAGGAAAAAAAAAGAAACACAAAAAAGAAAAAAAAAAGAAAAAGAGAAGAUAAAAUCUCCCCCAAUUAUUUCUCUUUCAUCAAAUACACUAUUGAUCCAUUUUUGCACUCAAUAUCUCCAUGCAUUUUUCUUUUUAUUUGGUGAGGAACUCAUCAUUUGAUCAACAAAAAAUUCUACUCAUCUUUUCUUUGACACUCUCUUGGCUCAUUGGCAAAUGGCCACACAAACAGAGAAAAAAAAAAAAAAAAACUCCUAGCUCUCGGCAUAUCUUUUUCAUUUCUUCAAAAGCCACAAAAAAAAAAAAAAUUCUACUUACUCCCUCAAUCUCACUCAUUCUCGGCCAUCUUUUUUUUUUUUUUCUCCCAACACACUCACACACAACAUAAAAAAAAAGGGACAGCAGCCGGUUGAAUUGAAGCUUGAAAUUGCAUCAAAAAACUUCACCCAAGGGAAUGCAACCUUCAUUUAGGUACUUCCUUUUUCUUUUUUCCAGCUUUCCUUUUUCUUAAUUAAUUAGAUUAAAUACAUGUUUAGCUGCUUGUUUGUUGUUUAUUUCACUAGUUUUGUUAUUAUUAUGUUGUGGAAGAUUUGGGGUUCAGCUACCAGCAAGAUUAGGCAAAAGGAAAUAGCUUUUGUGUAUGCAUGCUACAUGUUUGAUAAAAUGCUAAAAUAAAAAAUAAAUCAAAUUAGUGAAUCUUUUGUACUUAUUUUUCGUCAAAAUAGAUUAUUGUAGUUGGCACGAGGUCCGAAAAUGUUGGAUUGUCUAAAAAUUUUGAAGUUUUGAGCAUUAAAAGCAUUGGAAUAUUUUUUUUUAUUUGUGGGCUAUUUUUACUUAAUGUAUCAUUUUGUUGUUGUUUUCUUGUCAAACUAAGAGCGUAGUUGUAAUGUAGAAGUUGUAAGGAGUGUUGUAGUAUAAAUUUUAUGGUUUUGAUGAAGGUUUGAGUGUUUUUAAAAAAAUAAAAAAUUAGGCUGUCUUUUUGCUAUUUUCGCCACUUUCGGUUCAUUUUUUGAAAAAAUUAAGCCCACAAACGGAUUCUACGCGAAAAAUCGAGUAGGAGUGUGUGAGGACCCGAAAAUUCCUUCAGAAUUUCCUCCCAUUUUUGAACCAUUAAUUUAUAUUUCCUUCUAUAUUUCUUUACUUGGCUAUUUAACUAUUUACUAGAUCUAAAAUUCAUAGCGAUUUCAUUAGUUGAGUCAAGAGUUUUACUUUUACUUUAAAGUUAGAGUAGUUAGGGUUUUGGUGCAUUUUGGUAGUGUGAUCAAUCAGUGGGGUGUGUGUGCUACAAUUGAUGGAUAAGAAUGGGUAUUAAAUAAGAGGAUGUAUGUGAUUAAAAAUACUAAGAGUAAGUUAGUGACUCAUAAGUUAAAACAAAAGUACAAAAGAGUUAAAGAAAUAAGCUUGAACCGACGUGCGCCAUUUGUUACCGGUUGAAUACACCACUUGACUGAUACUUUUUUUCCUUAAUAUCCUUGUUUUUAUUUUAUUUAAUCUUCUCCAAAAUUAACCCUAAGCUAGUCAAAAUUAUUAACCAAGAAAAGGAAAGAAAAGAAAAGAAAAAGAGGAAAAAUCUUAACUCACCAAGUGUCGACGAUCCAUGAUAUGUUGACCGAGAAAGCUUUCUUCCCUUCUUAUCUUUCUUUUGGCCAAACUUUCUCUUAUUUUUUCUUGUCAUGACCGAAAUUAGAGAGGAGAAAAAAUUUCUCCAAGUUCCAUCUUGAUUCCUACCUUGAUUUUGUGGGGAAAUUAACCUUAAACCCUAAAUUCAUCUAUAGAAGGUUGUAACAAGGAAGGAAGAAGCUUGGUGUGGUGUGAUUUUAAGGGAAGAAAGCUGUGAUUUGCUACUGUCCUUAGGAAUUGAAGGUAAUAUUGGUAAGGAACUACCUUUUCCCUUUAAUCUUGCAUUCAAGUGAGCAUAUGACUUGAAUUUGGAAAUUUUGUGGCUGGUUUCAUGGAUUUGUGAUGUUGUUGAAAUUUUUCAGUUUUUAUUUAUAUUUUCCAGCCAUGAAUUAGGAGUUUCUAGCUUUGAUUUGGAUAUGAAAGUUGAGAAAUGAAGAACUCUAGCUUUGGUAUAAAACUUUAGCUUCAAAAUAGGAUUUUCUAGCUUUAGAUGUGAAAUUUCAGCCUUGGUAGAGGAUUUUCAGCUUAAGUAUAUGUUGAUUAUAACUAGUUUUGUGGCCAACAUAAGUAUUCUAUGUAUCCUAUAUCUUGUGAACUUGAUUUGUGGCUGUCUUGUGGUGUUGAGUGGGCUGAUUUGAGAAGAAAAUGUAGCCUUGAAAUGGUUGAAAAGAUUGGCAAAUAUAAAGGAAGUGCUGCUGAAAUUUUUUAGCAGGAGGCUUUGAGUAGAUUUGGGAAAACUCUUAUAUCUUGGUGUAGAAAAAUCCAAAUUGAGUUUUGUUUAUUGCAUUUAAAACUGGACUCAUAGAUCUUUUAACCGUGAAAAAAUCAGGAGUUGGUUCAACUCCUAUAAAUACCAGCAAAUUUACAAAUUUGCUUGAAAAAUCAUGACAGUUCUGUUUUGUACAUGAGACAGUAGUGAUUUUGAACUGAAAAUUUAACUAACUUAUGAGUUGAAUAUCAUGAAGAUAUCUUCUAAAAUUUAUUAGUACUUCAAGUCUAUUUUAUAAUGGUGUAAGUUUUGUGAUUUUUUCAUCAACAGAACUCAAGUUAUACUUUUUCAAAAAAUGUCGCCAAAGCUAAAAAUUUUGUCAAAUGAAUUGAGUGGAACUUGAAAAAUUUUCAGAAAAUUUUUCUAGCUCUUAAACUUUAAUUGGUGUGAUUUUAGAUGUUUUGUAGCCUUAAACAAGUAUAUUUCAUAGUCCUAGGAAUGCACUUGGACAUUUUUCGAUUGAUUUUCAAGUUGUUUUGACUUUUGCGUUUUGAGCGGCCGAUUUUAGAUAGACGUAUGGCUCAUGUUUAAAACUCAAGUGAGCACCUUAUUAACCUAAGUUUUGAAUGCUCGGACCAUGACAUCUUGUCUUGGUUACUUUUAGGGCUUAAUGGUGGGAACGAGCACGACCCAGAGUCGAACAUGUAACUUUGGUCUACUUUAAAAGGUGAGUGUUUCUUGCAUGUGGAUGUUUUAAAUGAUUAUGUGGAAUGUUGUGAAUAUUGUCUAAAUGUAAAUGCUUUUUAAUGAUUGUUAAAUGGAUUUUUGAUGGGCGGUGUGUACUUUAUUGCACUCGACACAUGCAAAAGUGAAUUUUUAAUAAUUGAAUGCUACUUGUGCAUGAAUGUAAGCCUUUUGGCUGAACUGAGCCCUUGCCCUUCGUUGCCAAUCAACUCGAGCCAAAAGCGGACUCGGUUGGGCGGCUGUUAACCCUGGAACAAUGUUUGGUAUACUCGAGUAUUACCACGAAAUCUGGUCAAGAAUUGACCAGUGAAUUCAAUGCAAUGAAAUCAAUGAAUGAAUGACAAUGAACACUGAAGGAGUUUUCACUGUUAAAUAUUUUCUAAUGACAGAGGAAUAAGGGAAAUGAUCGGCGACUGAAUGACUAAAUAAAUGGUUUCAAGUGAGCACGUAUCCUUUCAAUGAAUGAAUGUUUAUUUCUUGAAUGACUGUUUAUUAUUGUGCAAAGUACUCCAACUGUUAAAUGCCAUACUUCCACGGUCUCUCUACCUGAUUGCUUGUUUGGGAACCUCACUAAACUUUUAUCUCAUUCUAUUAGUUUGUUUUCCUUACAGGAAUGGAGGCCGGAGUAAGUAGGCAUAAACUAGUGUAUAUGAUGUCUUAUACUUGUACUUUUGUUGAUGAGACAUAUUUGGACUCUUUGGAAAUGUAAUCCUAUGCUUUAUUUUUAGAUUGUAAAUUAAGUUUGAAUUGUUGGUUGGAAAUAGAACUUUUAUGUUGAUUUCGAGACUUGAACGUCUAUUUCAAGAACGUUAGUGAUGGAGUCCUGACGAGAAUUGGGCAGGCAGUCCACUAAACCCUUGGGUACACUUUAGGGGGAGGUGGGGUCGUCACAGGUGGUAUCAAAACCACUUUGCGUGGUCUUUACGCGGGGUGAGUUUGAGCCAUGUGGUGUUAUGGGCCCUAUUAUGUGAAUGAGUAAAGGAUUAAGUACUCUUAUGGAGCAUAAGCUAUAAAUCAUGAAUAUUAUAGGCGUAAAACCUUUAUCAUGAUACUUCAAGAAGAUAGAUAUGUAUGUCAGGUAGAAAUCUCUAAUAUAAGUGAUUUACUCUUGGGACCAGCCGGUUCGAGUUGUAAAUUAUCCUAUUUUUGGAUUUUUGUACCCAAAUACUAAAGAGUUGAUACUUUUAUGAUGGUUACGAAUGAAAUUGAGGUAAGUUUGAAAGAUGUGAUUGGGUCAUACUUAUAUGAAUUGUUUUUGGAUCGAAAGAAUAGGUUAUUACCUUGGAAUGACAUUUCUAAUGAUGUAUUUGAAUUUGUACCUGCAAUUGAAACUGUUUAUACUUUGACUAAUUUAAGAUGCUUGUGAUUGAGAUAGUAGAAGUGAACGUAGCCAAGGGAGGUCAAGGGUAUGCAGGCCCUAAUGAAUUUAAUCUUGAGUCUAAGGUAGGGCAACCUGCAGCCAAGGGAGAAGUAGAAUUAGUUGGUUUGAUAAAGACUUAGGUUAGAAAUUCAUGAAUACAGGACGUGGGUGUAGGUAAUUGGGAUGAAAAGUCAUUUCUUGUUUCACUAUUGUAUGUAUGCUGCUAGUGACGUGUCAAUACUAAUGUGUAUAGUAUCUGCUUUGUUUUAUGCACUUGGUUUUGAUCAAAUUAAUAUAUAAAGUAUCUUUGCAACCUGAUGAAUGAGCUUGGAAUGCUAUAAGUGUACUAAGUGCAUUUUCUUAUCUUUGACUGUGUGAUUUAAAAAUAUCUUUCUUUUUCUGUUAUAGUCAAUUUAUUUUGUUUAUAUGCUACAAAAUCUUUUGAAAAAAAAAAGAAAAGAGAGAGAAGGGUAUGGAGGAUAGACGAAAUCAAGAACGAGGGGCUAGUCGGAGACAUGGGGUAAGCCGUGGACUUGGAGGUAGGCAAGUACAAGAACCAAGAGAAACAAGAGAUGUGGCGGCGGAGCAGCAACAAGAACCAAGGGCCGAAACAGGGGAUCAAGUAGCAACGGCAAUACAACAAAUGACUAAUAUCUUAGCGCAAUUGGUAGAGCAACAAGGCCGAAUUCCAGUGAAUCAGCCUAAGAACCCUGAAAAUGGAGAGGACAGGGCUCUAGAGCGUUUUCAAAAGUUUGUUCCUCCUAAGUUUCUUGGAGGGUCUGAUCUAGAGACGGCUGAGCAUUGGUUGGAGGUUAUGAUUAAUAUUUUUACGGCCUUGAAUUAUACGGAGGAAAGACAAGUAGCAUUGCUGUCUUUUAGUUUAAAGAACCCGCUUGGGCGUGGUGGAAUAUUAUUAGGGCAAAAUGGGAGAAAGAACAUACAGCAUGGACUUGGGUAAAAUUUAUAAGAGAGUUUAAUGAGAAAUAUUUUUCACCUCUGGUCUAAGAGAAGAGAGAGGAUGAUUUUAUUAGGUUACGUCAGCGAACCUUAAGUGUAGCCGAAUAUGAAAUUCAAUUCACUAAAUUGUCUAAGUUUGCUCCUGAACUAGUGGUUACGGAGCAGAGGAGGGUGAGAUGGCUUAUAUAGGGGUUGAAUCUGGAGAUCCAAGAAGCUUUAGCAGCUGCUCAAGUUAAACUUUUACUAAAACUCUUAAGAAGGUCCAAAGGAUUGAGAAUGCAAAGGCACAGGUAAAAACUUUUCACGCACACAAAAGGAGUGCACCUAGUAGUAUACAUGGAGAAUUUAGAGAAAAUAUAACACCUUCCAAAGUAAAAAGAACAAACCAUUCAGACUAUCCACCAUGGACACUAGGAACGCUAGAAGAAGGUUCUACAAGGAGAAGUGAAAUGGAAAAAGAGCAACAAGAGGGAAUUCCUAGAGAAGGCCAAAAGGUGGCUUCUCGUUUGACUUGUGGAUACUGUGAGAAAACAAAUCACACUGAAGAUGAUUGUUGGAGGAAGGGGCGAAGUGCUUAGUUUGUGGGGGUACCGACCAUCAAAUUAGCAACUGCCCGAAGAAGCAGCCACGAGGGAAUAAUACUCAACAAGUGGAUAGAAACAAAUCUAGACAAGUUAAUGAAAGAGAGAACCGACCAAAAGUACCAGCAUGGGUAUAUGCCUUGGACAAGCAACAAGCUCCGGAAUCAUCUGAGGCGAUGGAAGGUAAAAUUUCAAGAACGAAAUUUUCUUAAGGAAGAGAGUGUGAGGACUCAAAAAUUCCUUUAAAAUUUUCUCUCAUUUUUGAACCAUUAAUUUAUAUUUUCCUCUAUAUUUCUUUACUUGGAUAUUUAACUAUUUACUAGCGCUAAAUUUCAUGGUGAUUUCAUUAGUUGAGUCAAGAAUUUUACUUUUACUUUAAAGUUAGAGUAGUUAAGGUUUUGGUACAUUUUGGUAGUGUGAUCAAUCAGUGAGGUGUGUGUACUACAAUUGAUGGAUAAGAACGGGUAUUAAGUAAGAGGAUGUAUGUGAUUAAAAGUGCUAAAAGUAAGUUAGUGACUCAUAAGUUAAAACAAAAGUACAAAAGAGUUAAGGAAAUAGACUUGAACCGACGUGCGCCAUUUGUUACCGGUUGAGUACACCACUUGAUCGAUACUUACUUUCCUUAAUAUCCUUGUUUUUAUUUUGUUUAAUCUUUCCCAAAAUUAACCCUAAGCUAGCCGAAAUUAUUUACCAAGAGAAGGAAAGAAAAGAAAAGAAAAAGAGGAAAAAUCUUGGCUCGCCAAGCGCCGACGAUCCAUGACAUGUUGACUAAGAAAGCUUUCUUCCCUGCUUAUCUUUCUUUUGGCCAAACUUUCUCUCAUUUUUUCUUGUCAUGACCGAAAUUAGGGAGGAGAGAAAAUUUCUCCAAGUUCCAUCUUGAUUCGUAGCUUGAUUUUGUGGGGAAAUCAACCUUAAACCCUAAAUUCAUCCAUAGAAGGUUGCAACAAGGAAGGAAGAAACUUGGUGUGGUGUGAUUUUGAGGGAAGAAAGUUGUGAUUUGCUACUCUCCUUACGAAUUGAAGGUAAUAUUGGUAAGGAACUACCUUUUCCCUUUAAUCUUGCAUUCAAGUGAACAUAUGACUUGAAUAUGAAAAUUUUGUGGUUGGUUUCAUGGAUUUGUGAUGUUGGAAUUUUUCAGUUUUUAUUUAUAUUUUUCAGCCAUGAAUUAGGAGUUUCUAGCUUUGAUUUGGAUAUGAAAGUUAAGAUAUGAAGAACUCUAGCUUUGGUAUGAAAUUUUAACUUCAAAAUAGGAAUUUUCAGCUUUAGAUGUGAAAUUUCAGCUUUGGUAGAAGAUUUUCAGUUUAAGUAUAUGUUCAUUAUAACUAGUUUUGUGGCUAAAAUAAGUAUUCUAUGUAUCAUAGACCUUGUGAAUAGGUUUGUUGUUAUAAAGCAUAUGGGGAUGAGUAGGGAUGGCAACGGGGGCAGGCACCUGCGGGGGGUCAUUGGGGCGGGGGACGGAGGUAUACUCCCCUGCCCCAACCCCCGCCCUGCCACCCGUUUGAAAAACUAUAUAUAUAUGUACAUAGUUAUAUAUAUAUAUAUAUAUAUAUAUAUAUAUAUAUAUAUAUAUAAUGAUAUUUUUAAUUAUACUACUAAUUAUACAUGCCUAUUAAUAAAAAUUAUUAAUUAUUUAUACUAAAUUUAUUAAUACAUUUAUGUUAAAUUCCUAACUACAUUUAAUACAAUAGCACUUUUUUCUAAAAAAAAUACAAUAAUAAUUUCGUGAUUGUAUUUGCAUCAAAAGUGAAAACUUAAUUAUUUUAGUUAUAUUUGUUUUAUCAUAUUAGAUUGCAUUCAAAUAACCUUUGUUUAAUUAUUUUUAUGAGUUUCAAUAGUGAAGUUAUAAUGAAUAAUAAUUUGGUGAUGUGUUAAUAUUUUAGUACUUGAUUAUUUGCUCAAAUUUAAUUAUAAUGAAAUUAUAUAAUAAAAUUUAAUGAAAUUUAAUUUUAGUACUUCCCCCGCUAGGGGGGGAGGUGUCCCCCGUCCCACCUCCCGCCCCAUUGCCACCCCUAGGGAUGAGAAGCGAUUCAACCUAAAAACUGGAAUAAAGAAGCAAAAGCAAUUACAAGAACAAGGUAUGAAGCUUGCAUUUACUAUAAAUAGAGAUGACAAUCUAUCUUAAGUUCCAAUGGAUUACUCAUGCCCCAAAGAGACAUUAGUGGGAUGGGUAUUCUAAUAUUGAGGUUGGACUUAAAAUGAGACUAACUUUAUUUAUAUCCAUGAAUUGAUGGGAAUUCUUAGGAAACACUUGGGUAUCCAUUAGGGCUCAAACAUCUCACCAAAAAUUUAAUUCACCUAAAAAUUCUUCUUUCCCAAACAAAUACAUUUUUGUUGUUGUUACUGAAGAUAUGAGGAAUAAAGCAGGGUCAUAUGGUUAGAAAUUCUUUUGUCUUCAAAUUCUAUUCUCCUUUCUCUUCUACAUUGAAAGGGAAGAUCAAGAUAGUAGUUCUAGAUUGAGUUUUAACUUAGAUCAUCUAGUUACCUAGGCAAAAUGAUUUUGAAGAAUUGUUGGCCAUUAAGUGAAAUAACAUAUAGGAAACUAUAUUAUUUUUUACUUAUCAAACUAAAGCAUUCAGGUUGAUGUGUCUCUGCUGCAUAUGUAAAGGUUUAAUGCAAUUAAACCUUCAUCGUUGCACCUUAUUGUUGGGUUACAACUAAUUUCCUUUGCCAUACUUUUGUACAAGCUCCAGUAGCAUAAAUACAAUUCCAUAUAGUGGCGUUUCUUUAUAAUCAUAAAUACAAGUCUUUUUAACUUUUUAUAGGACUUAUUUUUUCCCUUUGGCAAGUUCAAGUAAUCAGCUUGUUUCCUCACUCGUAUUUCAUUCUUUUGUCUUCUUUCUUUCGGCCUAUUGAUGUUUCUUUUUGAUAAUUUGAGCGACAUCGUCAGGGAUAGACUUGCAGAUUUCAACACUAUAAUUUAGAAGUUUUAAUAGAUGUGCCUUCAUUUUAGAGUAUGAUCCUGUAACUUUUUUUGUUGCAAUAGUGACAAGACCAUACUUUAUUCCCUCCCCCCCAAAGAUGGUGUACUUAUAACUUUCACAUGAUUCCACAAAAGUUUGUUAACAAAAUCAAAUCUUUGUGAUUUUUGUGGUCUAAAAGUUACUUUUUGCUUUCCCUUGAUGGAUGAUGAUGACAUUGUAUCUAGCAAAACAAGCAUGGGACAAAAGGAAAAAAUAUUAUUGGUUGAAGAAGUUUAUUAAUUGAAAAGAUAAUUUGAAAGCCUUGAAACAAUGAUUUACCUAGAACAUUUAGAAGCUAUGUUUGUAAAUUCUUGAUUCUUCUUUUGAUAUUUGAUUUGCUUCUCUUGUAACUAUAAUUGUUUGCCAUCUUGCCCUGCUUUUGGUUCCUUUUCAUUGAAUGGUUUAUAGAAGAGGAUGACUGUUGAAUUUUGAAGAGUGAUACUAUAGCUAGAAUGUCAAAAGCUAUCUUUGUUUUGUUUCUUUGAAUUGGUAGCAGAAUGAGUUUGGAAACUGGUGCUUAUUGGGAAUUUAGGACUGUGUAAACUGUAAAGUCAUAUUAAAUGAACAUCAUAUUAUCACAUGCUAACCUACUAUAUUAAUAUAUUAUUGUAUUCUAUUAUACUGGUAUCACGUGCAUGUAAGUUUACUAAUAAUACAUGAAUUAUCAUGAUUAUUUUAAGAGACUACAUAAUAUAAUUUAUUUUACACUUUUCUAUAAUUCACUAUAAUAUAUUAUUGUAUACUCAUAAUAUGUAUGUGCAUGAAAAAACUUAUAAAUGUUCAUGAAGAGUUGUAUAAUCAAUUAUGAUCUUGAAUAAUAUAAUUAAUUAUACACUUUUCUUAAUAAUUGAGUUAAUCAUUUUAAUGGAAUUACAAAUUGCUUAAUGAUUCUAUAUGAUCUUGACAAUAGAAUUAUCUGUUGUUUAAGAAUAUACAAGUAUAAUGAUUCUUUGUGAUCAAUGAUCAUAGAGUUAUACAUUGCUGUGAUAUUGAUUAUUAUAGAUUGUGAUUUUGGUAAUGGUUAUGCAUUAAUGAUAUACCUCUUGAUAUGUAUUUUAUCUUGACAGUAAAUUGUAUACUGCAUAAUUCAAAUAUAUAUUUGUCCUGUGUUGUAUUUUGGAAGGGAUUUUAGAGAUAUGUAUCUGAACCUGAUACCUAAAAAUGUACCUAUAUCUGGUACUCAUACCCGAGUCCAUGUAAUACGAUAUCUAAAUUUAUCUUAUAUUUAAUCCUUUCCAAAUUUUUUUUAUAGCAUUGACUUUUAUUAACAUUUUAACCAAAAAAGGAAAGGCUGAAUUUUCUUGAACAAGAUAAAUAAUUGAAUUCCUUUUCAUACACAACCAAAUAAAACUUGUUUAAUUACUAAUUAAUUUUCAUUUGGACUAAGAUUCAAAAUAUGGACUAGUAUUCAAUUCAUUUUUUAAUAUAAAUAUCUUAAAUUUGAUUAGUUUAUCAGUAUCAAACAUAGAAAGUUUGUUUAUAUUCUAGUUAUUUUGUGAUUUUCUUUAUAAAAAGUCCAAUGACCACUCUUUGUUUAUUCAGAAACUCCAGCCAUCAUCUUUAAUUGAAAUCAAUUAAAUUUAGUCAAUAUUUUAUUAUGAAACAUAAAAAUCCAUUAUAGUGAGUAACCAAAUAAUUAAAUAAAAAAACUUCUUUAAGAUAUUUCAAUUGUGUUUUCUUCUUUCAUUUUUUGAGUUGUUUGUUUAAAUUCAUCAUACACUAAAUCGUUUUUGAAAAACUUAGCUGACGUUUUAAUGAUAUCAUUAACUCAUGCGGCAGCACUCAAAAAAGCUCGCAAUUCGUGUUUGUGACAGUCCCACCUUCUCCUAGGGCGUACCCUAAGGGUUAGCGAACUGCCUGCCCAACUCUCGUUAGGACUAUUGAAUCGCACACAUGAAGGCCAAACCGUUCCGAAUCCCAAUCAAGUACAAGUAACUUUAUAUAACCCUCGAGAAUGUACAUUCCCAAUCAAAUAUACCACAUAGACAUGAUUAAACACUUUUAAAUACACAUAUUAAUAAAUUUACAAAUCAAAAGGGAACAUUGGAUCAAGAUACAUUUAGGGUUUUCCAACUACAGAGUAGCUAUACAAAAGAAUAUCUAUACUAACUCAACUCAUUCUUCAAAACAUCAUAGUCCAAAAUAUGGUUCCCUGUAAAGAAAACAAAGGCAACGGGUGAGUUUUCGCCCAUGAGGUACCAUCGCAACACGUAUUCAAAAAUCACAAAGGUACAAUUGUACUCAAUCUGACUAUAGCCAUCAAACAAAGAGUAAUAAACACCACAUGUAAACAGGGAGUAAAAGGAUACAGAUGGCUCUCAAGAGCCGUUUUCCUCCGUUGCAGUACUUGAUCCCUAACUCGUUGACUCUCCGUCAAUGCUUGAAGAACAAACAUGACCAUAGACCCCACUUUACCUCAAAUCCGUCCACCACACAUACCCCUUACCAGGUCCAAACACUAAACAGAACAGAGGUGGUAAUACUCGAGUAUAUCGGAAUCCAGAGUCUCAAUACCCAAAAAUUCCCAGAAACAAUCCCCAUGGCUUGUCAAUUUUUCUCGAUCAAGCCCUUGUUGGCUCGAUUCAAUUGACUACCAAUGAGGUUGAGCUUAGAUUUAAUAGUAAAGGUCGUUGGAUACGCGUCCAAACGACGCCAGUUUAGGCACAACCAAGAGAUUCCAAGUGAUACAGUAAACAGUUAAAUAAGCAAUAGAGAACGAGCGUGAUAAAGUACACCCUCAUCUCAUCCAGAACAAACAGAGAGUACAGUAAUUCAAAUCACAGAUUUCAAGUACGCAUGAAGCAAGAAAGCAACAAUUAUGUGAGUGGUACACUCAUCAGUUCAAAUAAAGUUGACUUUAAACGUUUCCUCCCAAGGGACGCCUUGAGUCACCGGCACGUCCUACGAACAACCAGGAAAACAAUUGAGACUUGAUUACGAGUCGUUUACUUAUUCAAUAAACUACUAAUGCAAGGCCAAAUAGAACUUGGAAGUGAAAUUAAGCAACAAUUGGUGCCAAAGGUUUAGACAACCCCAAAGUCUCUCAUUUCCACUCAAAAGCAACCUAGCUCAAAAGAAUCACAUAGACUCAAAAUUGGACAGCACUUCCCCUUAGAUUUCCUUACUUUUCCACCCUACAAACAAACACCAACUUGAACCCAAAUCCACCACAAUUGCACAUACACCACAUGAGUUAUAAGCCACACCUAAUUAGGGUCACAAUACCUUUCAAUCUUAGCCAAUUAAGAGCUCUAAAACCAACCAUAAUAAAGCCCUAAAUUCAAAACCCUAAGCUGAAAUUUAACUACACAAGCUGAAAUUUUUCAUAGGCGAGUGAAACUAGCACAUAUAAGCUCAAUAUUACACAUAACAAAUCUAUCAAUCCAUGGCAAAUGCUUAAGCGUCAAAUAAGGGCAGAAAAUUCACCAAAAAUCUGAAAUUUCCCAUGUCACCACUUUCUCCAUGAAAUUUUCCCAUAAAACUGCAAAACUCACAACUCUAAACCACUAAUUAACAAUUAUUUGAAGUAAAGAGGAAGUUCUUGGCAAGGUACCUUAAAACCCCAAGAAAAUUGGUAGCUUAUGCUUUCUCUUCCAAAACCACUCCACCAACCUAUUUAAUCCUUCCUAGCAAGGAACGUUUAUGGAGUAAGUUGAGAUUUUAAUGGUUGGAACUCAAGAUUUGGACAAGAAAUUGAAGAACAAAGUGAAGUCUCUCUCUUGGUUUUUGCUCUCUCAAUGGCCGGCCAAGAUGCAAGAAAGUGAGGAUGAUUUUUGGAAAAAUUUGUAUUUAGUAAAGGUGGAAGAAAGUUGGUCAAAGUCUAACGUCCAUUGAUUUCAUGACACUUGUCCUUUCCUAUACUUAAUCUCAUCAUUUUGUCUAUCAAAGGUUAAUCUAUCUAACUAAUCUUUAACUGUUCCUUAACACCUUAUAAAUAAUAUCCCUUUAUGCAAAACUUCACCUAAUCAUCAAAUUUAUUGCACUUUACGCACUAGCGGGUCCUACGUCCCAUAAGUAUUACUAACGUCACAUAAACUAACUUGUACUAGGAAAAUGAUUUAAAAACUAUAUUUACCCAUAAAAAUAUUUAGAAAUUUAGUCUAAUAAAGAAAAAUAUAGAAAAUGUAUGUAAGGGAAUAAAAUAAUGUUUAGAAAAUAAGAAAAUUUUCGGAUCCUCACAGUGUUAGUGAGAUCAAAGAGAAAAUACAUGGUAAUGUGGUUGGUUUUCAUUAAAUAAAGACAUUUUUUAUAUAAAAAUAUUUUCAAAUCUUGUUAAAAUCUAAUUGUUGGAUUUAAUAUAUCAAACGAAUAAUAAAAUAAAAGCACAUAUUAAUUAUCAUAUUAUUUCAUGGCUGAGCACAGUCAAAGCCUUGUUAAGACUGAAUUAAUUGUGCAUCUUGGAAACUGGUAUUAUGUUUAAGCACAAUUAAAGUAAUGGUUGGUCCUGGAAAUUGGAAUUAGUUAGAAGGCGUAAUUUAUUAUAUAAGUGGGAGAGAAUACGGUGAAGUGUUAUAGUCACCUGUAAGUGAUUGGCUUCUGGUAACCUUACAAUAUGUAUUAAAACAAAAAAAGAAAAAGCCAUAUUUUUUAUCUAAUGAAUAUUCUAGUAACCUCCAAAGGGUCACCAACACGUAACUUUACAAAAAUUUUGUAUCCUCCCUUGUUAUUUGCGUUGGGAAUAGAUGACGAGAGUUCAUGUAACAUAGAUAUAAAGUGUAUUUAUUUUUAAUAAAAAAUUGAAUCAAAUGUGCAAUUAGGUUGAAAAGAACCAUAGGCUGGGUUAGAAAGGUAAAUUUUUUAAGUACGAGGGGUUGAAAUUAUAUUAAAAAAGUGCAAAAUUGUAAAGAUAUUAAGUUAUUUGUUGAAAAACAUAAUAAAGUCAAAAUACCAGAAUUUAAUUGCAAAAUAAAUAUCAUAUUGUCAAAUCCUAUAUCCCUUGUCACGUAAUCAAAUCUCUUAACUUGUAUUUGAAUAUCCAACUUUUCUUGGAAAUUUUGCCACUUGAAUUGAUGGUGAUGGCUAAUCAAUUCUCCGUAACCUCUCUAAAUCUCUCUAAUAUAGAGUAAAAGUAUAACAAAGGUGUAGAAUAAAAUCUAUGGCAUCGAACAAAAUUAGUUGCGGCCCACCCCAUUUACAGAAUCGAAACAGAGCACCUCUUCUCCUAUUAACAAAAAAGCCACUCUUCCUGCUCCCCUUAGAUGCCAUCGUUACAAAAUCUCCUGUGCCUCUGCCAUUGAAAGAGAAUCAACCGCCAGCCCGCACUUAUUAAGCGAAGAUGCAGCAGGUAUGGUGAGUAAUUUUCUUUUCAAUUCUCUAGCAGCCUUCUUCUUCUUUCUUUCUUUCUUUCUUUCUUUCUCUUCCAGUCUCUUCACAUCUCAUGGGACUUCUUCUCCAUCUCUCCUCCUCUGCCAUCAACAUCAGAUCUUGCACAUCUUUCCCACAACAGUCAACGUAUCCAAAAAUUGUUCACCAUAUCAGGUAUGGAUUCCGUACCCGUACGCGUGUCGACAUAGGGUUCUUCUUUUUGCUACCCCUCGCUGUUUAGUUUCUGUGGUCAAGUUUUGUCAUUUGCUGCCAAAUUCAUUUGUGAACUGUUUAUGAGCUCUUGAUGUAACCCAAAAUGCUGCACGAGUUCUUGGUGCUGACUAGUCCCCUAAAAGAUUUUCCUAGAAUUUAACAAUUUUCCUUUGAUGGAUAAAAGCUUUAUUAUUCGAAAGGAUAAUAACAUACUAUUCUGUGCUUUAGCUCCAUUUGCAUUUUUCUUUAUGGAACUACUAUAUUCUGAGAGGUUUUGAAAACUGAUUGGUUCUGCAAGAAAAUUUUAUAGCUAAGCAAUUGUUUAAGUCUACUGGUAGAUACUAAAUCUUGUUUAAAUAUGAACACGGUAUCUGAUACAUGUUAUCCUAUAAUUAUGCAUUCUGAAGAACACUUUUGCUAAUGUUUCACAUACUAUGGAUUCUAGAAAUAGAGCAUGAAAAGGACGAGGGAUGACAUGGAGAUUGUGUGGCAAACUCCAGCAAACCCGCCAGACCGCCAUGACUACAUCCUUCGUGAUGGUAAUUGCUUCUAUUUGACAUUCAAAUUCAGCAACUUGUCUCCCAAGUUCAGCGGCUUCAAUUUUUUUCUCUGCAGGCAUGCGAUAUGUUAGACCCUACUAUUUUGAGUUCAUCUCGCAUGUGAGUGUUAUAUCUUUCUACCUUGUAUAUCAAAAGAAUCUCCCCUUUUUUUACCUCAAACAAACUUUGUCUUAUAGAGAACAUUCGUGUGGUUUGCAGGUAAAAAAUAGAUGGGCAAACAAGACCAUUGUUGAUCUGUUCACAGAAGAAUUUAAAGGACGACCUCGUGAUUACUAUGUAGGAUUGCCUUUUGUCCUUUUAUUUUUUGUCCAACUAUCAUCUUUUGCAAGUCUAUGUAGUUUGUAUCCAUCAGUAUUUCGUUUCUAAUUUCCAUGAAUGAUGGUUUUUUACAUGGUGCAUAGUAAUUUAUGUAUUAAUGCAUGGAAUUGAUAGUGUAGGCUAGACAUGGUCAAUUUUGUACACAAUGGUGUGCUUGUUACAAACAUAUUGUUAUUCAGCCUUUUUUUUUCUUUUUGGAUUUUUGGCUGAUAAAAACAUAGGUAUCUGCUGUUAAAGCUGGGCGAAUUCAAGUUGAUGGACGGAUAGUGCCUAUUUCUUAUGUGGUUCAACCAUCGCAGAAAAUAAGCCAUUUCGUGCACAGGUAAGUUUUGCCUAGCUUUGCCACCUUGCUUGUUGGUUAAUUUUCUGCCUGUUCUGUCAUGCUUUUAAAAAGGUUUGGCUUUUUGCUUAUUAUAAAUAAAUAUUCUUUUGUUGUUUAUAAGAGGUUGUGCAUAUUGAAUUUUUUCUUGGAACUUAACCAAUUGAUGUUACGGAGGAUGUAGGCAUGAACCACCUGUGAUGGCGUGGGAUAUAGAGAUUCUACAUAGGGAAGCAGAAGUUUUAACUGUUUCUAAGCCUGCAUCUGUUCCUGUAAGUUACUUAAGAGUCGAAUGUGUUGGUUCUCUGCUACUGAUUUAGUCCCCUUGUUUUAUGAACCUAUUCACUCACACACCUUCUUUGUUGGGAGAGUGAGAGUUUGAUGUAUGAACUAGGGCUGCAAAUGAGUUGAGUUUUGGCCUAAUCGAGUCGAGUCGAGUCUUGACUCAAUUUUACCAAGCUCGAGCCUACUUAAGCUUAAAAAGAUAAAAAAUGAUUAUUUUAUUUUUAAACAAUAAAUAAAAUAGAAACUUUUUUUUAACAAAUAAUAAAAUAUUAGGGAUAUGUAUAUGUAAUUUCACUAUUAAAAUAAAAUAAAAAAUAUAUUUAUAUAAUCGAGUGGCUCGUGAGCUAACGAGCUAAGUUUUCUGUGCUUGAGCUCGAGCUCGAGUCGAGCUUUGACUGAGCCGGCUCACGAGCACUUGCGAGCGGCUUGACUCGUUUGCAACCUUAGAUGUAUCCUUAUCUUCUAUUCGUGUGACAUGCUCAUUUAACAACCUGUGGCAUGCUUAAUGGUUUAUCUCGGUUCAGUCCUCAAUUAGUUUGAUGUGAAUUGGUCAUUAAAUGAAUUUUUUGAACCACAUCCUUCGAUUGUCUCUGAGCUUAAGUGUGCUUCUGCUUUAAAGAUUCUUUAUCUUAGCAGACAAGUCUGUUGAUAUCCUUGUCCAAUUCUCUGUAUGUUGUGCCACACCUUUUUCCACAUAAAUGCUGCAGAUGGUAAACUAUAACUUUUGGCACUAUAUCUAGUUUGUUUCUUGGCGCUGGUUCUCACUUUGUAAGUUCACCCACCAGGAUGAGUUCAUACCUGAUGUUGGUUUUUAAUAGUUGCACUAAACCUGUGUGUUUCCUUUCUCUUUGUUUCUAUAUUCUGGUCUCUGCUGCAUAAGUCAUGCAAACUGCAUUUACUUUAUUUGGUUUUCCCUUAUCAAAAGAAGAUCCGGUCACAUAUGAGUACAGUUAACAGUAUGGUGGCCACCUGUUUUUGUUUAAAGUUUGUCCAGUAUCACCUGGAAGAUAUCUGCUUUUUGCUGUUUGGAAGCACAUACAUCCUAAGCAUUUAAUGGGAGAUCAUGGAAAUAAAUGCAGGAAAAUAUCUUACAGUGGCUAAUAUAUGUGGAAAAGUCAGCCCAUAUACAUUUGAUUGUCAGCCUAUUUGCUAUAUAUACCGUGAUUUGGUAUAUAUGGGCUUUGCUUUCUCUUAAAAUUAUAAUUUAAUGACUUAAAGGAGGAUAUCCGGCAUUAUUCGGAAAAAAAAAGGGAGAAAGGAAACAUUUCUUGAAUUUGGAAGAAUAUUAAUCCCAUGAAGACCUGCUGUAUGGAUAUUCAGUGGUAUUAUCUAAGUGCAUGCGCAAUGAAGCAUCAUUAGAUGCCUAGACCUAACCUUUAAGUUACCUAUAAUUAUGUAGGUGCAUCCAUGUGGGCAAUAUCGUAAAAACACAGUUGUUGGAAUCCUUCAGGCAGAGCAUGGCUUGGCGCCAUUAUUUCGUAUCCAACUUCUUCUUUGGGAGCUUUAUGAACCCGCUGCUGAUUCUCCAAAGCUUUCUUGGUUAAGCAAUUAUGAACUGAGUGAUAAGUAACAUGUCCCUUGCAUCCCGGUGCAGCUUUGCAGGGCACUGAUUUGUUUGCACGGUGUUUCUUUAACUUUAGAUAUCAGCAAUUCAUCGUCUUGAUCGCCUGGUCUCCGGACUCCUUAUUUUGGCAAGAAGUGCUUCUAGGGCUGACCUUUUCAGGCAACAGGUGGGUUGAAGUGUUUAAUUGUUUGAUUCACUUUCUAGUGAUAUGAAAACUUUUCCUUUUAGUGUAAGGCUACGGUUAAGUAUAAAAUCAGUGCGUAAUAUGUAUUAUUUGAACAUCUCUGUUUUGCCUGUAAGUGGUGCACUCAUAAUUUGCUUUGUUGUUGUACUUCCACUCAAUGGUAGCAUGAAAGUGGAUAACCAAGGUAGGGUAGGCCCCUUUUGGUUUUGCAGAAAAUUCCUAUUAGUUAUUAGUUGUGUUAUAAUUUUCCAUCCAAAUCUGUACUUUUCAUGCAAUUGUUUAGUAGGAGUUGUCUCUUAUAGUUGCACUGUCCAUAAAUGUUUAUGUAUAGAUUUUUUAUUGCUUCACUACUCUUGGAUGGAUCUACCUGCCUGUCUAAAACAAGACAAUUUAUGUUAAAGCAUGUUUGAUAUGGCUAUGGUCAACAUUGCUGCUACAAGUCUACAUUCAAAAUCUGAGCACAAAAAAUAUCUUGAUCAACCAAUUCAGCUUACCCUUUUGGUGACGAACUACAACCAUGGAUCUUGCGUGCAGCCUUAUGCUUGGUAGUUCAUUUCAUGGCUUUCCAUUGCCAACUGCUAUCAAAAAAAUGAAAUGCUUUUUCUGUGAUGAUUUAAAUUCUAUGGAAAAAAAAAUCAUGAUUUUGCUUGUUGAGUUUAUCAUUUUCAUUGUAAGGGUUUAUGGUCUUCUUUGAGUACUAAAAGCAUGAACAGAUAUAAGGAGAGAGGGAAAUUUGUAAUAGCAGAAAAUUGCAUAUAGAAUCUAUUACGACAGCAUGACCUCCCAUAUCCAAAUAAGCUUUGCAACAUGUUGAUUCUUCCUUAUGAUUAUCUCUUGUAUUUUUUUUAUUAUUCUAUAUAGCACUGCUGCUGCCAACUUCUUGAGAGAUGUUCUUGCUUCAUGUGCCAUAACUUUCCUUUACACUGGUUAUAGAAGGUUGCAUUAAUUUUGGUGGUACUCUUGAUUCUGUUUUGAGAAACCACAAAUCAAUCUUGAAUGAUUAAUUUUUUUCUGUACGGUUUUCAAAAUUUCCUGUAAAUUGGUUUUUGCAUUAAUUGCAUUUCCACAAUGUUAUCAAAUCAGGACUCAUAUUUUUCUAGUCAAAGUGGCUUAUAAGUUAAUCACUGUGUCUACAUAAUUAAAAGGGUAAAUUACAUUUUACCCCCCUGUGGUUUACCCUUUUUUUACAUAACCCCACUAUGGUUUCAAAAGCUAUACAUAACCCCCUCAUGGUUUGGAUUAAAGUGUCAAAUUAACGGAAAUAGUCACUCGUAACGGAACUUCUAAAAAUGUCGAAAUUACCCUUAUAAAUAUAUGACACAUUAACCCCCUAUGAUUUUUAUAUUUUACCAUAUAACCCCCUUAUGGUUUAAUACUUUACCAUAUAACCCCCUUAUGAUUUUCAAAAUAUACACAUAACCCCCCUUGGUUAAUACAUAAAUUUCAACCUUACAUAAGGGUAUUUUUGACAUUUUAGGUGACGCCGUUACGAGUGACUACUUCCGUUACUUUGACACUUUAAUCCAAACCAUAAGGGGGUUAUGUAUAGCUUUUGAAACAAUAGGGGGGUUAUGUGGAAAAACGCUAAACCACAGGGGGGUAAAGUGGAAUUUGCCCUAAUUAAAAUAUGGAAAGAUAUACAUUUUUCUUGAAUUUACUGGUUGUAAUAAUGUUUUGGUUGAAAAUAAUGCUAGAGUACAUUGAAAGGUGUUGAAGAUCACUUUGGAGAGCUCUGAGGUGCUUCUCUAUUGGAGUUUGCUUCCGCAUCAUAGAUGUCUUUUGUAAAUUUCCAGUCUUGUACUCACUUUGGGUGUUCAUUGGUUUGAAAUAUGUUUUGUUUGAGCUUGUUAAUUAUGGCUUUAGACAUUAUAUAAUUCAACCUUCUUCUGGGAGUAUGAUUAUUUAUUGUAUGUUGGCACAGGAUACAUAUCAAUAAAUCACUAGUAAAAGACUUUCUUCCUCUUUAAUUCUUUGUGGAAAGUCUCAUUUUCUUGUUGUAUUAGUAAUCUUAUUGGAAAGGCUUAAAUGCAUGUGAGAAAUUUCAAUUAGGGCUCUUGCCAUGAGUCUAUUUAUCUUCACUUGGAAGCACAUAAAGUUAUGGUGUUACUUGUGAGCAUAGUUUGCGUAGGAAAGAGAAAAGAACUCUUUUUUUUGUUUUGUUUUGUUUGGUUUUGGAGUUUGAAGAGAAAAAUGAGGAUAAAGGACUAGAAGUGUGUUUUACAAUUUUUGUUUUUUUUUGUUUGUUUAUCUUUCUCUGUGACUAUCUUGAUGUUUGUUUGAUGGACAAAAAUGGCAUUGUUUAGAAUUUUUAAUUAAGUCAAAAUUCCUAUCCUGUCUUCCUGAUACUGGGAAGAAAAUGAGGGACAAAAAUUUAGCCCGUUUGGAAUUGGAGAAAAUUCAAUAUUUUCCAAGCCUUCUUUAUCUUAAAAAAGUGCUUCUUUAUUUUAUCAUGGGUUAAUUACAUUUCCCUUCCUUGAGGUUUGGACAUAUUACUAAAGAAACCUUGUAGUUUGGCAAAAUAACAAAGAACCCCUAACAGUAACAUCUGUUAAUUUGGUCUAAUGGAGCUGGUUAAAAGUCCAAAAUGCUUUUCCUAGAACUGGGAAUUAUCAAAACAUCUGUAAAAUGCUAAAAGACUCCUCUCCCACCGUGAUGGCUUUACCCAAUAAUCACACCCGCUUUCCUUUCUCUCCUGCUCACCAUGAAAAAGAUUGUAAACAAUUCUUUCUCAACAAAUAUGUUACAAUAGGAAAAACACAAGAGAUAACCCAAUUGGAUUUGCUCCAAUCAUGGUUAAAAUUCAUAGUGCAGAAACCAAAGUCUGCAAAAGCAUCUGUAAAUUUUCAGGUGAACCAUACAUGGUUUGGGACCUCUUCAUCUACACCCAAAAGCCACCUGUAAUACCAUCAGAUCAAUCUCCUUAAUUUGCCUCCAAUUGGUUAGCCAUUAAUUUGUUAAAAAAAACCCAUAAAAUAUGCCCCCUCUCUCGCGAAAUUUUAUUUUCAACAAAUACCACAAAGUUGGUCCUCUUCUCUUGUAUGAAUAUGAUCUGCCAUCAGUAGAAUCAAGAGGAAAUCAUAAUUUGUAUAGAUUUGGUUUGUAAGGAGAUUUUGUAGGGUAGUUUUAUUUGGUAGAAUUUGAAGGAAGUUGCUUUGCUAAUUUUUGGUUGAUGUUCUUAAAGGUAGGGACGGAGCUAUGGACUUAAGGAGAUUGGGCAGGGUUUGUGGAGGGUGGGCAAGGAUGAAGUUUGGUGCUGGAAUUUGUGGAGGGUGGGCAAGGAUGAAGUUUGGUGCUGGAAUUUGUGGAGGAACGACGCUAUGCUAUGUGGGGACUAGGGAAUUAGGGAAAAAUGAAGAAUAGAAAAGAAGAGAACUCUGUGGAGGAUAUUUUGGGAUUAUCAAGAUUUAUUUCAGCUGACAUCAGUGUUCUCUUUAACGCUCAAGACAGCAGGGGAAAUUUGAUAAACCUUUUAACAAUCAAAGGAGUUGACUGUUAUCUAGUCAAACCACAAGGUUUAUUUGGUAAUAUGGCUAUACCUCAGGGGAGGUAAAUGUAAUUAAUCCUUUUAUCAUUGACCUAAGCCUGGGCGUAUGAGGCCUUCAUUCUUUGUUUUGCUUCUGAGAUGGAUGAUAUCAGAUUCUGAUUUUUUUUUUUGCUUUAUUUUCUAUCCAACUUAUAUUCCUAAAUGAGAGAUAUUCUUUAUUCUCUCUCUAAAACUUUUCUUCAUUCAAAUAAGUGUUAAUUUCAUUUUCAUUCUUACUGAUAAAUUAAUGGCCUCAGUGGAAUUGUCAAACCUUAGGCAUGCAUUGCAGAAACCUGAUUCACUGUUGUUUAUAAGUUGGACUAUUUUCUUCUUGGUGGUCUGUACUUAAUGUUCUUCAACUUAUUAUGGAGCCUGUUUUGUAGAUUGAAUCAGGCAUGGUGCAGAAACAGUACAUAGCUAGGGUAGAUGGAGUGUUUCCUGAGGAUGAGGUACGUUAUUUUUUUUUUUGACAUUAGAAUUUGGUGGUGUUUUUCUUGUUCUAAGUGCUUGUUUGUGUCUAUGAUGUCAUUCUAAACAGCAAGUUGUGGAUGCUAACGUGAAUUAUAAUGCUCGAGAAGGGAUGAGCACAGUGGAGGUACGUAUAUGUGUUAGGUAAUUAGUUUUAUGGAGCUGUCUUACCUAUCCAUAGUUGAAUUAGAUCUAGCUAAAUUCUUGUGCAUCAUGUGGCAUGUUUGUUAUUCUCUUCUGACUUUAAGGACCUUGAGAUAUUGUUUGUUCUUUUGAGCAAGUUACAUGCAAAACUUCUGUUGUCUACAGAAUGGAAGAGCUUUGUUUAAAAUAAUUGGAUUAUUUCACCACCACAUGGGGUGAAAGAACUUCUGUCCUAGGAUGUAGAAAAGCUCCUUUCUUUUGUACAAGAAAUUUGUUGAAAUGUCUUAGUUAAAUUUUCCUUUUCUGUUUAGCUUUCUACUUUUCUCAUCCUCUCUGCAUUUCAUCCCCCUUAGUCACAAGAAAAGACAUGAAACAUGGGAAGUGAAGUGCAAGCAUGCGGGUGGGCGUAAGAGAGAGAGAAAGACAAUACCUGCUACUGCUAGAUCUUCAGCAUGAAGAAAUUGGGUGUUUUCAUUUUCUUAUGGCUUUAUUUGGGACAUUAGGUGUUUUUAUUAUCAACCCAUCAGAGCUUUAGUUUUGUUUUAAUGGUGAUGUACCACUAAAAGGAUUUUCAAAAAAAUCUUUUUGUUGUGUUAGUAUCUAUACUUAAAAAGUUGUAUUAUGGAUUUGUUUUGAACUUGAUGCUCUUUCAGGUAAUUUUGAAUAUGAAGCUUUGAUUUCAUGAUGUCCUUUUUGAAAACAGAAUAUUGCUUAUAUGACUUUUAUCUCCUGAUAUUAGUCUAAGAAUGCUUCAGAUGUGUUCCAAUAGCCUUGCCCAAUGGCCUUGAAAGCGUCUUGGUUGUUUGAAGCAUUGAAUUUUGACAUCAUUUUGUCGCCUAUACCUGAAAAAUGUUGUUUUGCAGUUCCUCUCAGUUUUCAGUAUGCAAGUGUUUUAAAGAAUACCAUUAAAAUACUUGGGAUAAACCAUUAAAGACCACUCUUAGUUUUUAUGGUGAGGUCCCAGAGUUACUGUGCAUUUGAUUGCCUUUAUUGUAGACAACCAGAGGGACAUUAAUGCAUGCACUAAUUUAAUCUCAUUUCUGCUGAGUGCAUCUUCCAUUAGUCCUGAUUAAACUGUUGAAAAUAUAAAGUAUUACAUUUUUGGGAUUGAUUUUUUGCCAACUUGUACUUUGUAUACCUAUGUGAUUUACUUUGACAUCAAGUACUAUACUCAGGUAAAGCCUGGUCAUGCAGGUAGGAGAUGAUUAUAUAAAUGGCAAUGCUUCAGCUAAGGGAAAGUCUGCUUGCACCAAAUUUACUCGGAUCAAUACCAAUGGGAGUCAUAGCAUAGUCCUUUGUGAACCUAUCACUGGUAGAACACAUCAGGUAAACUGCUUCCUGUUUUCAAGGACUUCUUGAUUUUUGUUUAGAUUGGCUCAAUCAACUGGUUGCCACUUUAAGUUGUCUAAUUUUGACAUCUUUAUCUUUUGUUAAUCACUUUCUUGCUUUGGAUUGCCUUCAUUCCUCUUGUUAAUAGUUGAACUUGAUGAAAAGCGAAUUUUCUUUACUGUUUUCCGAAUUUUUUAUUUACAAGGUGAUGUUGGAAAAUUUGUUGAAGAUUUGCAGACACGAGAAACAGACAGGCAAAAAUAGCAAUAUAAAGCUGCAUAAAAGUUAUUGGAGAAGGCUUCUAGGGUGUUAUUUUCCAAGAAAUUUGAAGAAUUGUAGUUGAAUAGCAUAAUAUGAGGGUGUGCUGAGCAGUAUAUACCCAAUUUACUUUGGCUAGAGUAGCCACAUCCUUGCAGAUGAAAAAAAGCAACUAUACUCAUGAACAAGCUAACACUUUAAGGGAACAAAGACGUAGCUGAAUACCUUAAGAAUAGUACAACAUUGACUUAGGUUACUGCAUCACAUGUUUUCCUUUGCAAAUUGGUUGGAAGUACUCUCAAAUUGUAGCCAUGGGAUUCUAAUCAUACCGAUGGACUCUGUUUGGGCAUAAAAAUGAAAAUGUAUUUGGGUAAAAUGCACCAAUUGUCUCUCACAUAUUAUUGAUGUAAAAUUUUAGUCCCUCAGAAUCAAAACAAGCGACUUUGGUCCCUACCAAAUAAAAAGGCUCAGUUUUGGUUCUUGGUCAACUUUCUGGUGAAAUUUUGGCCUAAUUUUUGUCCCUUGUUUGUGGAUUAUUAGGUUCAAAUUUCUCAUGGGUCUUGAUCUUUAGGAUCCUAGAAAUGAUUGGAUGUAAUUUAAUUACAACUUUGUUCAAGUCUUAUGGAGAAAAUAGAGUAGGAAAUUUGGAGUUUUGGAUUUCUCACUUGAUCCUUUGAUUUAUGUUGAUGAUUUUUGUUUGAUUUGAAGUUUAGGAUAUGUUUGAAAUGAUUUGGGAACUUGAUGGAUGUCAAAAUCCAGUAUUAAGAUUUGUUGAAAUAGCUUUCGAUGAGUUAGACCAGAAAAUCUGCAAAACCAAAUGGGAAGGUGAUGGGAUCCGACAGAAUCCGGCCAAAAUUCAACCAGAAAGUUGAACAGGGACCAAAAGCGAGCGUUUUAUAUUUGUUAAGGACUAAAAUAGGUCAUUUUGAUUCUGAGGGAUUAAAAUUUCACAUGAAUAAUAUGUGAGAGACGAUUGGUGUAAUUUUUUGACAAUGUUGUAACUAGAUCUGAUUGAAUUUCACAUAUUCCCAUUUUCUGUUACAGAUACGGGUCCAUCUGCAAUGCACAGGUCAUCCUAUAGCAAAUGACAUGCUUUACCUGUCUAAAUCAGUCACCAAGCGCUCAUCUGAGGGCUUAGGUGCAGAUAGAGCUGCCGCUAAGUCGAACCUCUCAGUAGAUCAAAGUUCUCAUCAAAAUCAUAAAGAUGAAGCAGAUAAUGUUGCUGAGGAAGAUUUCAGGAUUGAUCCCAUGUGUACUAAUUGUCCAAAUUUAGCUCCAAAAGGGUAAGAAACAUUGCUUGAUGACAUGUUCUUCUAGGGAAAGAAUUAUUGGUGAAUCCAUAUCUGCUUGCAUCUUUCAAUUGAAGGUUUUUCUAAGUACUCACUCUGAAAAUGAUAACAUCGUAAUUAAACCCAAAAGGAAAGCAUCAUAAUUCAAAUAGUUGUAGUGCUUCCUUUUGUUACUUAGCUUUUGAGCAUGGUCAAAACAGAAACAGAAAACGAAGGAAAAUGUGAGAGAGUAAAGAGAAUGAAGCACAAACUGACAAUACUGGUAAUACAGAAAUACUGAAUGUAUUCGUGACAAGAAGAAGAAUAACAGGAAACCAUUGCAAAGAUGCCACAUUGUUCAACAAUGCACCAAUUUUGGGUACGAGUAAUUUCAGAUUACAAAACUUUGUCUUGUACUUAACUGGAAAGAAAAACUGUGUUUUCCAGAAAUAGUGAGUAAGGUUUAAUAGGAUGUGACUUUUAACAGUCUGGACUUGUGUUUAGUCUAGAUUCACUGAGAUGUGGACUCUUCUAGUGAAUCAGCGUUAUGUGAUGAAGACUAGCUUACUGAUGUAUGGUGACAGCCCCGAGUUACAUACAUUACACGAUAUCGAUAUAGGUAGGGUCACAAGUAUCUGAAUUCCAUCUGGGGAAAUAUAAAUUUCUUUCCAAGAAUCUAAUUUAGCGCUAAGAGUGUAUGGACGUACAAGGGCAAGCCUUAUUCAGUUUCAUCAUUCAAUGCAUAUUAGAUGGUUUAACAUCAUUCUUAACUUGGUUGAGUUUGGUGAAUCCCUUGUUGCAAUUUUUUUUUUGGGGUUCCCUAGGUUGAAGAGAUCUUUCCCGUAGUUAAUUCAGAGAUUAUUACUGCCUGAAAGUCUUGUUGGAUUUUUAGUUGCUUUACCUUCGCUUUGCACUUAUAUUCAGAUAUGAUGGACACGAAGAGGGUUUAUGGCUACAUUGCGUAAAGUAUACUGGUCCGGACUGGGUGUAUGAAUGUCCAUAUCCAGACUGGGCAUUUCUUAGCUAAUCUCUUCCAUUUUCUGCACUCAGCCGUAACAAAAACUCGUCUCCAGUGAAAAGUGCAGGCUCUUUGUCAGAUGAUCUAUAUUGCUUGUUAUACCUAUUAUAAAUAACUUUUCAUUGAGUUCGAACCUGACCAUGUUGGAGAUACAUUUGCGAGUAAUGCAAAGUUGAAGCAAUUUUGUUGUUUGCAGAUCUUACUAUACAUAGUAGCAACGCUGGUGAAAUGUCAAUUUUUUUUCUUUUUGAACCUAAAACAUCUGUUUACUCUUACUUGAUCACGUGUUUUUACUAGAAAAUUUACAAAGAUAGCGUUUGUUUGCAAGUGAGAAUAACUUUCUUGCGGUUAUUUUAGCGUUUGGUUGCCACUUAGCGGUAAACCCAUGGGUCGCACGAGAUAAAAUUUGCUUGUAACUGCAGAAAUUCCAGCAAAACCAAUUAAGAUCCUCGGUGCGACUUUUUUAGUAGCAACUCAGUACCACUCCUGAAAUUAUGUCAAAUGUCCAGUUAAUUUAAAUUAUCAUGCAAUAUCUGAUUUUAAGUUAAAUUAACUGGACACUUGGCCUCAGAUGGAGGAGUGGCAUUGAGUUGUCAUUGGUUAAGUGGCAUCGAGGAUCUGAUUUUGCUCCACUGCUUACUCCCGUUUUGUCUUUGUUCUCGUCCAAUUAACUUUGCCCAUCUUCUUUUCCUUUUAGCCUCAACUAGUCUUCACACAAACACUCAAAAAAGUAUCUGCUAGGUUGUGGUCUUUCUAUCCAUGUUUUUUUUGUCUUUAGCCAAAAUGUUUAUUUUACAUCUAAAUAUCUCACCCUCUCUCUUCCUUGUUAUAAUUAUAACGAUGAGCAGUUGAGUUUGUUCAUCCAAAUAAAUAGCUCGUUAAACAAUAGUUAAUAAAUAAAUUAACAUAAAUUGUACUUAUUGUAUUUUGUCUGGAGAUUGUGCAAAGAUUUUGAUGAUAUUAUUCGGCAGGAUUACACCUAUAAACGAGAGUUACUAAUAUUAAGGGAUAAUUUCAGAAACCUCCCUCGAGGGAGCUAAAUGAAAUUGUUAAAAACCUCAACGGAUGUUUCUGAAAUUAUCCCUAGUAUUAACAAGCUAUACUCGCUAACAAACAAAUAAAUUUGUAUUUUAUAGCAUUUAUUUUCAAGUUAACUGAACACAAACAAGAAAAUUACUAUUCUGAAAAGUAACUGAUGCCCUAUCAGUACUACUACAAUGAAAUUGGGAAAACUUAUGCUAUCAUUACUAACUGCAAUGAAAUUUUUUUUUGAUAAAAUAUCAUAAUAUCAUUAAAAUCUGCACUAAUGAUAGAAAUUACAUCAUUAAACAUACACAGAUAUCAAAGGACAGAUUUGAAGAAAGGAUACUUCAGAUUUGAAGAACAAUAAAAAUUACAUUAUAAAGCUUCAAAUUUAAAAAAGAGAUAAAAUAAUUGUAACUUUAUGAACAUCUGUACAUACUUAAAAUCGUCAGAUUUGUUAAUUAACUGUUUCAAGUCUAGAUAUUAUGGUGAGAUCUGCUGAAUAGAUCCAAGAAAUUUCAGAUCUAAUAAUCAAAAUUUGAGAAAACUCAAAUCUAAUAAAAAAUGAAAAAAAUUAUCAAAAACUCUCACUAGGAAUCUCUAGGAAAGAAUAAAACUCUCACUAAAAGUUUUAGAAGAGAAGAAAACUCUCAUUAGAUAAUCUUAAGAAGAGAAGAAACUCUCACUAGAAAAUCUUAAGAGAGAUUUUAUUGACACAAAUGAAAAAAAAAACUAUAAAGAGGGCUCCUCCUAGGGGGAAAGAUCAGAAAAAUCUGAUCUCUCUUUCAUGGGAGAAUUGAAGAGAGUUUCAGUUCGAAAGCUUUCUCUAGAGAGAAGGAAGAGAGAAGAGGGAUAUAAGGAAGUGUCAGGAGUGGAUAGUUUUUUAACUGCAAUGAAAUAGGGUAGUAUGUAAUGACUGUUCAUUCAAGUUUGGAGCAAUAGAAUUAUUCCUGUUCUCUCACAAGGGAAUAAAUAGUUCAGUAGUGAAAGGAUAUGAACGAAAAUGUUUGUAACUAACUGUUGACAUCUGCAAUCUAUGAAAGCUCAACUUAGAACUGAUUUGCUGUGGAAAAUCAAUAUUACAAAUAAUAUAAAAGUACAACAAAUCAUUCGUAGUUAGGGUCUCGAAACACUAAUAUAAAGCUUUUUCAAGAAAACUUCGUUUUAUCUUAAAAGGGCAUUCCUCCAUUGUAAUUUGUGCUAUAUAAAAGGCAAAUUUAUCUUGAAGAAAAGUGAAUCUAGUUCAAAACUUGAAGUCAUAUUCUCAUACUCUUUAUCACAAGUGUAAAUGGUCAUCCCUCAAUUUUCUACGCCAACAUUAAAUACCUUAAGAAUUGAGUUAUUUACGCAUUACAUACUUCAUCCUUUUUAUGUUUGAUCAUCAUUAGCAUUACAGGUUGAAAUCUGGCGUUUUGAUCAAGCAUGAUUAGUGUUCUCAUGCUUGAUCUUGUCCUAAUUUAUGACCAAAGACUGAGCAAACUUAUAUGAAGCAUCUGUUGGCGGUUAAUUUGAUGGUCAAGCUCUUUAAGAUUCCUUUUUUGUGCAGUACACGCAUUGCGGUGGAAAGAACCUGCGGUUUAGUGUUUCCAAACACUUUCAUCCUGCGGUUUAGUUUUUUGAUAAUUUUUUUUUAUUUUUCUUUUAUUAGAUUUGAGUUUCUUAAGAUUUUGAUUAUCAGAUCUGGAAUUCUCUUGGAUCGAUUCGACACAUGUCACCAUAAUAUUUGACGUUGAAAUAGUUAAUUAGCAGAUCUGACGAUUGGAAACAUGCACAGAUGUCCGUGGAGUUACAAUUACUUUAUCCCAUUUUUUUGAAUUUGGAGAUUUAUAAUGUAAUUUUUAUUAUUCUUUAGAUUUGGAGUAUCCUUUCUUGAGAUAUGUUCUUUAAUAUUUGUGUAUGUUUGAUGAUGUAAUUUCUGCCAUUAGUACAUAUUUUAAUGAAAUUAUGAUAUUUUAUCCCAAAAAAAAAACAUUUUCAUCCUGUGGUUUAGUUUUCCUUCAGGUCUUGUCUUGGGGAUCAUUGGCAUUGAUUUCAUUUGCAAGUGAAGCCUUUCCAAUACUUCUUGCAUGCGUUCUUCUCAGUAAUCUUGGAGCAUCUAUAGAGGUUGCAAAGGAUGCAAAACAAACAAUUGUCCCAGCUGUUUAGAUGCUGCAAUCCGUCUUUGAUAUUUUAUCCAUGAUAUAAAAUUCACCAGGCGAAGUACAGAAAGAGUUCUGGAUCCUUAGAUGAUAUUAAGUCAAAAGUUCAAAACUCUUAGGUGGUGAUUGAUUCACAUUUUUUGGAAUACAAGAUUGGUAUUAGAAUCAGAAACCCACAAUGAAUAUGGGAAUCAGAACGGGUCGGAUUCUAUUAAAACAAUCAGGGUAGAUUACUUAUUACCCCCUAUGGUUUUACAGAAUGCUAGACGGCCCCCUAAGGUUUUAAAAUAACCACAUAACCUCCUGUAAUUUUAUGUAAAGUGAAAAAUAGACGGAAUGCACAAUCAAUUAUAAUGUUUAUACCAAACUCACUUUAAAAGUAUGUGUGAUAAAAUUUUAAUAUCCAUGUAAUCUUCUUAUGAUUUGUAUGAAUAUCCACUUUGUCCCUUGUGAUUUUUAUAUUUAUUCAUAUAAUCUCCCAAUAUUUUUAUACAAGGUAGUUAAACUGUCGAUUAAUUUAACUUUUAAGUAAGGGCACUAUUAAUAUUUCAACUAAUGAUGUUACAUAGAUAUUUUUCGUCAAAUUUUUAUAAAAAAUCAUAAGGAGAUGAAGUGAACAUUUUGAAACAUCAGAGAAGUCGUGUAAUAAUAGAUGAAAGCACAAGGGAUAAUCAAAUUUGAAACUUUAACAAUAAGUAGCAAAUGAUAGUGGACGAUCUAAUAGUUUUAUUUCUAUGGAUUGAUUUUCAUAGUGAAGUGCCAAAAAGUAGUUAUAGGUACCACUAUAACAAGUCUAGCACACAACUCCUUAUCGUAGCAAAGUAAGUGAAUUAAUCAUUGGAGGUCAAUUGAGAGAAUGGUUUCCCAAAGGAACUAUAAAAUCUUUCAAGGGAAAAAAAAAGAAACAAAGAAAACGGCUUUGUGGCAAUCAAUGGGUUCCUAAUCCUCUGAGACCCAAAAGAGGAGUCCCUGGCCUUCAAUCGAUAUAGAUAUAUAGAGGAGCCACUAUUAGGUUUGGUUACAAAAAAUUGAUAAAUGAGAAUAAUAGGAUUCUUGUCAACUUAAUAAAGAUAAUAAGAAAACAAAUAAAAAAAACAGGAAGAUACAAAAUUUUAUGUGAUUCGAUUGAAUUGACUUACAUAUAUGGGUGAAGGGGCAGCAGAUUUACUCUAACAAAAUAGAGUACAAAAUCUAGGAAAUAAUUCCAAAGUCUAAAGGCACCUAAAAUUGAAACACGCAAGAGGCAAAAGAGUAUAAAUAGUGCAAAAUGUUUAACGAUCCUAGGACCCGCUAAUUUACUUUUUUGCUUUGAUUCCUAACCAAAAUUUCUUUUAAAUCAGGGCAUGAGCCGCCCAAAACUCUCUUGGGUUGGUACCUUUAGCAUACUUAAAAUUAUUUAAAUCCAAUAUAUUUAUAACCACCAAAAGGAGAGAUUUCUUUGUAAAAAUUUUAAUAUGGGAUACAAAGGCAAACUCAAUACCCAUUUUGGCUUAUAAUUCUAAACCAAGUGUUCAUUCUUAAUCUAAGAUUGCCCAACUAAGAGAAAUUUUAUUCUUCUAAUUAAUAUUUCGAAUUCACGCAAUCCUACAUGCUUCCAUCUUAGCUGCUGACAACAGAAUCUUCAACUAGGUUUUAUUAGAAUUUACACGUUCUAAUGGCCCUGAUUAGAGGUGGCUAAUUGAAUUCAUAUCCAUUUAUCCCCUCAAUAAACCAAGCUUAAAUGGAUUUGGAUGAAUAAAAAAAUGCAGAACGGUUUUAAAUAGAUGACCAUUUAUGACCAAUUAAAUUGGUGGAAUCAGACUAGUGAAGAGGGAUCUUUAUUGAAACCAGCUGAUGGAUUGGAGAAAGACGUUCCUAUUUUCAGACUUCAUCCUAAGUAAAAGAAGAAGUUUCCUCGUGGGCCUGCUUGAAUUUGAAAAGAGAAUAUGUUUUUAGACAAUCACAAUCACUGAAAAUAAAAAUACAUGUAGUCAAACAUUUGAUACCGGUUUACAAUUUAAGAAAAAUCUUUUUCUUGUCUUUACUUCAUUUUAUCUUGUUUUCCUUUUCUUGAUUUUCGCGUAAUUGCUAACUGCUCACAUGUUCUUUGUUUUCAAUUGAAUAUGUGCUAAUUAUUAAAUACAUCAGAACCAAAAGAUGCGACUUGUAACCACAAGUUGCUUUUUUUUUGCCCUUUUUUUUUUUUGAUAAGAUACUUUGUCUAAAUUUCCAUCCCAACACUCGGGUAAAAAAUUCUUUUACACAUAAUGGAGAUGGAAAAAGAAUCGCUCUAAUCUUUCCUUUCUCUAAUUGGUAAUAAUAUGGGAUACAUUUUAAGUAUUAAGAGUCAGAACAUUUUGAUAACAUUAAUUUUAUUAGAUUUAUUGGAUUGCAUUCUAAUAAUUUUCAACAAAUACAUUUAGUGGAUUACAUUCUAAUCGUUUUAACAAAUUAUUAAUUUAAUAAAUAGGAAUAGAAUAAGUUAAAAAAAGAGCUAUGAUAAAAGAAUUUUUGUCAAACACCAUCAUCAACUAACCAUGAAAAAAUUCCAAGCAAAAACUAGUCUAGUAUAGAUGAAGAGAUAUUGUAUGGACUGGAACUAAGAAAUAACAUACACUACAAUUCAAAGGCAAUAUACACGGGAAUUAAAAAAGACCACAAUAGAAUGCAUGGAAUCUCACUAGCCCUAAGACUAGUAAAUGGUAAAAGGGGUGGAUUAUGGUUUUAUUCUAUCCGUUUAAAUCCAAACCAUUUGUAUCCAUUUAUUAAAUGAUUGUAACUGGAUUGAAUUAAACUUAUCCACUAUCCAUUUAAGAAGAUCCAUUUAUCAACCAUUUACCCAUUUUACAGCUUAUAGCCCUGAUGAUACAUUUUUUAUUGUGAUACAGAUAAAAAGGCAAAAUAAUAUUGCAAGUGAAACAGAACCUUGACCUAAUUCUUUCAGUUGUUUGUUCUCAUGUGAUCCAGUUGGCUUUUGCCAUCAAGUUUGGUGCUUAGCAUCAGUCUGACAUAGUCCUCCAAUCCUAAUGUCUUGUAUUGUGCUCCAUUUUCUUUGACAAGCUCCGGUAGAGGACCGAUUUUUGCUGUCAAAUUUGCAAUGUGAAAUGCAGCAAUUGACAGCCUUUCUAUCUGGAAAUCCACAACAGCUCUAUGCUCUAUGCUUCUAUAUUCCCCAUUACUCAUUAUCUGCAUUCCACCAAAAAUAAAAGCAACAUGAACUGAAAAGCAAGUUAUAGAUGUUCUUCAGAAGCACUCUUAACUUCUUUUUUUCCAGUUGUUUAGUCUUUAUCUAUUCAUGUAUCGAGUUAUUAUCUUUUUAUGGUUAGGUACCUCCAUCAUAUCACCAAUGUUGACUAUAAUUGCUCCAGGAAUGGGUUUAAUGGGCACCCAUGUAUUACUUUUCUUGAUUUGCAGGCCUUGAACAUCAUUCACUUGAACUAAUAAGGUCAGUCCUGUUCCAUCAGAGUGUGGAGAGAGGCCAAUAACUUUGUCUGAUUGCCUGCAGGGUGGAUAGUAAUUCAUUCUUAUUCCUUGCGUGCCGUCCUGAUAAAUGCUGCAUAGUUUGCCUGGCUCCAACCCAAGAUUCAACUCGAUAAGUUUGAAGAGGCUCAUGCAAACCUUGUGAAUUUGAAGUGAGUAUUCAUCCAAGGUUGAUCUGACAUCAUCGGAAAAUUGCAGUUAGCAUUGUGAUGAAAUUUUUGCGCACAACUUUUUGGCUUUUUGUCGCCUAAAAAAAUCCUCGUCGCUUUCUAAUCGAAGCAAAAGAUGCUUCAUCAUAACGACUAAAAUGUCUUAUGUUUUAUAAUUGUGCGCAGAUAGAGGAUAAAUUCCCAUGACUAAUGGGAGAUUAUCAAAGCAGAAAGGACCUUGAGUCCUUGAAAACAGGACUAGCCAUCAAGAUUGAUUAGGCUAUUGAAGAGACUGAUUAUAGAGCAGUAGUUAUUAUUAUUUUUUUUAAAAAAAAAUUCUUUUAGCGGGGGUGCGGUUGAGUAUAAAAAGUGGGGACGGAGAAGAGUAGAAUUCAACCCAUGACCUCUGAUUCCUUUUCUUUUUUUUUUUUUUUCAACGACAACAUUUCAUUCAUAAAUUUGACAUGGUCCAGAGCAACUGCCCUUACAAUCCGCUUGAACUAACUCAAGCAACCACACUGGGAAGUCAGACUUCCAUUCAGCCGUAUUCUGCAAGCUUAAUGCUACUUAGCUAGACCAUGACCUCUAAUUCCUUGAUCUUCAAUUUUAGCCACUAGACCAAGGCCUCCUUGGCCAAUAAUAAAGUAAGAUAAUUUUGCUGCAAAUGUGGGGGAAAAUUGUGAUAAUGUGUACUAUUCAUGGUUUACCUAAAAGAUGUUGGCGAAUUAGGCCAGAAUCUCAAGUUUCUUUGAGAAACUGGCAAUGAAUUGAGGAAGAGCAUGUCCCCCCAGUCAAGCUUUUGAUCCUCUGAUACAACAAAUGCUUGGCCAUAGCCUUCAAUACGAUUUGGUUCUUGUGCUCAAGCCAUUUUCUGCUGUAAUGGCAGCUUGAAGAAAUCCUCUGUCACCACCUUCAUUUUCUCGAUUACCAUUGAGGCCCCAUGGUUGACUAACUGUUGCAGGAUUACUCAUGGAUCGAUAGUUAAUUCGCAAGGGAAAUUAAUCGCACUAUCUAGGUAUUGCAAGUUAUUCUAAACGAGCAAAAUUUCGUACAAGGAAAUUGUGCCUGGCAAAAGUCUGUGAUAAACUUAACUGAUAAGGUAAUAUACAGAAUUUUCUUGAAUUUACCUGAAAGAAACCCCACUCUUUACAUGCCUGAUGAAGUUUUGCCAUUUCAUUUUGGUAUUUUGAAUGACUAGUUGCAAGUUUCUCCAUGUCAAUGACUGGAACCUGUGAAGGAUCAUCGGUUGAAAUUUCAUCAAGGAUCAUUUCAGGCCGGAUGUAUCGAUGCGGGAUCUCUUUGGAGCAAUUAGAAGCUAGUUCUUGCACAUUCUCCACAGGGAGAGAACCACCAAGGUCAGCUCCAUUUAUGGCUACCUCAGUUUCCAUCGAUCAAUAAUGUCCCAGAUGUCAAUCACCAUUCCCUUAGUGCUGUUGUUGUUUGAUCGAUCUUUGGCUUAAUUGUAUGACGAGAAAGAAAUUUUGCUGUCUACAACUAUGUACUUAGAUGGACAAGAGAAUGCAGCAUUAAAAGUAUAGAAUUAUUUCCAUUGUGGACUCCAAACUAUACCUCCUUUUCUAUUCUUAAACUUAAAAUUGUCUCAUUAUAGUCCAAUUAUUGAUGGAAUUAUGCAUGUGUCUUUCUUUAAUUAAUUCAAUGUUCCAUAAUUUUUUAAUGUUGGACAGGUCAUGAUUCUCCAUUACUAGCUCAAUAUUGUGCUAGGCUUGUCUGGUCCAGCUCAUUUGUGGGCCAAACCACAAAACAAAUCCCGUUAGGUUAAAAUCAAAUUUGACUUGGAAAGCUUGACUUUUCUUUCUUGAAAAACAAAGGACAAAAACUUCAAUCAAGAAAUUAAUCAACAGGAAAAAAGAGUAGCCACCAUUUUUUGCCUUGUCUUGGUGAGGAACGAAGAGAGAGAAAUAACUUCAAGAUCUUGAUUUGAGGGUGAUUCGAAAUCUGAUUGAGACGAAAUUUUGUCCACGCGAUUCUCUCGUCAAACUCUAUCCAUCUAUUGGUUCAGAUUUUUGGAUUUCCUCUUCGUUUGGUAACACCCUUCUAAACCUACUUCUUUGAUAAUUGUAGGUUUUUGGGGUGAUUUUGUAACGAUUUAAUUUGGUUGAUAUUGGUGAUAUUAUUGUCAUCUGGAUAUUCUAGAUAGAUCUGUGCAUUUCCAUUAUUGUGAUAGUCAAGAUUUUUUGACUGGAUUAGAUCUCAUGAUUUUUUCAAUUUGGAUUUUUACGUAAAAAUCUUGGUGUCCUAUACCUUUUAUUUUUCUAUAUUUUAUUAUUACUGUUGGUAUUGUUAUUUGGUGAUUUGAUUUAUUCCUCUUUUAAUUGAUAUUUGGAAAAAGAGUAAUUUGUCCUGAGUUAACUCGGAUAUUGUGUGUCCGCACCAGUACUCCUUUCCCAACAAAGUGGCAUCAGAGUAGAUAGGUUGGGUUGCUCAAUUGUACAGGUUAAAAUGGAGGACUCAAAUAGUGGUUGUAUGAUCAAAUUAAAUGCAACUAAUUAUUCGACUUAGAGGUCUAGAAUGGAAGACUAUUUGUAUUCUAGAGAUUUGUUUGAUCAUGUUAUAAGAGAUAUGGCUAAAACAAAGUGACAUAAGUGAUGAUAAAUGGACAGUUAUGCAUAGGAAAACUAUUGGUAAUAUUAGAAAGUGGAUUGGAGAGAAUAUCUUCCAACACUUUGCUAAUGACACCAGAAUUGCUGUAUUGUGAAAAAAGCUUGAGAGUGUGUACGGACAGAAGAUCGGUUUGAAUAACGCUAGUUGUCUGAAGCAGAUUACUCGGAUGAGAUAUAAAAAUGAGGAAGAUAUGACUGAGCACUUGAGUAAUUUCUAGAGAUUGAUAAACCAGGCAGCUACGUUGAAUUUGAAUUUGGAUAAUGAGGUGUAGACUUUAUUAUUGUUCAGUUCACUAUCAGAUAGUUGGGAAACCAUGGUGGUCUCCAUCAGCAAUUCAGUUCCUAAUGGUGUGUUGACCAUAGUUAUUGCAAAAGAAGCCAUGAUGAAUGAAAAGUUUAGGAGGACGGAACAAGGAAUUAUUUGAGUCCCAAACCCUGGAGAUAGAAAAGAAAGAAAGAGAAGAAGCAAAAGCAGAGGACUCCACAACAGGAUUGACAAAUCCAAAGGCAGUUCUAAGUUGCGAAAAAAUAUUGCAUGCUUUUAUUGCAUAAAGAAUGAGUAUUAUAUGAAGGAGUACAGAAUUUUAAAACGGGAACAAACUGAGAAAAAAGGUAAGUUAAAUGAAAAAGAUGAUGAGGAAACUACACCAGUUGUGGCAGCUCAUGAUGGUAUAUUUGUGUUAUGUGAUGAUGAUCAUGUGAAUAUUAUCUGUUAUGACAGUGAUUGAGUAGUUAAUUUGAGUGCAUCCUAUCAUGUUAUUUCUCAUAGGCAUUUCUUCUCAGCCUAUACUGAAGGAGACUUUGUAAUAUUAGGAUGAGAAAUGACGUCUCAUGCAAAGUUGUUGGCAUGAGAGACAUAUAUUUGGACACAGAUAUUGGUGCCAGUUGAUCUCAAGAAAUACGCAACAUGUUAUCCUACACUUUCUUGUGUGAAUGAAAAAUUUGGUGGUUAGAAGAAAAGCUCAAGCAUCAUUUAGAAACACCUUUAUAUCACUUCAAAUGAUCUAGAUUCCAUGGAGUCACAAUUCUUGACUUGUGAAGCCAACUUUUGUCAAGAGUUUACAUUAGAGGACACAAAGAGGUUUGAAAAUUUCCUUAUAAAUAGGGAUUGUGUCUUUCAUUUGAGCUAAGUUUGAGAGAUUGGAGAGAAGAGAAGCACCAUAAAAUAUUGCUCUUAAGCUCCUAGUUCUUUAAUUUAAUGUAGAAUAGGUUAGUAUACUUUAUCCAUCUUAUAUUGUAGUUAAACAAAGAUAAAGUUGAGGAUGAAAAUGGAGUGUUUGGAACUCAAGUGACAUGGGUGACAUCUUUUUUAGCACUUUAUUUCUUGUAUUGAUUCUCAUGUUUAGUGAGUAUUCAAGUUUGGUUCUUGUUGUGUUUUAUUUAUGUCUUGCUAGUUUUUAUACCUAGGGAAUGGAUGAAAUUCUAUUAUUGUUAUGUGGGGUUUUUCAUGGUCAUUUGAGCUUAUUUCUUAUGCAAGUUAUUUAGUACUAUCGUUAUUUCAAUCAUGAUUAACUUGAUCCAUUAAUUGUGAUUAUCUAAAAAUGUUGUAUCAUCAAUAACUAUUUUGAUUCAAUGCUAGUUCAUGGAAGUGUUAUAUUUAGGGAGUUAACUCACUAAUAUACGUUGCACCGUUGAAGCCUUGGUGGCUUGUCUAUGUAAUUUUGUAGAAUUUAAUGAAUCUAUAGCUAGUUUCAUGUCAUGUUAGUAGAUUUGAAGUAGUUAUUGGUAUAGUUGGUACAUCAGCGAUAGCGUGCAUCACGUAUAUUUGAAAAUUACACGAUAACUACCCAAGGUAAAUAAACUUAAUUAACUGGUAAUUUCAUUUGCAUGAGUAGUUGGUAAGUCCAUGACUCUAUGAGUGUCUUAGUUGUUGUUUUUCCUACUUUCAUUGCAUGUUGGUAGAGUAGAUUUACAUGCUUUAUUUGCGGUAGUCUAGAUAAUAGAGAAGUUGAAAAUCACUAGUAGUUGAAUAUCUUUCCUGUGGGAUCGACAUCUUAAUUAUCUCUAUACUUGUCUCGAUCCGUACACUGUCGUGAAAGUGUGGCAAUUGGGCAUAAUUAAUUUAAUAAUUAAAAAUUUUAACUUGUAAGAUGUAAACCACUCCAAGUUUUGGCACUAUUGCUAGUGAAGAUUUGGUUCAAUAUCAAUGUUAAGAAUGACUUUGUUAGUUUAGGUAUUUUGUUGGUAUUUCUUUUGCUUGAAGUUUUGUCUUAGUAGAGUCUUUUUGUGUGUUUUUUUAAUGUUUUGUUUGUGAGUUUUAUUAGCUAUUCUUCUUGAUUAAUUUUGCUUUUGAAUUGAUUGAAAGAAUUUUUAGGUUCUAAAUGAGAGUCAAAAAAGGAGAAUCAAGACUUGAGAGAAAGAAGUUUGGCAAUAGAUCCCAACUACUUGAAUACUUCUACACUAGUGGUAACUAAGGAAGACCCAUAAGUAUGUAUGAAAAUGAUGGUAUUAGUGCAUUAAAUGCUCAAGUAGAUAUGUUGACAUCUAUUCUUGAACAAAAAAAGAUACUAUUGCUUUCAAUUUUAAUCAUAUGAUUUGUGACUUGUGUGAACGUUAUCAUGCAAGCAUAAAAUGUGGAUUACUAUGGUGAAUUUGGAUAUUAAAUUCUUGUUUGAUCAAUGCAAACUUAAUUGGGAUAAUUCUUAUGAAUAUGGUUGGAAUACUCAAUGUAUAUAUAUAGUAAUUCUUCAAUUAUUUAUUAUUAUCAACCCGAAUGUGUGUCCAAUAUGAAUUUAAGUCAUCUUGGAGAUUAGCUAUAGAAAAGUUAGCUAAUACAUUUUUAUCUUAGAAGAAAACUAGUGAAAGAGUAGCUAACGAAUCUAAACCAUCUUGGGAGAUAACUAUAAAAAGGUUAACUAAUCAAAUUCAGUCAAAUUUAGAAAAGUUAGCUAAUGCAUCUAAUGGCCAUUUUGAUAGUGCUAAGGAAAUGCUAGAUGAAUUAGCUUCUCAUUUUAGCACAAUACAAAACUAAUUGCAUGUUUUGUGUAAAGCUAUUGCUUCUAAUAAUAUACAAAACAACCCUAACAUAAAUGACGGGAAUGUUGCAUGUUAAAAUGGAUAUCUUUAUUGUGAGAAUGAUGAAACUAAUUUGCAUUUUAGUGAGGAAAUAUCUACUUCACAUAAUAAUAUCUAUCGAGCUAACUUUCAACCUCAAGAAGCAAGUAUAAAUGAUGUAUAUUUAACUUCCCUUGAGGAAUAGUUUGAAAAUGUAGGUUCCAAAAGUCAUAAUUAUCCAAGAAAGUCUUGCAGAUAUUGCUUUGGUGAGUUCUCAAGUGGUGUAAAUGUAAGGUGAAAUCUAUGAAACAUUUGAGAUAGGUAAGCCACUCUUGACUCUCAAAUCAUUUGGAGAUAGGGUUCAUGAGGUGGAGCCAUUGUUCAUUGACCUGUCACGUUCAAAGUUGAUAGAUUAUUCACUAACGAAGCCACCUUAACAAGGGCACAAGAAUAGUUAAGUUAAUAAUUAUAAAGAAGCGCUUGUUGGAGGCAACCCAACAUUUUUAUAAUUUUAUUCCAUUUUGGUGUAUUUUUACAUUUCUUAUGGGUCUUAAAGUUCAUUUAUUAUGCUUGUUUUGCAGGAGUUCGAGAAAGCAGCAAAAUGUGCUUUUAAGAGGAGCGAAGAUGAGGGAACUUUCAUGCUCAAUUUGCAUUUUCAAGUUUCUAAUGUUAGUUUCAUUGAAAUGAGAAUGGAAUCAUUGAACACAAAUGUGUUUUUGUAAAUAAAAGAUGGUUUUGAAGUGAAAUUACAUAUUUGAAUCAAAGUUGGAAAAAUGACCUUUAUGCAUGUGAAACUAGGUUUUGUGUUAAAAAAAUAGGGGAGAGAAUCAGGAGAAUAAACCAUUUGAUACUUCACCUGAUUUUAGACUGGUUUCUCUUGAAUGAUUUUGCAAAAAACUCAAAAAACCAAUCUAACAGAAAUCAAUCAAUGAAAGAAGCUGAAGGUUCCAUGGUUUUGUGUGAAUAGGAGAAGAAACCAGUUACAGAAUGGGCUGAUGUAACUCAUGAUUCAAAGAUGGUUAUGAGCGUAUGAAGUUUGUAUAUCCUUUUGUUCACAUUGAAUUUCAAUUUAACACUUCCCUCCUUUCUUCUUUACUUCACACAUUCACACUUCCUCUUCAUACCAUCUCCUCAAUCUCCAAUUUCAUCCAUGUUUCUUACUAAAAAUUACCAUAAAAUCAUUCUAAACAUCUUGGGAAGCAACUCCCAUUGAUUUAAAUCCAACAAAAAUAACUUUUGUGGGAUUUUUGCUCAAGUAAUUAGGAUUUUCAAAAUCUAAAAGUCUUGAGUUUGGAGUUGUUUUUGAAGCAAAUUCUUGGGCCUUUUUGCAUCAAUAGCUUAUUCUAGCAUCAUUCUACAGAUUAGAGGUAACAUCUUUCAACUUAACUCCAUAGUUUAUAUUUCAAUAUUUUUGCAUUUCUUGAGUUUUUUUUAUUAACUUUGCAAUGCUGAUUAUAUGAUGCUUUUUGUUGAAGUUUUUGGACUUCCUUGAGUUUAUUACCAUCUAUGAACAUGUCAAAAAGGAUAGAUUAGGAAAAUUGUUGAAGAAGUUAAAUUGUCAAGUUUCUAAUUUGUUGAUCAUUGUAGAUAUUUGGCAUGUGGUGAUGUUUAUUGAUGUUUAUGGGCUUAAAUAGACACAAUUGGACCCUAUAAAUGUUCUUACUUUCUUAACUUUAGAAAUAGGGUGAAAAUUGUGAAAAUACCAAAUUGUCGUUUUCCCAAAAUUUGACAAAAAUGAAUAUUGUGUAGAAAAAAGUACCUAAGUUUCAUUAGGCUUUAUUGUUAACUCCACAUGACCUGAUUAUCAUCUUUAAAUAUCUAUAUUUUGUGUGUAUGGAGAACUUUUGGGUGAAAUUGGCAACUUAAGGAUAAUUUUGCAUAAAUUGGGGAAUGGUGAAUUUGAGCAUUGGGUGAAAUUUGUGAUGCAUAUUUGUAACAUAAAAAAACUUGUUAAACGUACUUUAUACUACCUUUUUAUCUUAUAUAGGUACAAUGGUGAUGCCUAGGACUGUCAAUGGGGUUGGGCAAGCCCGAGCUCAGCUUGUUCAACCCAACAAAAAGCUUGAUGAGCCCGACAUUUUAGUAAGCCGGUCUGAGUUUGAGUCUAAAGACUCUUCCAUAAGCUUUCUUGAGAGCCAAUAUUAGUGAUGCAUAACUGAAUCUCUAACUUUUCUUAUUGGUUGAAUAAAUUUUUGUGUUGGCAUAAUAUUGGUUGAUUUCUUUUUGAUCUACAAACACAUAUCAUCAAGCAUGUUUGGAUUCAAAUCACAAGAUUAUGAAAAAAGUUUCAACUUUUAAAGAUGUAUUGGCUUAUGAUCGCAUGUUUUAUUACUAUUUUUCAUGCAUUUUGAACAAAUUAAAUGUAAAUAUUGUUGAAAAAGUUUUGGUUUAUAUAAUUUUUAAGAACUAUUAUUUGUUCAUGUUUAGUUUUAAUAUUAUAGUCUUGUAAAUGUUAAAUUAGUUUUACAACUUAAUAGUUGUAGUUGUUAUAUUAAGAAAAUUAAGGAGUAAUAAGUGAACUUGGGCUAAACCCGAUUAAGCCUCACAAUCCGAAUAUUAUGUGAGUUGAGUAUGAGUUUCAUAUUUAUGAAUUCGAAACUCAUAACCCGAAACCCGAAAAUGUUCCAAAUUAAAUGAGCUGAGCUUGAACUUAUGAAAGCCCGACUCAUUAGGCCCGAUUGACAGGCCUAGACUGAUGCCUAAGGAGGAGAUGGAGUGCCGAUGACUCUUGUUGAUAAGCUUGCAUUUUGUGUGUUUAAGUGUAUUUUAUUAUAUAGUUUUAAUGUGUUUUAGUCAUUUUUAUAGCUAAUUAAUGCGGGUUCUAGUGAAGUUUACAUUUUAUCGUUUAAAGUGUAAAACAUUACAUUUCUAUGGAUUAAAGUGGUGAAAAUUUUAUGUUUUUAUAGGUUUAAUGAUUCAAUCAUCAAUUGGGGUGAAUUAAGAAGAUAUUUGAAUGCUUGUUGAUAAUUUGAAACAAUAUAAAGAGAAUAUGAAGUGCAAAAUAAUCAAAAGAUUGAAAUGCAAUCAAAUAUAAAAGAAGAGAAAUUUGACAGUUUUGAUACCUGUUGGUAUUUUAGUUAUAUCUUGAGCUAAAAGUAUCAUAGUGAGGUGAUUCUUGAGUUAUUUUGAAAAUAACACAUAUCUCUACAUUUCUUGUGAGACAUCAAAAUCUAGUUCAUGAGUUUUCCUAGUCAAAAAGUCGAAAUACAGUCAUCCAUUUUUGUUGUCAAAAGUUGAAAUAGGGGAUUGAUUAAUCAAGGGUAUUUUGGUCAUUUAUCAGUCUACAGAGCUCCAAAUUAGGUGAUUAUUAAAGCAUUGAAAAGCCAACUCAAAGGGCUGAAACUUUGAUGUUUUGUACAAGAGCUAGUUCAGCCUCUAUUAUCAAGAAAAAAUCAGUUGAAAUUGAUACAAAAACAUAGUAAAGUUGAAAAUUGAUAAAAAAUGAGGAAAUCUGCAAUAAGGCAAAACAAGGGGUGAUACGCAACCUCAUGCCCAUAUUUUAUGCCCACGUAAUCUUCAAACAAACCUGCAACAUACAUAUCAACUUGUUCUGCAUUCACACAGCUAUUCUAGGUUAUCUCCAGCUCAAAAUUUCAGUUGUAUUUGUAAAGAAAAGUGUGAAAACUUGUAGAAGCAUAUUUGGGAAUCUCAAGAUGUAUUUUACAUCAACUUUAACAACUCAUUUGUAACUUGAAUUCCUCUAUAAAUAAGGGACUUGGAGAACAUUUUUCAUAACUGAUGAAUGCCUAGAGACACUAUCAAAAUGUAGUUUUUGCUAGUUUUUCUUAGUUCAUUAAUUUAGUUCAUUAGUAUAGUAUAGUUAGUAUAGUUUAUUCAUCUUGUACUUGUAGUUAGAUAUGGAUGAAGAAUUGAGAAGCAAAGAUAGAGAGUUGGAUCUCAUGUGACAAGAGUGACUUUUCUCUAUCAUUUUUUCUUUUGUAUUUGAUUUCAUGUUUUGUUAUAAUACAAUUUUGGAUUUAUCACAUUUUGCUGAAGUUUAUGUGACGCCCCCACUUCUUCCAAGGGCGAACCCAAGGGUAUUGGCGAGACGCCUGCCUAACUCUCGCCAGGACUCGGUACAAUUUCAAUUCAAGAUUAAAGAUAAAUAACCGAGUAAUAAAAGUUGAAGGUAAUAAAGAAAAGUUGCUUCCUUAAUAAGUAUUCAAUUCUUACAGUUCAAGAUACCAAGUACAUCACGUUACCCAAAAUAUAGAACUUUCAAAAGUCAUCUAAUCAAUUACAUUCAAAACCUUAAUCAAAAGUGCAUCAAGUCAGCUUUUCCAUAAUUCCUUUCAAUUCGGUUCUUGUUAAGGAAAACAAAUCUAAUGGGGUGAGCGAAUACUCGUGAGACCAAGAAAAAAUGCAAAACACAUAGUUCAAUCAACGAUAGCACUUAUACGAGAAUUAAAGUUUUAACAUUCAAGUAGUUCACAUUCAAUAAUAAAAAACACUUGAUAAGGAUACGGGAGCUCUUAAGAGCUAUAUUCCAUUUGCUUCGCCAAGACUCGAUCAAAUACUGCCCCCGCGAUGACACUCCGUCAACCGGGUGGGUAUUAAAUCUAUAGAACUUCACUUACACUUCUCCAUUCACCGUUACACCUCUGCUCCGGCCCGUAUUUCUUUUAUAUAAGGCGAUACAACUCGAGUAUGCCCAGUGAGAUCUCUCCAAUAGAUCAAGUUUAUCACUUUUUUUUUCUCAUGACUCACCAAGCUUCAUGACCAAGCCCAUGCUGGCUUGAGUUGCAAGGUCGACUGAUGAGUUUGGACGUCCCCCACUAUUAUCACUAUAAGUUGAGGAGAUUCACUUCAAUCAACAUAUGUAACCAUAGUAUAAUUCACUUUUGCAACACUUCACUUAAUUCACUUAGCAAUUCAAAUACACUUCACUUAAACGAAAGCGAGUGCGAUAAAGUACACACUCGACUCGACACUUUCAAAAUACUCAAUCAAUGAGAACAAUUAAGCACGUAACAACAUUUCAUACACUUGACACUCACCAAGUCAAAACAAAAGUGAGUGAGUGAGCAAUUAAGUCUUUAGGCAUCCGCUUCGAGAUUCUCUUGAAAAUCUCCUUGAGCGCCUGAACAAAUAACAAGUACUUUCGCUCAUAAUCACAUAUUAACCAAGAAAGAAGAUACACUUAUUUAAACUAAUUGAUGCCUCAAAAGAGAACCUUAACCACUCAAAAAUAGAGGUUCAAAAGUGAGGAUUUAUUGAUACAAGAGAAUCUGAUUUCCUCCAUGAAAUCGAGUUUAAAACGAUCAAUCAAUAUCAAAGGAUAGGGAAAAGUCUCCAAAAACUCAUUUCCCAAUAAGUCGGCAAAUUUCAGUUUUACGCGUCAAAUUUAAAAAAAUCAGAACUUGCACUCAAUAGGUCCAAAACUGGAAAAAUUUAUAUCGUUGAAAAUCUUGGUUCAGAGUACUAAAAGUUCCUAGAAGACACCUUUCCAAGAUUCUAAAUGGAAAGCACUCAUUUUUCAACUCAAAUAUUCAGUUCUAAUAGGAUAGGUUUGAACCAGUCUUGGUUUUGCAGUCAUCUUUGGAAAUUCGAUAUAAUUCGUAGAAAGCAAACUAGCCUUUGAAAUUUGUAGUACAAUAAGAGUUCCAAACAAGAUUUUCAACACGGCAAACGGAACUAAAUUUGGAGUCUUGAGUAGCAAGAUAUAGCAAUUCAAAGUCGGUAAAUUUUCACUACUAAAACAGUGGAUUUCCAGAUUUAAAAGCCAACUUUGGGGCAUUAUUUGGGUAUCAAAAGGUUAUUGAAAUAACACCAAAUUUAGUACACUUAAAUCUCUAUAGGUGGACUACCCCUAUAUCAAAUUCACGCAAAAACUCACGUGGGAAGGCAGCUAACAAAAUGACUAAAGUUCGUAAAAUGUUUCAAGAACAAUCUGCCUUCUUGCUUUUAUUUUUUUUCCAAACAUUUUGCACAAUGAAAUCAGUCCAAAUUCAAUCCAUUUUUGAAAUCAAGGUCCUAGAAACCUUUAAUAAGCGCUUGAUGGUUGAUUUACAUCAAAAUUUUUGAAUUAAAGUAUCCCACAACAAACUAGACUAGUCGGCCAGCAAGAAGGAAAAGCUUUCCAGUUUUCCAGCUUUAUCGCACUUUCAAAAUCAGGCCAUAUCUCACUCAAUACAAGUUCAAAUUAUGAAUUGGUUGGUGGUGUUGGAAAUUAGGUUCAAAAUACUUCAUUUCAUCAAAAGAAAACAUUUCCAGAAUCAGUUCACAAGUAGUUUGAAUUCAAGCCAUAAGUUGCAGAUUCUCAUGUCCAUUCGAAUGGAACAGGCAGACAGAACAAAACAGAACAGCCGAAUUUAUCAAUUCACUACAGUUCACUCAGAUCGAACUAGCAAGUGAUUUUUAUACCGUUAGAAAGCUACGGAUGUCUAUUUUUGAAUUCCGCUAACGGCACUUAAUUUUGACUUUUAUACAAAGAGUUAUGUUCGAUCAAAGGAUCACUGUACGACUGCCCUGAACCCAUUUCCAGAUUUCUUUUAAUUUCGAAAACUUGAGUUUUGCUCAACCAAAUCAAAUGAUUUUCGGACGAAACUUUGCAUACAAAAUAUACCACAUAUAACCAUAAAUUUCACAGCAAAAUAAGUACCAAAAAUUCAAAAUAAUCACUGAGCAACAAGGACAGAUUUUCAGCCAGCUCUAGUGCACCACUUCUUUCGAUUUUUCCUUUACUUUCUAACUGUAUUCAACUCAAUUAACACAUAAACAAUCACAAAUAACUAAUUACACCUCAAACCAGCUAUCUAAAGGUAUCAUCAAGCCCGCUAGCUUAGAGUUAAAAUAAGAUAAAAUGGGUUUUCUCAAGUCCUCUAUCUAUUUCAUGCUUUGGGUUAUCAAACCCAUGAAAUCUAAACUUGAUUCUUGAAGGAAAAUGGGGAGAUUGUAAAAGUCGUUGGUUACCUCCUUAGUUCUUGAAGAAACCAGAAUUUUCACCACAAAAACCUCCAAGAAUUUCCACUAGAUGAUGUCUUCCACCAAGCUAAAGUUAAUCUCCAAGAAGUAUGGACGUUGGAUGGUGAUUUGUGAGAGAUGGAAGCAAAUAUGGUGCAAGAUGAAGGAGCUUUCUUCCUCUUCUUCCUUUGCUAUUUUCGGCCGGCUCCAAGAGAGAGAAGAGAGAGGGUUUUGUGUUAAGUGAAGCUUCUCUUGGAAGCUUUAAGAAUUUGUGGCCAAAAGUUGUACAAAAAUCAACUAGGAAUAGUGCGCGAAUAGUGUCAUGAACUACCACUUUUCUCUCUUGUUUGUUGCACUUGUGUACUAAUUCUUAAAUGUAAUUCCUUUAACACUAUAAUUAUUCACUCUUAGUAGUCUAGUAUAAGUUUCUUAAAUCUCAACUUAAUCGAUUAGAUACAAAAUACGCGAACCUCCGAUUCGCGCGCGAUAGUGCGAAAUUUGAACUCACUCACCUCAAAUCCCUCAAUUAACUUUUCUUAGUCUACUAUUGAUCAUUCUUAAUUCUCCAAGAUUAUUGUACUUUCGAAUCGAAUAUUGCCUUGAAAAAUGUGUAUUCACUAUUUCUCGUUAAACGAGCCUUCAAAAAAUUAAAUUUGCUAACGGAACGUUUUAAAAAUAUGAGUGAGACAUCGCUCCAUAUAAAUGGAUUUAAAAUAGUCGAAAUAAAUUUUUUGGAAAAAAUGGGUGAAUAAAUAAUUAAAUAGACCUGUAAAAUAGAAUUAAAAGUAAGAAAAAUUCGGGUCCUCAAAUCAUUUCCUCCUUAAAAGGAAUUUCGUUCUCGAAAUUCAUACUUAAGACAACAUCGCACCUCUUAAUCACUAGGUUUAUCAAAUCGAUCAACGACUUAUACUUUCCAUCCCAUAUCUCACAUUUAACAAUUAAACUUUGAUCCCCAAUAGGCAUUUGAACUUCCAAGUCAUAGGGUAACUUAAUCGGUCUCACGUCUACCUCAUAUAGGUAAUGUCUCCACUUCUUUAAUGCAAAUAUCGCCGUCGCUAAAUCCAAAUCAUGUGUUGGAUAAUUUCUCUCGUGAGAUUUUAACUUUCUGGAGGCAUAUGCAAUCACCUUAUCAUGUAGUAUUAAUACAUAUUCUAAACCAUCCUUUGAAGCAUUUGUAUAAAUCACAAAACUAUCUCCUCCGCUCGGUAAGGCUAACACAGGUGCAUCGGUUAAGCACUUUUUUACUCUUGAAAAAUUUUCUCACAUUUAGAAUCCCAAAUAACUUACCAUACUUCUUAGUCAACUUAGUUAAGGGUCUUGCAGUCUUUGAAAAAUCCUUGAUAAAUCGAAGGUAAUAUUCAGCUAAUUCUAAGAACUCCGAAUUUCGGUAGGGUUUUCUGGUCGUUUCCUCUUAACACAACCUCCACUUUAGCUGAAUCUAUAACAAUUUCUUUUUUAGAUAUUUUAUAACCUAGAAAGGCUACUUCUUUCAAUCGAACUCAUAUUUAUUGAAUUUAACGAAAGUAUGAGCUCUCUCGGGUUUAUAAAAUGAUCAUCAGGUGUCUUUCAUGAUCUUCUCGAAUUUUAGACUAUACCGAUAUACCAUUAAUAAAUGCCACCACAGAUUAAUCCAAAUACGGUUUAAAACUUCAAUGCAUUAGGUCCAUAAAUGCUGCUAGUGCCUUCGUCAAUCUUAAGGACGUAACUGAAAAUUCAAAGUGCCCAUAUCUUGGAUUGAAAGCGGUCUUAAGCACAUCAGUUUUUAGGAUCCUCAACUGGUAAUAGUUCUACUUUAAAUCCAACUUAGAUAGUAUCAUGGCUCCUUACAAUUGAUCGAAUUCUUACCCAUGUAAGGUAAAACGGUAUUUGUUCUUAAUGGUCAUGUUGUUCAAGUCUCGAUAGUCUAUGUAUAGUUUCAAACUUCCAUUCCAAAUAUUAUAUCCAGUCCCUUAAUCGUUAAAUUCAUUAAAUUUAUCAAAUAUUUCUUUUCACCCACUCGAAUCUCACAAUUUUACUAUAUCAAGUUGGCAAUCAAGCAUUGGGUCCCAGUUUUAACCCUAAGUUCUUGAUUUUUGGUCUACCGCCGAUCCCUGGUCACCUCCAAGACCUCAGGUUUGCCUACGCUCUCAAGUACAAUCUCGACCACAUCUACUACUGGUCAUCUCUUAUCACCAAUCUAAAGGUGUGGAGCAAAGUUUAAAUAUACCUGUAAGUCAUGAAAUUAAUUGAAAGCAAGUAAAUUAUCAUAUGUUAUAAAAUAUCAUAAUAGUUACCUCAAGUUGAAAUAAGUUUAUCAAAUCAUUUCAAAAGAAAAAGGGAACAAAAGAUCAAAACAGAACAUGCCGAGUCACCAAAAUACAAAACAACAAAAGGACUUUUUCCUUUUACAAAAGAUUACCACCUCUAAAAUGCCAGUUUAGACUAGGUAAAACUACAACCUCUAUUCCUUGAGUGGAGUCAAUUCCAUCCCCACUUGUAUUACUUCCAUUAUUUGGAUCUCUCUCACAGCCAUUAGCAUUAAUCACCCCUUCUGGCCCUCGACUGCUUUGCUAUAGAUCUAAUAGACUGCCGAGUAUUUUUUCUUUUCUUAGAAACUCUAAGACAAUUCGAAAACUUAUACUCGGUACUACCGCACCUCAGACAUUUUCUUUACUUUUUUGAGCACUCGGCCUUAGCAUGGUUAAUCUUGCCACAGUUUUCACAAGUUACGUGAGCAAUCACGGCUUGAUCAGUUUGAGAAUUUCAUUUGUAUUUCUUCUCCAAUUCUACGUUCUUGCGUAGCAAAUCAAUUUUCUCUGCAUAUUCUUGUUUUCACUGUUCUUCCCAUUAGUCAACCAAUUUCUUUUGAAAUUCUAUUUCCUUCCGAAGAAUGUCCAUUUUCUUAUGCAUCUCUCCCAAAUUUGUCAUCUCACCGGUUAGAUUAAGUCAACUGCUAGCCUGCCAGGCAAACUAAGGAAUCAAAAUAAGUAUUAUUUACAAUGGGAGCUCUGGCCAUAUUACUCUUUUAUUCUUUUACUUCUAGGUUACCCCAAAAUAUAAAUCUUAACUAUUCUCUAGUUAAUAUAGACGAGCUCUUGAGUCUCCACCAGAUUACUAUUACUGCUUAUAAACAUAACAAAAUACGGAGAUCUUAUCCUUAAUAUAAAAGUUCCAUGCCCUAAUUCAUUCUCCAAUUCUCAUCUACAAAGUUGCUCGAGAAGAAAACCUAAUCUCUUACUUUCACUAGUGCCUCAUUUCAUCCUCUCAAACCAAUCUACUAUUUUGAGGUUAGACCCUCCGUGAAACUUAGAUGGGCGAACUUCAAGAAUCGUUCAAUUUUCACACCUCUCUUGGUUCCUAGGUUGGUUGACUGGUUUAGGGCUUUGGUGCUCAACUAAUCAUGCUAAGAUAUCAAUCAUAUAGUUAAUAACAAUAGCUACUUAAUUAUCUCCUUCAUUCCUAGGGUUUCGAUUUGGUCUAGAUGCCAUUCUCUAGUCAUCCCCUUGAACUUAGGGUUUGCCCAGUCCCACACCCUUGGCCCCUACCACUCUUUCGAGCAUCCAUGAUCUUAGUUAUGUCCAAAUGCAAGAAUAGAAUUAAUCACUUGAGAAAAUAUUUAAAAUACAAGUCAAUGCGAAAAACAUUUGAAAUAACGAUAAUUAGCAUAUAUUAACAAUUAAAGAUCCAUACAAGAUCAGUAAGUCAUGGGGUAUUUACAAAAAUAUAACACAUAUGUGUCACAAAAGUGCAAUUAGUCAUGUAAUAGACGCCAAGAGCUUUACAAGCGUCACCCUAACUAAUUCUAAUCACAAAAGUCAAAAGUCAACAUCCUAGUCUAGUUCGCAUCCGAACCACUAGUUUGAACAUCCUCCUUCGAAUCUCUUCGAAAGGUUCCUCCUCAGGAGCGCCCUCACAAACCGGGCUCUCGACAGCCUCUAUCGUCUCCUCUAUCAAUAUGGUGAUGUUAACUAAAAUCCUGGCGGCCCGAUCCCGAACCUCUUCGCCUAUCCUAACCAGUCGAACCCUAAUCCUCUGGAGCUCAACACCAGCGGCCCUAGCCCUAGUCCUCUCCUCUACCAUUGUUUCCUCAAGCUCAAUGAUCCUAGCAUCUUGGGUAUCUAUCAUAGCAUUUAGUUCCUCGAUCUCCUGAAGUAAGGUUCUGUUGGUAUUCACCAACUGCUGACGUUCAUCGUCAAGGGACAAUACCAGCUCAUUAGGGUAGGUGUACAUCGUCCUACAGGAACAACGAAAAAUUCUUGAAGAAGGCGAGUAUCGGAUACAAGAUUCUCCUUCAUGCACUCUAUAUCGAAUAGACCUAAGAGGCACCACAUGUCCAUUAGCAUGCCCAUUGUCAUUAGCAGCGUGACCUCCGUUACCAUUCUCCAUCUCUACAAAACAACCAUAAAUUCUAGGUUUGAAAUUUAAAGUCACUAAUUCGCUCAAAUAUCACUUACAGUAUAACUAAAUCAUUUAAUCCCUAUUCUCAACAGUAAAGUUUCUAAUACAUUUUUCAAAUAGAUCUCUAAACCUAGUCUCUUUUCCACCAAUGCCGUUCAAAAAAACUCUCGAGUACUAAUUCUCUUUAACCACUGGAAUACAAUAAGUUAAUGUUCAAGUGAAUCUCAUGGUUCGGUAUCCUAAAAUUUUAGCCUAAAAUACACUACAAAGAUCUGAAACCUAAACUCUGAUACCAACUGUGACGCUCCCACUUCUACCAAGGGCGAACCUAAGGGUAUCGGCGAGACGCCUGCCCAACUCUCACUAGGACUCGGUACAAUUUCAAUUCAAAUUUAAAGAUAAAUAACCGAGUAAUAAAAGUUGAAGGUAAUAAAGAAAAGUCGCUUCCUUAAUAAGUAUUCAAUUCUUACAGUUCAAGAUACCAAGUACAUCACUUUAUACAAAAUAUAUAACUUUCAAAAGUCAUCUAAUUAAUUACAUUCAAAACCCUAAUUAAAAGUGUAUCAAGUCAGUUUCUCUAUAAUUCCUUCCAAUUUGGCUCCUGUUAAGGAAAACAAAUCUAAUGGGGUGAGCGAAUACUCGUGAGACCAAGAAAACAUGCAAAACAUAUAGUUCAAUCAACGAUAGCACUUAUACGAGAAUUAAAAUUUUAACAUUCAAGUAGUUCACAUUCAAUAAUAAAACACACUUGAUAAGGAUAGGGAGCUCUCAGGACUUAUGUUCCACUUGUUUCGCCAAAACUCGAUCAAAUACUUCCCCCGCGAUGACACUCCAUCAACUGGGUGGGUAUUAAGUCCGUUGAACUUCACUUACACUUCCUCGUUCGCCGUUAAACCCCCUGCUUCGGGCCCGCACUUCUUUUAUAUAAUACGAUACUACUCGAGUAUGCCAAAGGAGAUCUCUCCAAUAGAUCAAGUUUAUCAUUUUUUUUUCUCAUGGCUCACCAAACUUCACGACCAAACCCAUGCUGGCUUGAGUCACAAGGUUGGCCGAUGAGUUUGGGCGUCCCCCACUAUUAUCACUAUAAGUCGUGGAGAUUCUCUCCAAUCGACAUAUGCAAUCAUAGCAUAAUUCACUUUUGCAACACUUCACUUAAUUCACUUAGCAAUUCACUUUAAGCAAUUCAAAUACACUUCAUUUAAACGAGAACGAGUGCGAUAAAAUACACACUCGACUCGAUACUUUCAAAAUACUCAAUCAAUGAGAACAAUUAAGCACGUAACAACAUUUCAUACACUUGACACUUAUCAAGUCAAAACAAAAGUGAGUGAGCAAGCAAUUAAGUCUUUAGGCAUCCGCUUCGAGAUUCUCUUGAAGAUCUCCUUGAUCGCCUAAACAAAUAACAAGUACUUUCGCUCACAAUCACGUAUUAACCAAGAAAGAAGAUACACUUAUUUAGACUAGUCGAUGCCUCAAAAGAGAACCUUAACCACUCAAAAAUAGAGGUUCAAAAAUAAGGAUUUAUUGACACAAGAGAAAUUAAUUUUCUCCAUGAAAUUGAGUUUAAAACGAUCAAUCAAUAUCAAAGGAUAGGGAAAAGUCUCCAAAAACUCAUUUCCCAACAAGUCGGAAAAUUUCAGUUUUACACGUCAAAUUUAGAAAAAUCAGAACUUGCACUCAACAGGUCCAAAAUUGAAAAACUUUAUACCGUUGGAAAUCUCGGUUUGGAGUACUAAAAGUUCCUAGAAGACACCUUUCCAAGAUUCUAAAUGGAAAGCACUCAUUUUUCAACUCAAAGAUUCAGUUCUAAUAAGAUAGGUUUGAACCAGUCUUGGUUUUGCAGUCAUCUUUGAAAAUUUAGUAUAAUUCACAGAAAGCAAACUAGCCUUUGAAAUUCGUAGCACAAUAAAAGUUCCAAACAAAAUUUCUAACAUGGCAAACAAAACUAAAUUCGGAAUCUUGAAUAUCAAGAUAUAGCAGUUCAAAGUCGGUAAAUUUUCACUACUAAAACAGUGAAUUUCCAGAUUUAAAAGCCAACUUUGGGGCAUUAUUUGGGUAUCAAAAGGUUAUUGAAAUAACACCAAAUUUGGUACACUUAAACCUCUAUAGGUGGACUACCCCUGUAUCAAAUUCACGCAAAAACUCACGUGGGAAAGCAGUUAACAAAAUGACUAAAGUUCGUAAAAUGUUUCGAGAAUAAUCUGUAUUCUUGCUUUUAUUUCUUUUCCAAACAUUUUGCACAAUGAAAUCAGUCCAAAUUCAAUCCAUUUUUGAAACCAAGGUCCUAGAAACCUUUAAUAAACACUUGAUGGUUGAUUUACAUCAAAAUUUUCGAAUUAAAGUAUCCCACAACAAGCUAGACUAGUCGGCCAGCAAGAAGGAAAAGCUUUCCAGUUUUCCAGCUUUAUCGUACUUUCAAAAUCAGGCCAUAUCUCACUCAAUACAAGUUCAAAUUAUGAAUGGUUGGUGCUGUUGGAAACUAGGUUCAAAAUACUUCAUUUUAUUAGAAGAAAACAUUUCCAAAAUCAGUUCACAAGUAGUUUGAAUUCGAGCCACAAGUUGCAGCUUCUCAUGUCCAUUCGAAUGGAACAGGCAGAUAGAACAGAACAGAACAGCAGAAUUUAUCAAUUCACUGCAGUUCACUCAAAUCAAACUAGCAAGUGAUUUUUAUACCGUUAGAAAGUUACAGAUGUCUAUUUUUGAAUGCCACUAACGGCACUCAAUUUUGACUUUUAUACAAAGAGUUAUGUUCGAUCAAAGGAGCACUGUACGGCUGCCCUGAACCCAUUUCCAGAUUUCUUUAAAUUUCGAAAACUUGAGUUUUGCUUAACUAAAUCAAAUGAUUUUCGGGCAAAACUUUGUACACACAAUAUGUCACAUAUAACCAUCAAUUUCACAGCAAAAUAAUUACCAAAAAUUUUAAAAAAUCACUGAGCAACAAGGACAGAUUUUCGGCCAACUCUAGUGCACCACUUCCUUCGAUUUUUCCUUCACUUUCUAACCGUAUUCAACUCAAUCAACACAUAAACAACCACAAAUAACUAAUUACACCUCAAGGCAGCUAACUAAAGGCAUCAUCAAGUCCGCUAGCUUAGAGUUAAAACAAGAUAAAAUGGGUUUUCUCAAGUCCUCUACCUAUUUCAUGCUUUGGGUUAUCAAACCCAUGAAAUAUAAAUUUGAUUCUUGAAGGAAAAUGGAGAGAUUGCAAGAGUUGUUGGUUACCUCCUUAGUUCUUGAAGAAACCACAAUUUUCACCACAAAAACCUCCAAGAAUUUCCACUAGAUGAUGUCUUCCACCAAGCUAAAGUUAAUCUCCAAGAAGUAUGGAAGUUGGAUGGUGAUUUGUGAGAGAAAUGGAAGCAAAUAUGGUGCAAGAUGAAGGAGCUUUCUUCCUCCUCUUCCUUUGCUGUUUUCGGCUGGCUCCAAGAGAGAGAAGAGAGAGGGUUUUGUGUUGAUUGAAGCUUCUCUUGGAAGCUUUAAGAAUUUGUGGCCAAAAGUUGUACAAAAAUCAACUAGGAAUAGUGCACGAAUAGUGUCCCGAACUACCACUUUUCUCUCUUGUUUGUUGUACUUGUGCACUAAUCCUCAAAUGUAAUUCUUUUAACACUAUAAUUAUUUACUUUUAGUAGUCUAGGAUAAGUUUUUUAAAUCUCAACUUAAUCGAUUCGACACAAAAUACUCGAACCUCUGAUUCGCGCGCGAUAAGGCGAAAUUUGAACUUACUCACCUCUAAUCCCUCAAUUAACUUUUCUUAGUCUACUAUUGAUCAUUUUUAAUUCUCCAAGAUUAUUGCACUCUCGAAUCGAAUAUUGCCUCAAAAAAUGUGUAUUCGCUAUUUCUCGUUAAAUGAGCCUCCAAAAAAUUAAAUUUGCUAACGGAACGUUUCAAAAAUAUGAGUGAGACACUGCUCCAUGUAAAUGGAUUUAAAAUAGUCGAAAUAAAUUAUUUGGAGAAAACGGGUGAAUAAAUAAUUAAAUAAACUAGUAAAAUAGAAUUAAUAGUAAGAAAAAUUCGGGUCCUCACAGUUUAUGUCUAGAGUUAUGGAUACACUUUCUAUAUCUUGUUAGUGAUAUUUAAUUGGUUAAUUGAUGAUAUUAUUUUGAGCAAGUUAUUUAUCACUUUUGAUUUUUUAAUCAAGAUUUACCGGCCAUUAAUUGUGAUAAUUUUAAGGUGUUAAGUUUGCAAUGAAAAUUGAGAUUUGACGGUAGUUUAAGAAAGUGUUAAAUCUAAUGAGUACAUUCACGAGAAUAGAGGUGCACCUUUAUGAUUUUAUUGGCGUGUUCAUGUAAUUUAUAGAAGAAAUGAGUUUGUGAUUAAUUUCAUAACUCUGAGAGUAGAUAUGACUUAACUACAAAUAUAGUUGAUUCACUGCGAGAGUAGAUUUCACAUACAUUAGGCAAUUACGCCAUAACUGGCCAAGAUAAUAACAUUCAAUUAAUCGAUAAUUCACUUGCAAUAGUAGUUAGAAAUUCUAUAGCCCUAGGAGCUUACUAUUGUUACUAUUAUUCUAUGUUUAUAGUUUAGAUUUAAUUUCUUGCACUUGUGAUAGUCUAAAUAAUAAAGGAGUUCAAAAACUACUGGUAAUUGACAAUCUUCUCUGUGGGAUCGACACCUAAUAUCCCCUAUACUCGAUAAACGACCUGUAUACUUUUAGAAAACGAGGUGUUUAGGUUUUAUUAAAAUUUGGUGCAUGGUAGAACCUUAUCACUGGUUCAUUUGUUUGCUCUCUUACUUAUCUCAAACUUUUGUAGUUUGUUUUCAAUUUUUCUUUUAUCUACCAAUGAAACUCAUGAAAAUUUUGGCUUGGAUUUAGUAGAUUUUGGAUCAUUGGCUCGUGAAUUUCAUGUCUAUUUGCUACCAAUCGCUACAUAAGGGAGUAUUACUUUCUUACCUUUCUUUUGCUUCUUACAAAUUGAGGACCAUGUGUAUUUUAAAUGUUGAGAGGGGGGAAUUAAGGUUAUGUAUGCACUAUUGUGAUUGAUUUUUGUUUAAAUUAUUUGGACUUGUCUUGGAAAUAUUUCCUAUGCUUUAAAUUGUUUUAAAAUGGGCUUGCUGUCAAGUUACAAGGAAGACUUUGCUGAAAAUUAUUUCAAAAUCUUGUCCAAAAUUGUAUAAUUGCCCAAAAUUUUUCAAAAUUUUUUGAUUUAAUGCAAGGGUAACAAGUUCCAAAGCCAUUAGUUUUUAAAUUCCCUUACUUGUUAAAAUAAUUACAUGUACCUUGAAAAAUUCAUUUCUCGAUUAACUUUGAAAUAGUUAUUAUGUGAUUGGGAGUUUUUUGCUUAUUAAGGAAGUAUAUCUUGUAAAGUGGAGGAAAUUUUGCCUUAAUUUUUUGCAUAUUUAUUGAAAAUUCCUAUCUUUACUUGCUUUUACAAAGUUUAGUGAUAAACUUGGUCAAUAAAUGUAAUAUUUUGCCUAAGAUUAUUUCUAUAUAAAUUUACAAAGAGGGAAUAUGUCAUUGAUUUAAAAAAAAAAAGAGAAAGAGAAAAAAAGAAGGAAAAAUAAAAAAAAAUGAAGAGAAAAAAUGAAGAAAAAAGAAAAAAAUAGAAUAAGAGCUAUUCUACUCCAAUGAUUCAUGUUCUUAUCAACUGGGAGUUUUAAUUGAAACUUGUCGACUUUUGCGUAAAAUAGUAUUUGAAUUAAGAAUAUGCAAAGCAACUAUGUGAAAUGUUGAGUAAUUGGAGAUUUUUAUCUAAAAAUAUCAAUUUUCAUGUCAAAAGGGACUUUCAUAAUUUCAGUGGAUAUGUUAUAUGAAUAAAUCCCUCUUUGCCUUUGAAAAAAAGAUGAUCAUAGAUUGAGGAAGCAUUUUUAUGGAUCUUGUGAAUUCCUUGUUUGUAAAAUUAGGUGAGAAUAAGAAAUUGAGAUGAUAUAUUUAAAUUAUAGUAUAAUCUUGCCUCCUUUACUUUAUAUUAUGAAUACUUGGGAUAAAAUGAAUAAUUGCACAAUGGUUGUUUUCUUAGUUUUAAGGAAUUGAAUUUGAAAUAUGCACGUGCUAUUUCAAAACUUUUGAGCCAUUAUUUUGGAUUGUAUUUUUUUAAAAAAAACUCCAGAAAAUAAAUGUAUUAUAACAGACAAAUGUUUCAAAAACCAGAAUCAAAGUUGUUAUAAGCAUAAAGUUGCAAUACAGUAACACUUGAUAUAUUUAUUGGUGACGACAGAGAGCUCAAAAUGAAUACUGAAUGCCGCUGCCUUUCAUCAAGCAUCACCUGCACGCCCAAGAUUCAAAGCUAAACAAUAUCUCACACUGACUAUUCUCAGUGAGAAUGAGAACCGGCAGCGGAGGAUGAGGCGUGAGAGUGAGAAUGAGAAGGGGCAUAGAUCUUGCUGUAAGCAGCUUCUCCGACAAGGUAAAUCCCGAAGGCCACGAGAG